UGAGCUUGCUGCAGCAACUCUACUCUUCUUCAUCACCCGCUUCUUCAUUCGUUCUCUCCUUCCCAAAUCUUCCUGGAAGCUCCCUCCUGGCCCCAAAGGGUGGCCGCUCGUCGGCGCUCUUCCUCUUCUAGGUAACAUGCCUCAUGUUGCAUUAGCAAAGAUGGCCAAAAGAUACGGGCCUGUCAUGUUCUUGAAAAUGGGCACUAACAGCAUGAUGGUGGCCUCAUAUUAAGGAAAUUAUAUGUUAGUUAUUGUAUGAUUAUCUUGACAUAAUUAGCUGAUUGUAUAGGAGCAUAAUUAGCCUUAUAUUACUGAUUCUGUAGCUAUAAUUUAGGAGAAGAUUAGAUCAAACAUGUGUAUAUAUAUACUACAUUCUAUUAAUGAGAAAAGUAUCCAAUUUGAAGCCAAUCUCUUUAUUCUUGUUAUGGUAUCAGAGCAAGAACAAAAAACCACCAUGGCUGGCAGUCAGAAGGCUUCUGGAUCAGAAAACAAGACCAUCGAUCCUUCACAUCCUCUCUAUAUUCAUCAUUCAGAUCAACCAGGCCAUGUUUUGGUGCCCAUCAAAUUAAAUGGGGUCAACUAUCAAUCAUGGAGCAAAGCAGUUAUUCAUGCCCUUACUGCCAAGAAGAAGAUCGGCUUCGUCGACGGGACAGUUGAAGAACCAUCGCAGGAAGAUGAACCCUUUAUGUUUGAACAGUGGAAUCAAUGCAACAGCAUGAUACUUUCUUGGCUAACUCAUGCUGUUGAAUCGGACAUUGCUGAAGGAAUUAUCCAUGCUAAAAUAGCACGCGAAGUGUGGGUUGAUUUGCGCGACCAGUUUUCUCAAAAGAAUGCUCCAGCGGUUUUUCAAAUAUAGAAAUCAAUCGCCACCAUGUCGCAAGGAACGAUGACAGUAGCUGCAUAUUUUACAAAGAUCAAAGCCUUAUGGGACGAGCUUGAGACAUACCGUUCCCCGCUGACCUGCAACCAACGGCAAGCACAUCUCGAGCAAAGGGAGGAAGACCGUCUUAUGCAAUUUCUAAUGGGUUUGAAUGAGUCAUAUAAGGUAGUGAGAUCCAAUAUUUUGAUGAUGUCGCCAUUGCCCAAUGUCUGUCAAGCAUACUCUUUAAUUGUCCAGGAAGAGAUGCAACGACAAGUUUCUUCUGAGCCAACCGAGAAUUUCUCAAUAGCUGCCGCAGUCCCUGGAAAAGGAGGUAAUCCAAGACAAAAAUUGUGUGACCAUUGUAACAGAUCCGGACAUACCAUAGAUGAAUGUCGGACUCUUAAAUUUCACUGUAAGUUCUGUGAUAAAAGAGGUCACACGGAGGAUAGAUGCCGACUGAAAAAUGGGAGCAAUAACAAAACGGGACAAUUCCGAGGACAAUGUCCUUUUGGUCGUGGGAAUCAGCCCUUAGCAAACGCGACAGAAUCCCAGGAAAUGUCUGAUUCGACUUCUUCUAGUACAGUCCAGGGGUUCACUACAGAACAAAUACAACAGUUGGCUCAAGCAAUUUCAUGCAUUAAAUCACAGUAAUUCCGGUAAUAUUGACGCAUAUGCAAAUGCUGCAGGUUUGAUUCCAUCAACUCUUGUGUCUGUUAAUUCUAGUAGUACAAGUUCUUGGAUUUUGGAUACAGGUGCCACGGAUCACAUCGUUUCCCACAUGUCUCUUUUCACUGAUCUCAAACCUUCUAAUGUCACAACUGUUAAUUUACCAAAUGGUGCAGCAUCACCAAUAACACACACUGGCACCGUUAUUUUUGAUUCCCAAUUGACCCUUAAAGAUGUUUUAUGUGUCCCAUCCUUUAACUUGAAUUUAAUUUCGGCUAGCAAACUCGCAAAAGAUCAGAAUUGCUGCAUCAUAUUCUUUCCUGACUAUUGUAUUUUGCAGGACUUGGUUUCGGGGAAGAUGAUUGGCUCGGGUAAACAGCGUGGUGGUCUAUACUACAUGCAUCCAUCAACAAAUAAAUCGGUUGUCUUUCAUGUUUCUCAACCGUCUGACUUAUGGCAUUUACGCCUGGGUCAUCCCUCUUUUUCUCGUUUUAAAUUAUUAUCACAUUUGCUUCCAGAUAUUCAUAAAGAAUUAGGAAAUCAUUGUCCAAUUUGCCCACAGGCUAAGCAGACACGCUUGCCCUUUCCCAAAAGUUCAAUAACUACAAAAUUUCCUUUUUCUCUUUUACAUUNNNNNNNNNNNNNNNNNNNNNNNNNNNNNNNNNNNNNNNNNNNNNNNNNNNNNNNNNNNNNNNNNNNNNNNNNNNNNNNNNNNNNNNNNNNNNNNNNNNNNNNNNNNNNNNNNNNNNNNNNNNNNNNNNNNNNNNNNNNNNNNNNNNNNNNNNNNNNNNNNNNNNNNNNNNNNNNNNNNNNNNNNNNNNNNNNNNNNNNNNNNNNNNNNNNNNNNNNNNNNNNNNNNNNNNNNNNNNNNNNNNNNNNNNNNNNNNNNNNNNNNNNNNNNNNNNNNNNNNNNNNNNNNNNNNNNNNNNNNNNNNNNNNNNNNNNNNNNNNNNNNNNNNNNNNNNNNNNNNNNNNNNNNNNNNNNNNNNNNNNNNNNNNNNNNNNNNNNNNNNNNNNNNNNNNNNNNNNNNNNNNNNNNNNNNNNNNNNNNNNNNNNNNNNNNNNNNNNNNNNNNNNNNNNNNNNNNNNNNNNNNNNNNNNNNNNNNNNNNNNNNNNNNNNNNNNNNNNNNNNNNNNNNNNNNNNNNNNNNNNNNNNNNNNNNNNNNNNNNNNNNNNNNNNNNNNNNNNNNNNNNNNNNNNNNNNNNNNNNNNNNNNNNNNNNNNNNNNNNNNNNNNNNNNNNNNNNNNNNNNNNNNNNNNNNNNNNNNNNNNNNNNNNNNNNNNNNNNNNNNNNNNNNNNNNNNNNNNNNNNNNNNNNNNNNNNNNNNNNNNNNNNNNNNNNNNNNNNNNNNNNNNNNNNNNNNNNNNNNNNNNNNNNNNNNNNNNNNNNNNNNNNNNNNNNNNNNNNNNNNNNNNNNNNNNNNNNNNNNNNNNNNNNNNNNNNNNNNNNNNNNNNNNNNNNNNNNNNNNNNNNNNNNNNNNNNNNNNNNNNNNNNNNNNNNNNNNNNNNNNNNNNNNNNNNNNNNNNNNNNNNNNNNNNNNNNNNNNNNNNNNNNNNNNNNNNNNNNNNNNNNNNNNNNNNNNNNNNNNNNNNNNNNNNNNNNNNNNNNNNNNNNNNNNNNNNNNNNNNNNNNNNNNNNNNNNNNNNNNNNNNNNNNNNNNNNNNNNNNNNNNNNNNNNNNNNNNNNNNNNNNNNNNNNNNNNNNNNNNNNNNNNNNNNNNNNNNNNNNNNNNNNNNNNNNNNNNNNNNNNNNNNNNNNNNNNNNNNNNNNNNNNNNNNNNNNNNNNNNNNNNNNNNNNNNNNNNNNNNNNNNNNNNNNNNNNNNNNNNNNNNNNNNNNNNNNNNNNNNNNNNNNNNNNNNNNNNNNNNNNNNNNNNNNNNNNNNNNNNNNNNNNNNNNNNNNNNNNNNNNNNNNNNNNNNNNNNNNNNNNNNNNNNNNNNNNNNNNNNNNNNNNNNNNNNNNNNNNNNNNNNNNNNNNNNNNNNNNNNNNNNNNNNNNNNNNNNNNNNNNNNNNNNNNNNNNNNNNNNNNNNNNNNNNNNNNNNNNNNNNNNNNNNNNNNNNNNNNNNNNNNNNNNNNNNNNNNNNNNNNNNNNNNNNNNNNNNNNNNNNNNNNNNNNNNNNNNNNNNNNNNNNNNNNNNNNNNNNNNNNNNNNNNNNNNNNNNNNNNNNNNNNNNNNNNNNNNNNNNNNNNNNNNNNNNNNNNNNNNNNNNNNNNNNNNNNNNNNNNNNNNNNNNNNNNNNNNNNNNNNNNNNNNNNNNNNNNNNNNNNNNNNNNNNNNNNNNNNNNNNNNNNNNNNNNNNNNNNNNNNNNNNNNNNNNNNNNNNNNNNNNNNNNNNNNNNNNNNNNNNNNNNNNNNNNNNNNNNNNNNNNNNNNNNNNNNNNNNNNNNNNNNNNNNNNNNNNNNNNNNNNNNNNNNNNNNNNNNNNNNNNNNNNNNNNNNNNNNNNNNNNNNNNNNNNNNNNNNNNNNNNNNNNNNNNNNNNNNNNNNNNNNNNNNNNNNNNNNNNNNNNNNNNNNNNNNNNNNNNNNNNNNNNNNNNNNNNNNNNNNNNNNNNNNNNNNNNNNNNNNNNNNNNNNNNNNNNNNNNNNNNNNNNNNNNNNNNNNNNNNNNNNNNNNNNNNNNNNNNNNNNNNNNNNNNNNNNNNNNNNNNNNNNNNNNNNNNNNNNNNNNNNNNNNNNNNNNNNNNNNNNNNNNNNNNNNNNNNNNNNNNNNNNNNNNNNNNNNNNNNNNNNNNNNNNNNNNNNNNNNNNNNNNNNNNNNNNNNNNNNNNNNNNNNNNNNNNNNNNNNNNNNNNNNNNNNNNNNNNNNNNNNNNNNNNNNNNNNNNNNNNNNNNNNNNNNNNNNNNNNNNNNNNNNNNNNNNNNNNNNNNNNNNNNNNNNNNNNNNNNNNNNNUUUUCGUUUUUCACCCCAUCACCGUGCUUUUUUAGCUCUUUUGACAGCCCAAACCGAACCUUCAUCCUUUGAACAAGCUGACUGUGAUCCACGUUGGCGCCAAGCCAUGUCCACCGAACUUCAGGCUCUAGAACGAAACAACACUUGGGAGAUGGUCCCUCUUCCUCCGGGACACAAACCCAUUGGCUGCCGCUGGGUGUACAAGAUCAAAUACCAUUCUGACGGAACCAUUGAACGCUAUAAAGCCCGUUUGGUUGCCAAGGGCUACACACAGGUCGCCGGUAUCGACUAUCAGGAAACCUUUUCUCCAACUGCCAAACUCACCACUCUUCGCUGUUUGCUGACUGUCGCAGCUUCCAGAAAUUGGUACAUCCAUCAGCUUGAUGUGCACAACGCAUUCCUUCAUGGCAAUUUACAAGAAGAGGUUUAUAUGACUCCACCUCCUGGUCUUCGCCGAUAGGGGGAGAAUCUGGUAAGUCGGCUUCGCAAAUCUAUUUACGGUUUGAAACAGGCAUCACGCAAUUGGUUCUCAACUUUUACAGCUACUGUUAAGUCUGCGGGUUACAUACAGUCCAAAGCAGAUUAUUCACUUUUUACUAAAUCCCAAGGUAACAAGUUCAUUGCUAUUCUCAUUUAUGUUGAUGAUAUCCUGUUGACUGGUAAUGAUUUGCAUGAAAUCAAGAUGCUCAAGACUCAUCUGCUCAAGCAUUUUUUUAUUAAAGACCUCGGUGAAUUGAAAUAUUUUUUGGGUAUAGAAUUCUCUCGCUCUAAAAAGGGAAUCUUUAUGUCUUAAAGAAAAUAUGCAUUAGAUAUUUUGCAAGACACAGGAUUGACAGGAGUGAAGCCCGAAAAAUUUCCGAUGGAGCAAAACUUGAAAUUGACUGAUGAAGAUGGCGAGUUACUUCAUGAUCCAAGUAGGUAUCGGAGACUGGUUGGCAGAUUAAUAUACUUGACUGUAACCAGGCCUGACAUAGUGUAUUCAGUACGUACACUAAGUCAAUUCAUGAACACACCUCGGAAGCCGCACUGGGAAGCAGCAUUACGAGUCCUCCGAUAUAUUAAAGGGUCACCAGGUCAAGGUCUUUUUCUUCCAUCUGAAAAUAAUUUAACACUCAGCGCAUUUUGCGAUUCAGAUUGGGGAGGAUGUCGUAUGUCAAGACGUUCCGUUUCUGGUUAUUGUGUUUUCCUCGGAUCAUCACUCAUCUCUUGGAAAUAAAAAAAACAAACGAAUGUUUCACGUUCGUCAGCAGAAGCAGAGUACAGAGCAAUGGCGAAUACUUGCCUGGAAUUGACUUGGUUGAGGUACAUACUUAAAGAUUUGAAGGUUGAAUUGGACAAACCAGCACCAUUGUUUUGUGAUAAUCAAGCAGCUGUAUAUAUUGCAGCUAACCCAGUUUUUCACGAAUGUACUAAACACAUUGAGAUUGAUUGUCAUAUAGUUCGAGAAAAACUUCAAGCUGGGGUAAUUCGUCCGUGUUAUGUUUCUACAAAGAUGCAGUUGGCGGACGUUUUUACAAAGGCACUUGGCAGGGAGCAGUUCGAAUUUUUGUGCACCAAGUUGGGAGUUCUUGAUUUGCACUCUCCAACUUGAGGGGGAGUAUUAAGGAAAUUAUAUGUUAGUUAUUGUAUGAUUAUCUUGACAUAAUUAGCUGAUUGUAUAGGAGCAUAAUUAGCCUUAUAUUACUGAUUCUGUAGCUAUAAUUUAGGAGAAGAUUAGAUCAAACAUGUGUAUAUAUAUACUACAUUCUGUUAAUGAGAAAAGUAUCCAAUUUGAAGCCAAUCUCUUUAUUCUUGUUACCUCAACUCCCGGGGCGGCUCGGGCUUUCCUUAAAACGCUAGACAUUAAUUUCUCUAACCGCCCGCCUAAUGCCGGUGCCUCACUCUUGGCCUAUCAUGCCCAAGACAUGGUUUUUGCGGAUUAUGGGGCAAGGUGGAAGCUACUGAGAAAGCUAAGCAACUUACACAUGCUUGGUGGGAAGGCUCUUGAGGACUGGUCUCAGGUCCGAGCUGUUGAGCUAGGCCACAUGCUUCGAGCCAUGCUUGAGUUGAGCCAGCGAGCGGAGCCGGUGGUGGUGCCGGAGAUGUUAACUUUUUCCAUGGCCAACAUGAUAGGUCAAGUGAUUCUAAGCCGCCGGGUGUUUGAAACAAAAGGGUCGGAGUCAAAUGAGUUCAAGGACAUGGUGGUGGAGCUCAUGACCACUGCUGGGUACUUCAAUAUUGGCGAUUUUAUUCCGUCCAUCGCAUGGCUGGACAUCCAAGGGAUCCAGCACGGGAUGAAGCAUUUACAUAGGAAGUUCGAUCGGUUAUUAACAAAGAUGAUGGAGGAGCACACGGCGUCAGCCCAUGAGCGGAAGGGAAACCCAGAUUUUCUGGACGUGAUCAUGGCAAACCAAGAAAAUUCUACAGGGGAGAAGCUCACUAUUACCAACAUUAAAGCACUCCUCCUGGUAUGCAUAGUUAAAGCUCGUCUUUAAUUUUGUUUUCCGAUAUUUUCUUUCCUGAAACAGCACUUUUAUUGCUUUUAGAUAUGUACGUUUUUAUCAGGUAGCCAUUUUAGGGGCACAUCACUGUUCUUUAUUUGGAUUUUUUUUGUCUUUUUCCACUUGCAUGGUUGUUUUCAUAUGCUCAGCUGCAUGGCACAGGAAAAUUGUGAAAAAUGAUUGGUUCUCUGAUCAGACCUUCUGCACCAAAACAUAAUUCUCUCUAUUUUAUAAAAUCAAGAACAUUUAUGGUUUACAUGAUUUUUCGAACUUGAACUUUUGCUAGUGCUAAUGCAUGGAUCUCAAUUUUUCAAUUGCGUUUGAUUAUAUAAAUUUCAAGUAUGUGAACAUAUUUUUGUUUCCUUGGCUAGAAUUUAUUUACUGCAGGAACAGACACUUCAUCGAGCGUAAUCGAGUGGUCUCUGGCUGAGAUGUUGAAAAACCCGAGCAUCCUCAAGCGUGCUCACGAAGAAAUGGAUCAAGUGAUUGGAAGGAGCCGGCGGCUCGUGGAGUCUGACUUGCCAAAACUUCCAUACCUACAAGCCAUAUGCAAGGAAAGCUUCCGGAAGCACCCAUCCACCCCAUUGAACCUUCCUCGUGUCUCAACCCAAGCAUGCGAAGUGAACGGCUACUACAUCCCAGAGAACACUAGACUUAGCGUGAACAUAUGGGCAAUUGGGCGAGACCCUGAUGUCUGGGAAAGCCCGGAAGAAUUCAGGCCAGAAAGGUUUUUAAGUGGAAGAAAUGAAAAAAUUGAUCCUCGUGGAAAUGAUUUUGAGUUGAUCCCGUUUGGGGCUGGACGAAGGAUUUGCGCUGGCACUAGAAUGGGAAUAGUGCUGGUUGAGUACAUUUUAGGGACGUUGGUACAUUCAUUUGACUGGAAAAUGCCGGAUGGAGUUGAGAUCAACAUGGACGAAGCUUUCGGGCUUGCACUGCAGAAGGCAGUUUCUCUUUCGGCCAUGGUGACACCAAGGCUUCACCAGAGUGCGUAUGCAGUCUGAGCUCAAACCGCUCAGACCAAAACCCAGGCCUCGCUGCUAUAUGGCAUGGAUGCAGUUAAGUAGAAAAUAUUUUGGGAUGCCUGUGGCUUAGUAUAAGAUGUAUUAGCUCAAAGAUGGUCGUUUCAUUCUACCACCAAGCCAUAUGCAUCUAUGCAUAAUCUAUUGAUUUAGGCUCGAUUUGGUUAUAGUUUUUGUUUUUUUGUCUUCCAAAUCAGUAAAUAGUAGGGGUAUUUUUGUCCUAUGUAGUGAUUCUUUUUGUUUGAUUGAUUAUAUUUGGAUCCUUCAAAUAUUCCUACACAACUAUUAACCUCCUUCAAAAAUAUAUAGUUAAGGGCCUUGGUCAGAGCCAUCUCCAUCUUUUCACUUCUUGUGCUGCAGUAUGGGAUUGGCUUAGAUGAUCGUUAGUCUAAUGUUUCCUUUUCAACAUCAUAAUUCAGCGCAAACUAAGUUGAAUAUUCAACAACAAAUAAGUACAGAAAAUAAUGGAAGAAAAAUUCCCACUUUAUCUCCGUAAAGUAAUGCCAUAUUUUUCUUCAUACUUACCUUCUAGAUUUUUGUUGGAGCUCUGAGCCCGUGAUCCAUUAGAUGAUUGCGUGUGUGCAUAUGCAUGUGGGUGAUUGCGUGUAAUACGUACGUACGUUCCAUGAUUCAUGUUCGAAGUACCCUCUCUUAUUUAUCGUUGAAGAGGCUAUCGUCACAAACUCUAUUGAUUAAUUAGUCUAGGCAAAUUAAGGCGCGAUAACGACCGAUGUAUAUCUUAAAAGUAACGAUUAAGAGAAUAUUAUAUGUACAAGGGAAAAAUCUACAUAUAAUUAUUGAUGCAACUUGCAAGUGGGAUAAAAUUUGGGAUGGGGAUUAUUAUAAAUUAAUCUCAAUCCAUAAUUGUGAUUGUGGAGUAUAAAUUAAAUGAUUCAUAAUCCAUCUACAUGAAGAUUAAAACCCAUAUUGAAAAUAGCUUUAAAAAACUAAUUUAUAAGAAUAAUUUUUGCAUCAUAUUUUGUGUGCUUGAACUCGUUUCCUAUAUUUUUAAAUAUAUAUUAAAUAUAAUUUUCUUUUAUUUAUAGUGUUUUAUUUUUAAUUAUUCUUCAUAUUUAUAUAAUUAUUUUUUAAAACAAUCAUGAUAAAAAGCAAAAAGAAGUGAAAAUAGCUUAAUAUAAUUAAAGACAAAUAUCUUAUUUUUUGUUAUCUGUUGUUAUUGUUUUUUCUUUUUGUUAACCCCCUUCAAAUCUAAUUAUUCAUACUCAAUUUUGACACGAAAGAGCCAUUGUCAUGAAAGGGGGAGGUCCAUCAUUUUGGUACGAUGCCAACUCUACCACAUAACCACCAUUUAGAUAUCUAUCCUUUUAUUUUUGGCAUGUGAACUUAUAGUGGGUGGCUGACCUUGAAUCCACUAGUUAUCAUGUUGAAAUUAACCACCAUUUAGAUAUCUAUCCUUUUAUUUUUGGCAUGUGAACUUACAGUAAGUCCGAUUUAUGUCCAAGGGUCAAAUUUAAAUCUCUCUUCAAUCUAAUGGCUAAGAACUUCCCAACUUUAUUUAAUACUUAAUGUAUCCAAUAAUUGUAAUCGAGUAAUCCAAUGACAAGUACCUUCAAUGACUAUUUUGGCAAAAGAAAAAAGAAAAAAAGAAAUAAUAUAAGUUUGUUAUUUUAUGAUAUAAUAAAUUUAUUAAUACUUUCCUUUUUCAAAAUAUGUAAUUAGUUGUAAUUUCAUUAUAUAAUAUAUAAAUUAAGUUAUUUGCAAUUUUAAAAUAUGUUCAUUUUGUUUUUUUUUAAGUGUUAAUUAAAAAUUAUACAAUUUUGUUUUAUAAAAAGUAUUUAGUACUUUUAAUUUUAUAAAUUACAAACAUUAAUUAUACUAUUUUCUUAAAAUAUUUAGUUUAGUAUGCAUAUUAUUAGUUGUUUUCUCAUAUCUCAAGUUUCAAUCAAAAAAAUAUUUAUGAUUUGUUUUUGUUAAUUUGUGUCUUGUUUUCAAUUUAAUUAAUGAAAAGUUAUUUGAUCAAAAGGUUCAUUACAAACCAAUUUUAAAAAUUUAAUCCUUUAUUAUAUUUUGAUAUUGUUUUGAUAAAAAUGUCUUUAUUAUUUUUUAAAUAUAUUGUAAAUAUUUAAAAUAAUUAAAAAUAUUUAGAUCAAAAAUCGAUUAUUUUUCAAACAAAAAUAUGAAAGUGAUAAAUUUGCAAAUGUGGGGAAUAUUUAAUCCUUUUAAUCGAUUAUUUCAUUAAUGAAGUGGGUAUAAUGAUGAACGCAGACUUGGUUUUACUAGGGCAUGCAGAGGUUUUGCAAGAGAGAGAGAUCAUUUCUCGACUCUGAGAAAUCAAUCUCCUUUUGGCCCGGUGGCGGACUCCAAGUAAAGCCUUGAAGGAGCCUUGCUAACAUCCCUGCACACCCACGCCUUCCAGUACUGAAGGAAAUGAAGCGAAGGUUUGGCUCGUUCAACUCCACUGCUUGAACUGUACUAGCAUUCAGAUGCCGCUCUGGAUUGAAAUUUAGCGGUUCUUCCCAGAUUCUAGGGUUCCGGCCCAGCCCCAGACGGCUCAGAAGGACAUGACUGCCUUUGGGGAUAGAGUACCCAGCAACACUAGUCGGAUUCCUGAACUCGUCUAUCCUUUCCAACCACUCCAUCAAUUUCUUCACUGCUUUGCUCAAAAUCCCUGGUUGCUUGAUCAUUGCCUACUCAAUUGCAUUUGAUGGACUAUCGAAGCCUGCAAGCAUCAACUCCUGCAAAUUAUGGAAGGAUCAUAAUCUCAUGAUUGAUCAAGUUAUUUGCUGGCUAGGAAAUGAUCAUCAUGCAAUGUAGAUCAAAAGGUAAGCACAACACUACUACAAAAAUAAUUUAUGGUGUCAUUUUUAAAAUAAUGACACCAUAGGGUUUAUAAUUAAUAAAGGUGAUACAUCAUAUGAAAAUUCUUCAAUUGAGGUAGUUAGAUUAUGUUAGUUUUAUAUUUAUAGUGUCAUUUUUUGGGAAGUAACAUCAUAUAAAAUAAUUUUUUUUUAAGUAUUAUAACUUAAUGAGCCCACUUUUAUAAUUAAUAAUGAGGGAUAAUGUAUAAAAAGCCCAUUGUUUCCACAUGCCACCCACAAUCCAAAAAAUCUCAGUAUACAAACCUUAUAUAUAAAACCAUAAUCUUCUUCUACCUUUUCUCUUACCUAUAGUCAACACACUUAUAACCGACAUUUUCCACUUUGUGGACUCCCAAGUUAUCCAAAUUCUCUUAGAUCUAUCCUAUUUUUUUUCUUUUAUUAAUAUCAUUAUAUUGAUUGUUUCAGCAUCUUUGUAUUAUGGUUUUUGUGAACUGCAUUUUCUUGAGUUGUAGGGAAGAAAAACUUAGGUUUAAACUUCUAGCAUAGACAAAGAAACUUGUAGAUUAAUUGAUUUUUUAAUAUGAACCAAACACAUGACCGACUUUUUCUGUGUGUAAUAAGGACAGCUAGUAUUCAUGCAUAAAAUCAGCAUCAGAAUUCGUAACUGCAUUUGAUCAGCUAGUUUAGUAAAUCUGUACAACUCAUUCUUUCCUUUAUUUUCACAUAUGUUGUUAUACGUUAGCACAAGUUUAGGAGUAAUUUUAGUUUCUCAAAUCUGUAUUUAUACCUCUUCUUCUAAUAAGAAUUGUGUGAAUCAUUUUGUCUAAACCUCUUUAUGGUAUCAGAGCACACCUCAAAACUCCAACAAGUAUUUCCUGUCUUUCUCGCUUCUGCUAUGGCCACUUCUUCCUCUGAUAGUUUUCCAAUAGCCAUCAAUGCCACCCAGCAAAUUACUGCACGUCUUACACCAACCAACUUCCCUUCAUGGCAUGCUCAAUUUGAGUCUCUCCUCCUCGGCUAUAACCUCUUUGGCUAUGUCGAUGGCACUCAUACCUGCCCACCCCUACCGAUGUCAACUAAUGCAGCUGCCACUACAGCUCAUCACCUUUGGUUCCAUCAGGACAAACUUAUUCUAAGUGCAAUUUUGACUUCAGUGUCCCUAGCUGUGAUACCACUCAUAGCAACCUCCCAAACGUCAUAUCAAACCUGGACAAAACUGACAAAACUGUAUGCUAGUCGAUCCAGGACUCGUGUCAUGCAGCUCAAAGAGGAUCUCACCCUCAUGCAAUGUGGCAAUCGCAGCAUUACAAAGUACCUACACUCUGUAAAAACCAUUGUCGAUGAGCUUGCUCUCAUCGAUGCCCCAUUAUCUCAAGAUGACAUCACCCUAUAUGUUCUUCAUGGCUUAGGAUCAAAUUUUCGUGACAUUGUUGCCCCGAUUCGAGCCCGAGAGUCUUCACUCUCAUUGUUGCAAAAUACUGUCCGAAAUUGAAACCCUCUGAAGCCACUGUGAACUGCACAACUACUACUUCCAGUCCCGACAAACGUUGGCUCAUUGAUUCUAUGGCUUCCCAUAAUAUCACUUCUCAGGUUUCAAAUUUACAAUUUCACUCUGAAUAUGAUGGUACUGAUGAAGUUAUUAUUGGAGAUGGAUCAGGUUUGCCCAUUACUCAUUCUGGUUCUCUUACUCUUUCAUUUCCAAACAGAAAAUUUCAAGUUGAAGAUACUCUAUGUGUUCCUACCAUUAACAAAAACUUGAUAUCUGUUCACCACUACACAAAGCAAAACAAUGUUAUCCUGGAAUUUCACCCAACUUAUUUUCUUGCGAAGGAUUGGAGAACGGGGGAGAUUCUUCUUCAAGGACCGUGUGAAAAUGGAGUCUACCCUCUGGCCUCAUCGCCUGCUGCUACUCCAAUUGCUUUUGUCCAUGAACGCACAUCAGCAGCUGGUUGGCAUCAUCGCCUUGGUCAUCGAUCAUUCAAAGUUGUCACUCGCCUCAUUAGUUCUUUCUCCCUUCCCACCACUUCAUGUCUUUCUGGUUCUAAUAAUUGUCAUUCGUGUUCUAUCAAUAAAGCUCAUCAGUUACCCUUUCAUAAACACGGUCUAACUAGCACAACACCAUUUGAUUUACUUUACACUGAUGUAUGGGGACCUUCUCCCACUCCUAGUCUCAAUGGCCACAGAUAUUAUGUUAUUUUUGUUGAUCACUUUACCAAAUAUGGUUGGUUCUUUCCAUUGCAUCAAAAAUCAGAUGUUAAAACCAUAUUUCCUCAUUUCUACAAAAUGAUUGAAACUCGUUUUAACAUAAAAAUUAAAGGAGUUUAUUCCGAUAAUGGGGGCGAGUUCACUGUUCUUCGACCCUUUUUCACAACCCAUGGCAUUAGUCAUUAUACGACAGCCCCUUAUACACCCCAACAAAAUGGAGUGUCUGAGCGUCGUCAUCUCCAUAUUGUGGAGACAGGUCAAACCCUUCUAAGUCAUGCCUCUCUUCCAUCAGAAUAUUAGGCUUAUGCUUUUGCAACAGCCACAUAUCUAAUCAAUCGACUUCCAUCACCUGUUCUUCAUCAUAUAUCACCUCUUCAAGCAACAACCUCGGUAUGAAAAAUUACGUUCCUUUGGAUGUCUUUGCUUUCCCUUGAUGAAGCCGUAUAACACAAACAAAUUUCAAAAGAAAUCCGUUCCUUGUAUCUUUGUUGGCUACUCUACUAGCCAAAGUGCAUAUCUAUGUCUUCAUCUACAAAGUCAGCGCAUAUACACCUCCAAACACGUAACCUUUGAUGAAUCUGUUUACCCCUUCAAACAGGUUUCCAUGCAAUCACCCACUGACUCAUCCCCAUCAGAAACCUCUUCUUUUUCAGGACCAAUUUUGCAGCUUGCUUCCAGGGAGCUUCCAACAAUCACACGGGCUCAAGGAGAUAUCCCCUCUGCUUCUUCGACUCCAAGUGAAGAUCCAGCUCUUGUGCAACCUCAAGAGGCACCACUUUCCACUUUAGAUCAGGUAACUCUUAGACCUUCUACUUCUGUUUCUCAACCAGAAAAUUCAAUGCCAUCCUCUCCACCACCAUGUCCACGAACCAUCAUCACUCGCUCCAUGAACAAUAUCUUUCGGCCAAAACAACUCCACACCACCACCAAGCACCCCUUACCUGAACCACCCGAACCAAGUUGUGUAAGUCAAGCUCUUAAAGACCCUCACUGGUGCAAGGCUAUGUCAGAAGAAGUGACAACCCUCCUUUAACAUGGGACGUGAGAACUGGUUCCUCCCACUCCUGGCCAGAAUCUUGUUGGGUGUAAAUUUGUGUUUCGGAAGAAACGAAAUCCAGAUGGAACAAUCAGUCGAUAUAAAGCUCGACUUGUCGCUAAAGGAUUUCAUCAACGGCCAGGUAUUGACUACUCUCAAACCUUCAGCCCUGUCGUAAAGCCAGUAACAAUUAGGCUUCUUUUAACCAUUGCUGUCAUGCAUGGCUAGCCCCUUCGUCAGUUAGACAUCAAUAAUGCAUUCUUGCAUGGUAAUCUUGAAGAAACAGUCUUCAUGCAUCAACCUACAGGAUUUGAAGAUCCAUCUCAACCUCAGUAUGUUUGCAAGCUAAAAUAGAGUAUCUAUGGUCUUAAACAAGCCCCAUGACAGUGGUACAAGGCCCUUCGGGAUGCACUUCUCAGCUUUGGUUUUAUUCACUCGGCCACUGACAACUCUUUGUUUAUCUAUAAGUCUCAUGAUAUCUUGUGCUACUGCCUUGUUUAUGUUGAUGACAUAAUUGUCACAAGCAACACACUCAGCUUUGUGAAUAACAUUAUAAACAAGCUUGGCUCUACAUUCUUAGUCAAAGAUAUGGGCUCCUUGCAUUAUUUCUUGGGAAUAGAAGUGAUUCCAAUGCCACAGGGGCUCUUUCUAUCUCAACAUCAGUAUAUAUGGGAUCUCCUUUCACGAACCUCCAUGGAAAAUGCUAAAGAAACACUCACUCCAAUGUCCACUACAGCCAAGCUUACGGUUCAAGAUAAUUUUGAAUGUGUUGACAGCACUGAGUAUCGCAAGAUCAUUGGAGCACUUCAGUAUUUGGGACUCACUCGUCCCGAUAUUGCCUUUGCAGUCAACAGAUUAUCUCAGUUCAUGUAGAAGCCGACAACAAACCAUUGGGCCGCAGCAAAAAGACUACUCAGCUAUCUUAAACAGACCAUGUUUCAUGGUAUCCUUCUCCAAAAUCAUGAUCAAUUCCAACUCAAGACCUAUAGUGAUGUGAAGUGGGCAUUAAAUACGGACACUCGUGUUUCAACCACUACUUUCAUCACAUUCAUUGGUCCUAAUCCAAUCUCAUGGUCUGCACGCAAGCAAAUGGCAGUCUCAAGAUCAUCUAUAGAAGCAGAGUUUCGGGCACUAGCUACUGCCACACAGAAACAGUUUGGCUUCAUUCUCUUAUCAAGGAACUUGGUCUCACUCUCAGAGAAGCACCUCAAAUGUUUUGUGAUAAUAUUGGUGCCAACCAUUUCAGUUUAAAUCCAGUCCAGCACAGACGGAUGAAACACAUUGAAAUUGAUCUCCUCUUUGUACGAGAUCUUGUCAAAAAGGGAACUAUUCGUGUUCAGCACAUCCAUACCAUUGAUCAACUAGCUAAUCUCCUUACAAAAUCACUCUCACAUCAACGCUUUCAACUAUUAAGAUCCAAGAUUGGUGUUGCAGAUGGCACCUCCAUCUUGAGGGGGCAUAUAAGGACAGCUAGUAUUCAUGCAGAAAAUCAGCAUCAGAAUUCGUAACUGCAUUUGAUCAGCUAGUUUAGGAAAUCUGUACAACUCAUUCUUUCCUUUAUUUUCACAUAUGUUGUUAUACGUUAGCACAAGUUUAGGAGUAAUUUUAGUUUCUCAAAUCUGUAUUUAUACCUCUUCUUCUAAUAAGAAUUGCGUGAAUCAUUUUGUCUAAACCUCUUUAUAUUUAUGUGAGAAUGACAGGUACAAAAUUUUGUUGAGAUAUACUGCCCCAUAAUCUUCAUCCUUUCCCUAAAAUGAGAGAGGGAAAAAAAAAAAGGAAUGAUUUUUUUUGUGUGUAUCUAAGUGGGAACAAGAGAUAUAGAAUUUCGUUGAGAUGCAGUGCUGCCACAUGAUCUUUAUCCUCCAUUAAACCCAACAUAUUAAAUCCACUAACUCUCUCCCCAAAAAUGAGUAAAAAAAAAAAAAAGGAAAAAAGUAUGAGUUAAAAAACAAAAACGGAAAAUAUGAUUUUUUUAAUGUGUUUCUAAGGAGAAUGAGAGAUACAUAUUUUUGUUAAGAUGCAUUGCCACGUGUUCUUCAUCCUCUCCAUUAAGCCUAAUAUAUUAAACCUAAUAGCUCUCUCUUUUAAGCUUUCCAAUGAAGUGCCUAUAGUAUCCAACUCAAAAUAAGACAACUUAAGCCCCAUUAGCCAACAACCCAUAUUUUGUGUACAUCUUGAUGAGAUUAUUUUGUGAGAAAAUGUCAUGAAACAAUCCCAAUUUGAUAAUCUAGGCAUGUAUUUGAGUUAAAAAUAAAUUUCUAUUCUAUAGAUCAAAGAAUAAAAUCAUGUUUGAAAAUUAUUUUUAAAAACUUAUUUAGAGCAAAAAUAGUUUUCUAACAUAAAAAUAAUUUUUUAACUGAGAAAAUAUAUUUGAAAUUAUUUGAUAGAAAAUUGGGCAUGUAUUUGACUUAAAAACAAAUUUCUAUUCUAUAGCUCCAAUAAUAAAAUCAUGUUUGAAAAUUAUUCUUAAAAACUUAUUUAGAGCAAAAAUGGUUUUCUAACAUUAAAAUAAUUUUUUAAUUUAGAAAAUAUAUUUGGAAACAGUUGAUAGAAAACUGGGCAUGUAUUUGACUUAAAAAUAAAUUAUUAUUCUAUAGAUCAAAGGAUAAAAUCAUGUUUGAAAAAUAUUCUUAAAAACUUAUUUAGAGUAAAAACAGUUUUCUAACAUAAAAAUAAAUUUUUAACUUAGAAAAUAUAUUUGAAAACAUUUGAUAGAAAACUUUUUUUUUUAAUGUCAAUAAGUUGUCUUUUUGUUAAUUUAAUUGUAAUCAAUUUUCUUAUACGCAUUUAAAAGUAUAUAUUAUCAUAUUUAGUAAUAUUUUGAUUAUUAGGCAAAUUAUCAUUUUUGAGAGGAAUUUUUGUAGCUCUCAUAAUUAUAAUUGUAUUUUAAUAACCACUUCCAAUAAAUAAAAAAAAGAAAAAAAAAGUUAGACAAUUAUCAAAAUCUGAUUUUUAGGAUUUUAAAAAAAUCUACAAGCCAAAACUAUUUAUAAUUUUGAUCAUGUGAGAACACUUCUUUUUUAAUACUUUGAGUUAUUUUGUUUUUUUUUUUUCUUAGUAUCUGAAAGUAUAAAAGAAUUUCUCAUAUAUGUGCAUGUGUGUUCUCAUGGUUGUUUAUGUCAUGUCUUAUUAAAGAAUGAAGUGAAGUUUCCUUUGAGUGGAAGGUUUUAGUCCACGCUAGUCAGUGGACACGGUAUGAAUAGUUUGGGUGGGUUGUAUCUAUGGUAAAAAAAUAAUAAAAGACAACUUUUGCAAGUCUCCAAGUUGGUUGAGAUACAUGAUGUCAUGUUGACUAGACCUUGACUUUUGCAAGUCUCCUAGUUUCCAACUUUUUUUUCUUUUUUUUUUUUAAUAUUAAGGUGUGGGGCCAUGAACUCCUUUCUUUCCUUUUUAAAUAACAAAAAGGAAGAUAAUUUUAUUGUGAGAAGGCUAUUGCUACCAAUUGUGUUCACGUCGAGAAUUUUUUAAUUUACGGAGGCCAUAUAUAUAUAUAUUUAUGUCUAAUUUAGGAGGGUAAUUUGGGUUUGUCUAAUCUAUUCCAUUUAAUCAUACUAUACAAUCAUUUUUUUUUAUUUGGAUUAUUCUUGUAUUAAAUUUCUUCAACCCAAAUUUUGUUGAAAAGUUACAAUGUAUUAUUGAAAAUAUGACUUGGUAGUUGAUUAUGGAUAUGUGUCAUUUUUAGUAUAAAAAAAAAAUAAAUCUAUAACAUUUUAUAUUGAUAAUAUAUUAUUCUUGUAACAGGUUUGAAUAAUAAGCAAGUCAUUGUCAAAGAAGUUAUUGAAAGUGUAAGUGUACAUUUAUUUAUUGCAUGCUCUUAUAUUGUAUCAAUUGUAAGGAAGAUAAAAUUACCUUGUAAAGGUAAUUAAAUCUUUCUAUAUUUUAAAAACUUUUUUCCUAUAUACUAUGCUUUUGAAGCUUGUUUAAUUAAACAUAUUAGUUAUUUGACAAACUUUUCACAAAUGUUUUGUAUACUUAUGUGUUCUAUUUUGUUCCAUAGUUUUAUUGCAUAAUACUAAUGUAUAUUUUUUCACAAACUUUUUACAACUAUUUUGUGUACUAAUGCAUAUUAAGUUUUGUUCUUGCCUAUAUAAGCUACAUUUAGUUAUUUAAAUAUAUCUAAUAUUAUGUUGAAGAAAGAUGUACUUACUUAACUUUUUUUAUUCUAAAUAUUAACAAGUUUUUCAGUUCUCUUGUCUCGAGAUUGAAUGUCAAAAGAUAGAAGGUCAGUUGAGUAUGAUGAAAGAGUUGAAAACUUUAUCAAUUUUGCAUUAGCACAUUCAAUCAACCAUUCCCCUAUAAAAUGCCCAUGCUUACGUUGUGCAAAUCUGUUAUGUCAAACUCUUCAAGUCAUUACAGAACAUUUGUUCUUUAAUGGAAUCGAUCUUAGUUAUCGAGUAUGGUAUUGGCAUGGAGAAAAUGGACCCAGUGGAGGAUUUUCAAAUGUCUCACAACAACAUUAUGACAAAUGCAAGUAUAAUGAUGUUGUUGACACAAUAGAUAUGGUUAAUGCUGCACAAGUUAAUUGUAUGAAUGAUCCCUAAGUGUUUGGAAGGUUACUUGAAGACGCAGAAAAACCUUUAUAUCUUGGAUGCAUGAAAUACACAAAGUUGUCAGCAUUGGUAAAACUUUACGACUUGAAAGCAUGUUAUGGUUGGUUUGACAAAGGAUUCUCAAAAUUGCUUCAGUUGCUUGGAGAUAUGUUGCCAUUGAAUAAUGAGAUGUCAUUGUCCAUGUAAGAAGCUAAAAAUACUUUUAGUGCACUUGGGAUGAAUAUAACAAAAUUCAUGCAUGUUCUAAUGAUUGUAUUUGGUAUAGAAACCAGUAUAAGGAUGCUAUUGCAUGCCUAACUUGUGGAAAGUCAAGGUGGAAGAUAAACAAUGAGGGGAAAAAGAUUAAGAAGGGGCUUCCUUCAAAGGUUUUAUGGUAUUUCCCACCAAUCCCUAGAUUCAAAAGGAUGUUCCAAUCCUCAAAAACCGCUAAACAUCUUAUGUGGCAUGCCAAGGAUAAAGAAUAUGACGGUAAACUAUGCCACCCAUCAGACUCCUUAGCGUGGAAACUAGUUGACCAUAUGUGGCUUGAUUUUGCUUCUGAACCGAGGACCUUAGACUAGCACUCUCAACAGAUGGUACAAAUCUUCAUAAGUCUAUAAGCAAUAGACAUAGUUGUUGGCCUGUUAUACUGAUCAUAUACAACCUUCCUCCUUGGUUGUGCAUGAAAAAGAAGUUUAUGAUGCUAUCAUUAUUGAUCUCAGGACCACGACAACCUGGUAAAAAUAUAGAUGUUUACUUGAGUCCAUUGGUAGAUGACCUUAAAACUUUGUGGGAAAAAAAAGUUAAGACUUAUGAUGCACACUUGCUUGAGGUUUUUACUUUAAAGGUCAUCAUUUUAUGGACAAUCAGUUAUUUCCCUACAUAUGAAAACUUGGCCAAUUGCACCGUGAAAGGAUAUUAUGCAUGUCCAAUAUGUGGAGAAGGAACAUAUUCCCAAAGAUUAAAGUAUGGUAGGAAGAACUUGUAUAUGGGUCACCGACGAUUUCUUCCACGUAACCAUCCCUAUUGGAGACAAAAGAAGGCACUCAAUGGUGAACAAGAUUUUAGAAUUCCUCCUAAAAUUUUGAGUGGAGAAGAAAUACUUGAAAAAGUUGAUCUCAUUCCUAUUUCUUGGGGAAAAAUGAAGAUAAAAUCUCUUGAACUGAUGUGAACACAAAUUGUUGGAAAAAAAAGUCCAUAUUUUUUUAGUUAGAAUAUUGGAAAUAUCUUCAUAUCUUUCACAACUUGGAUGUUAUGCACAUCGAAAAGAAUGUCUGUGAGAGUAUUAUUGGUCCUUUGUUUAACAUCCUAGGAAAAAAAAAAUGGACUUAAUGCUCAACUUGACCUAGUUGAAAUGGGUUUAAAGUCUGAACUUUUCCCAAGAGUUGACUUGAAGCGGACCUAUCUUCCCCCUGCAUGUUAUUCACUAUCCAAACAUAUAUGACAAAAAAUUAGUUUGUCAAACAUUGUCUAAUUUGAAGGUCCCUGAGGGGUAUUGCUCAAAUUUGAGAAAUCUUGUCUCCUUAGAGGAAUUGAAGUUAUUUGGUUUAAGAUCCCAUGACUACCAUGCACUUAUGCAACAACUAUUGCUAGUGGCAUUACGUUUUGUUUUGCUAAAGCAUGUGAGAUAUACUAUAUCAAGAUUGUGUAUCUUCUUCAAUCAAUUAUGUACAAAAAUGGUUGAUGUGCCAAAAUUGGAUGAAGUACACAAUGAGUUAGUGGUCACGCUGUGCUUACUUGAAAAGUAUUUUUCACCUUCAUUUUUUGAUAUUAUGCUUCAUCUAGUAGUGCAUUUGAUAAGGGAGGUGUGACUAUGUGGUUCAGCUUACUUUAGGUCGAUCUACCCAUUUGGGAGGUAUAUGAAAGUUCUUAAAGAAUUGUUCGCAAUCAUAAUUGGCCUGAAGGAUGCAUUACUAAGUGCUAUUUAGUAGAAAAAGCUAUCGAAUUUUGUACUGAAUAUUUAUUAGGGACUUAUGCAAUUGGAAUUCCAAAAGCAACAAUUAUGACAACAAAUUUCGUAGACCUAUUGAUUACUACUCAAAAAGUGCUAUUUGAUAGCUUGUAAUUAAUCCUUUUAAACACUUUUGAGUAGUAGUUAUUGCCUUUUAACCCAAUUAACAUGUUAAGGACCCUUGCAAUCAUUUCUUAUCAAAUUGUGUAAGUUUUGGUGUUUUUGUUAGUAAUUUGAUCACCAAAACAAUCCAAGAUUGAGGAGAGUUAUUUGGAAUCCAUGGCAAAGCAAUGAAGAGCUCAAAUUCAUGAAGAACCAAGCUUUGGAGCUCCAUAGCCCUUUGCCAAAGUCGUUCAAAGUAUGCAAGGAAAGAGCACUGGAGAGAGGAAAAACAGAGUGAAGAAAACAGAGGAAAGCUAGAUGUAGUCUUCUUUCACACUUUUGGAGCAAUUUCCGAAGUCCAUUUUCUACAUUCGAUAUACCAUUUCAAAGCUCAGGAAGUCAAGAAUCCAAUGCUUCAAACGGUGCAUGAUUCGGAGUUGAAACGAAGGAGUUACAGCCAUUGCAAGCAGAUCACUCCAAAGUGUUGCGAAAUCAGCCUUUUGUUGCGAGAAUUUCGCAGCCUUUUUGUACAGUGCUAUGGAAUUCCUCCUAAAGUUGCCCGAUAUAUGCCGCAAGCUGGAAGCUGAGAACAUCAAGGUGGAAGCCAACUUCGCAGCCCUACGAGAAUAACUUGUUGAUGCGAAAAUAUUUCGCAGCCCUCUUGAGUGUCUGCGAAAUCUCGCAGACACCAUUUUCACCUGCGAAAUGUUCCUGGAGCUUCCCGAUAUUUUUGCACCGACUCUUUUGGAUAUUUUUCUUCAGAUAUUUUUGUAUAAAUUUCCAUUCUUCUCCUUGUAAGCCACGAACCAUAAGAUUUCUUAGUUAGGAAGGUUGGAAAAACAUCUCUAUAUAUAUUCCUUUGCAUCCACUGUAAUCAUAUAUCAUAUAUAGAAUAUACAGAGCCUUGCUCUGUUUUUCCUUCUCUUUCAUUUUUCAUUUAUUUUUAUUUCUAGCCAACCAAACUUUGAGGAUUUUUCCACAGAGGAUGAGAGGCUAAGCUUUUUGUCUCUUGGAGUGAGGAAAGCCGGGUAAGUUUCCACAUGCAUAAUUUGGAAGUUUUGUUGUUUUAGUUUUUAAUGAAGAGAAAGUGUGACCCGUUAGUGAUUUCUAUGUUUUUAGUUAACUUAAAACGCCUUUAAAUCACCUGGGCCAACACUUGGUAAGGCAAGUGAUUUCCAACCAUGGAAAUGCACUAGUUUACCCCUUGCGAGCCUUUGGGAGGUGACUUGAAGGUAGGAUUUUCUAGAAUAGCCAACACUUGGUAAGCUUUUGGACUCCAAGGAGACAUCCAUUAGUUAUCUCUUGCGAGCUUUUGACGGGUAAUCCAAGGUUAAAGAUCACCUUGAAUGGCAAGUGCUAGGUGAGAGGUAUGAGUCAUUGUAAGAUGCAUCAGUGAGAGGGAUUUAGUGAUUGAACCCAUUAAUGGGAAGCAUCUGUACAACACCGGUUAGAGAAUUAACUAUAUGUUAAUUCUCUAAUGCGAGGAAAAUAAACAAGUGACCGGAACUCUCCAUUUUGUAUGAGGAACAAGCCUAGUGAUCUGAACUCCAAGAAACACUUUUCUUUGUAGUUAAAACCAGUUACUAUUUUUUGUUAGCUUAAAACCAAACCUUUUUCAUUUAAACAUCUUUAUGUUUCUUUUAAAGCUAACCUUGAAAUGAAAAGGCACCAAUUCAGCUUUGAAUUGAUAUCAUUUGUGAAGUGAAAACCCAUCCCAGUGAACGAUCCUAGAGCCACUAUGCUAUAGUAGCUUUGUCUUUGCUACCCUAGUUCAUGGUGUAAUAGGUUAUAAAUUUUGUUGAUUACUCCCUCAAUCAAGGAGCACCAGCUGGACACGAAUCAGCUGAGACACCAAGUGGGCNNNNNNNGUUCAUGGUGUAUUAGGUUAUAAAUUUAGUUGUUUACUCCCUCAAUCAAGGAGCACCAGCUUGACACGAAUCAGCUGAGACACCAAGUGGGCACGAAUCAAAUGGCGCCAUUUGCUUCGUCCGUAGCAGUGGCAGUGGCAAUGGCACCAUUUGAUUCGAGGUUCAAUCCCAGGCAACGGCGCCAUUUGAUUCGUCCCUAGCAGUGGCAGUGGCAAUGGCACCAUUUGAUUCGAGGUUCAAUCCCCGGCAGCGGCGCCAUUUGAUUCGUGUCCACUUGGUGUCUCAGCUGAUUCGUGUCCAGCUGGUGCUCCUUGAUUGAGGGAGUAAUCAACAAAAUUUAUAACCUAUUACACCAUGAACUAGGGUAGCAAAGACAAAGCUACUAUAGCAUAGUGGCUCUAGGAUCGUUCACUGGGAUGGGUUUUCACUUCACAAAUGAUAUCAAUUCAAAGCUGAAUUGGUGCCUUUUCAUUUCAAGGUUAGCUUUAAAAGAAAACAUAAAGAUGUUUAAAUGAAAAAGGUUUGGUUUUAAGCUAACAAAAAAUAGUAACUAAUUUUAACUACAAAGAAAAGUGUUUCUUGGAGUUCAGAUCACUAGGCUCGUUCCUCAUACAAAAUGGAGAGUUCCGGUCACUUGUUUAUUUUCCUCGCAUUAGAGAAUUAACAUAUAGUUAAUUCUCUAACCGGUGUUGUACAGAUGCUUCCCAUUAAUGGGUUCAAUCACUAAAUCCCUCUCACUGAUGCAUCUUACAAUGACUCAUACCUCUCACCUAGCACUUGCCAUUCAAGGUGAUCUUUAACCUUGGAUUACCCGUCAAAAGCUUGCAAGAGAUAACUAAUGGAUGUCUCCUUGGAGUCCAAAAGCUUACCAAGUGUUGGCUAUUCUAGAAAAUCCUACCUUCAAGUCACCUCCCAAAGGCUCGCAAGGGGUAAACUAGUGCAUUUCCAUGGUUGGAAAUCACUUGCCUUACCAAGUGUUGGCCCAGGUGAUUUAAAGGCGUUUUAAGUUAACUAAAAACAUAGAAAUCACUAACGGGUCACACUUUCUCUUCAUUAAAAACUAAAACAACAAAACUUCCAAAUUAUGCAUGUGGAAACUUACCCGGCUUUCCUCACUCCAAGAGACAAAAAGCUUAGCCUCUCAUCCUCUGUGGAAAAAUCCUCAAAGUUUGGUUGGCUAGAAAUAAAAAUAAAUGAAAAAUGAAAGAGAAGGAAAAACAGAGCAAGGCUCUGUAUAUUCUAUAUAUGAUAUAUGAUUACAGUGGAUGCAAAGGAAUAUAUAUAGAGAUGUUUUUCCAACCUUCCUAACUAAGAAAUCUUAUGGUUCGUGGCUUACAAGGAGAAGAAUGGAAAUUUAUACAAAAAUAUCUGAAGAAAAAUAUCCAAAAGAGUCGGUGCAAAAAUAUCGGGAAGCUCCAGGAACAUUUCGCAGGUGAAAAUGGUGUCUGCGAGAUUUCGCAGACACUCAAGAGGGCUGCGAAAUAUUUUUGCAUCAACAAGUUAUUCUCGUAGGGCUGCGAAGUUGGCUUCCACCUUGAUGUUCUCAGCUUCCAGCUUGUGGCAUAUAUCGGGCAACUUCAGGAGGAAUUCCAUAGCACUGUACAAAAAGGCUGCGAAAUUCUCGCAACAAAAGGCUGAUUUCGCAACACUUUGGAGUGAUCUGCUUGCAAUGGCUGUAACUCCUUCGUUUCAACUCCGAAUCAUGCACCGUUUGAAGCAUUGGAUUCUUGACUUCCUGAGCUUUGAAAUGGUAUAUCGAAUGUAGAAAAUGGACUUCGGGAAGUGCUCCAAAAGUGUGAAAGAAGACUGCAGCUAGCUUUCCUCUGUUUUCUUCACUCUGUUUUUCCUCUCUCCAGUGCUCUUUCCUUGCAUACUUUGAACGACUUUGGCAAAGGGCUAUGGAGCUCCAAAGCUUGGUUCUUCAUGAAUUUGAGCUCUUCAUUGCUUUGCCAUGGAUUCCAAAUAACUCUCCUCAAUCUUGGAUUGUUUUGGUGAUCAAAUUACUAACAAAAACACCAAAACUUACACAAUUUGAUAAGAAAUGAUUGCAAGGGUCCUUAACAUGUUAAUUGGGUUAAAAGGCAAUAACUACUACUCAAAAGUGUUUAAAAGGAUUAAUUACAAGCUAUCAAAUAGCACUUUUUGAGUAGUAAUCACUCCCCCCAACCGACAUAUUGCUAGUCCCUUAGCAAUGAAGGAGAGAAAAAUAAAAAUAAACAAUACUAUAAUUUACAACAUCAUGCUGAUCAAAAAACAAUUUUCAAGUGGCAUGAUGAUCUAACUCUCACAUGGAACAUUAAAGAAAUAAAACUCAAACUUCAACAAGAGUUAUCAAAUAACUUGUCUAAUCACAAUUCUUAAAGAGAAGGCAUUAUGCAAAUUUAAGCUUUAAAAUCAUUUCCACUUCCAAAGGAUCAAACCUUACUCUUCCACAAAAAUCUAAGUGUUAUUUAUUAGCUUCCGAAUAUAGUAUGUUGAACUAAUCUCUCCCCCUCAACCUAGUUCUUUUUCAAAGCUUAGCAAACUAAUCAACCUCCAAUAGGCUAAGAACGCACCUCUUUUUUCAUAAUUUUUUUCAUUGUAGGAGUACAAGGCUUAAAGGUAUUCUUUUCUAAAUUGUCCAUGUAACGGGGGUCCAUCGAUGACUCCCAACCAAUUAAGGUUUAGGGCAUCAAGCUUUAAGGAUCUUUCAACCACUAACUCCUCGGAUUUUACCCCGGACUUUUGAGAAUGAAUUUUUAAUACCCAAGCACCUACAGUAUGUUAAACUCCACCUAUUCACCCUUGUAACGAGCAUUGAGGUCGGUGACUCCCAACCAAUGAAGGCUUAGGGCACCAGGUUUUAAAGAUUUUCACCAUAUACCCCUCAGACCUUGCUCGGGUUUCAAGGCAAGCAAACAUUUUUUUUUUUUUUUUUUCAAAGACUCAUUGGCCUUUUAUAAGGUGUCCCAACACUAUUAAAUGAGGUCAAAGGUACCAAGUCUAAAAUUUUCCUAAGUCAAGAGGGAAAUAGUUUUUCAUCUUAUACUCGGAACCUAUUGUGCACAGUGUGUGGAUAGCUUAAAGUGGAAGAACUAAGGUUGACUUCAAUAGAAGUUUCAACAAUUCAUCAACUUUAAUAAGCAUAAUACAAAAUCUAAGUCAAGUAAAAAGACAAAAAUUCAAUUUCUCCAAUUUUAGUUUGAAAAUUUUUCCUUAAUAACCAUGGAGAGUAGAAUAAAAACUUUAAAAUUUUUUUAAAUUAAGCAAAAAACAACUAAAUUACCAAAAUAACUUAGCAUUAUUAACAAUACUUACUUCCUCAACUCUCCCCCCAACCAAGCUGAACAUUGUCCUCAAUGUGACAAAAGCGAUUGAAAAAUAGGGAGGAAGUGGUACCUCUUGAGUGACAUGGAGUCUGAGUUGUAUAGGAGAAACCACAUGUUUCAAAGAAAACAUAAGAGUUAGUGAGUAGAAGAAAUAGAAAAAUGCCAAGUUUAAACAAAAAUGAUGUCUAUGUAUGAUGUAUCAUCAGUAACACAUCCAAUUCCAAAAUAUAAGACAUCAAAACAUGGAAUUAUCUAUACUAAUAUAAUAUGUAAAGACAAAAAUAAAGAGAUGAUCAAGCAAUGGUAAGGUCCUGUGGAGCUGAUGCAUCUAUGGUGGCCUCUUGAGUGGGUUGGAUAAGGACUUUGACCUCUGUUCUGGUAGUCUCCUUAGGUGGCAUAGUCUCCUCAACUGGAGCUCUCAGUUGGUAGCUAUGGGAUUUGAUGGUUUAAGGAGGUAAGAAAUGGAGUGAGAGGCUUGGUGUGUGUGAUCCCAGGGUAUGCAGGGCUCUCCUUUUCAGAUGCAUGUUUGCAGGGCUCUAUUGGCAUUUUAGUAACUUCCCUUGGCUUUGCAAAGUGUUUUUGCAAAUCACCCUCCAUUUCACAAGUCAAUUUUGCAAUUUAAAGUCCAUUUUGAAGCUUGGAGGUGAUUUCACAGCCCUUUCGAAGCUUGGAGAUCAUUUCGCAGAAAAGUGGCAUGUUCACUGACCAUUUUUGAAGCUUGGAGCAUUUUCGCAGCCAUUCUGAAGCUUGGAGAUCAUUUUGCAGAAAAGUGGCAUUUUCGCAGACCAUUUUUGAAGCUUGGAGCAUUUUCGCAGCCAUUUCGAAGUUUGGAGAUCAUUUCACAGGCAAUGGGCAAUUCCGCAGCCCAUUUCUGAAGCUUGGAGCAUUUUCGCAGCGGGGGGUGGAUUUCACAGAGGAGGGGAAUUCUCGCAGCCCAUUUCGUAGCUUAAAAGUAAUUUCAUAGCUCAAAGGUGAUUUCGCAGCCAUAUCGCAGCUUCAAAAUGAGGGGAACUGUGCUGCAAAUGGCACUCGUGUGCCAAAAAGUGGUUUCGUAGCUGCGAAACACCCUUCCAAAUGGCGUCUCGGCUGCGAAAUUCCCGUUCAGCUUUGCGCGCUUGUCUUCAAAUGACCAUAACUUCUUUAUUUCAAAUCCAAAUCGAGUACCGUUUGAAGCUAUGGACUCCUGACUUCCCAAGAUUUGAAACGAGAUAUCAUAUGCAUAAUUUGAGCUCCAGGAAGUGCUUCAAAAAUGUGUCCAACAGUAGCAAAAUUGAGGUGCGACAUUUCCGCUCAUGGUUUGCACAGUCAUCUUCAAACAGCCAUAACUUUUCUGUUUCAAAUCCAAAUCGAGCACCAUUUGAAGAUAUGGACUCCUGACUUCCCAAGCUUUCCAACGAGAUAUUGCAUGCAUAAUUUGAACUUCGGGAAGUGAUCGAGAUGUGCCCAACAAUUGCCAAAAUGAGGGUGCGGCUGUGAAAUUGGGAUUUUUCAAUUUUGGGUUUCGCAGCCAUUUUCGCAGCUGCGAAAUGGCACUCGUGUGCCAAAACCAGCUUCGCAAUUGCGAAAUACCCUGCGGAAUGGGGCUUUGGCUGCCAAAAAAAAUGAAUUUUUUUUUUUUUUUUUUUUUUGGUUUCGCAGCCAUUUUCGCAGCUGCGAAAUGAGGGUUACUGUGCUGCGAAAUGGCACUCGUGUGCCAAAAGUUGGCUUCGCAGCUGCCAAACACCCUUCCAAAUGGAGCUUUCCCUACGAAAUGGAGGAUUUCAUGCUUUGGUGGUUCGCAGCCGCUUUCGCAGCUGCGAAAUGGGGGCUCCUGUGCUGCGAAGUGGCACUCAUAUGCCAAAAUUGGUUUUGCAGCUGCCAAAAUUUUCGCAAAGAGGGCUAUUGGGUUGCGAACUGGUUUCGCAGCAAAAUUUCGAUUUCGUAGAGGCUGCGAUAUCUCGCAGACCCCUGUUUUUCCCCUAUUUCUCCCCUGUUUUCGCUCCGUUUGACUCCGAUUUUGCUCCGAUUUUUUUCCUUCAAUUUCUUUGCAAUUCCUCUUGAUUUUGAUCAUCCAAAAACCUAUAUUACAUCAAAACAAACUAGAAUUAAAACAUUUAAAUCAAAAUUAAAGCAUUGAAAUCAAAAUUAAAACAAGUAAAAAAAAAACAAAACAAAAAGAUAUGGACUAGCUAGUCUUUAAAAAGACUAAGUCCAUCAAAAAAUUUGCUCCUGAUUUAGCUUGCCCGGAUCCCAUAUGAAGCUUGCAUCUCUCACUUGGGGCUUUCUCUGUAUGAUUUUCUCAUACAAAGCUUGGAGAAAAGUUAGAGGCACGUGUUUCAUCAUCAAUUCUUCCUUGAUGACUAUCCUCUGUGGUUCUUCAUCUAUAUAGUCAUCUUUCUCUGUACUUUUCCCCUUUUUCUUUCCUUUGAUUUCCUCCCUCUUUUCUUUCUCUGUUUCACUAUCUACCUUAUGCUCUAGCUUGCAUGUGGGCAGAUCAACCUCUUUACCACUCCUCAGAGUGAUCACUUCUUCAAUUUCCUUCACCAUUGAAGAUUCUCCCUCUUUAGUCUCCAUUUCAUGGAUACUCAUGGAAUUUUGAUAAGGUUGAGAAGGAGAGUUUUCUUUCUCUUGCAUUGUUUUGAGGUUGGCAAACCUUGAGAUUGAAUCUUGGAGAAUAUCUAACUUCUGAGCCAUAUCAUUUUGCAUUACAUCCAUCCUUUAUUCAAAGUACUCUCCAUUCUGUCAAUUCUUUGAUUGAUUUGAGCAUUGAUGGCUUCUUGCUUUCCAAUAAAAUCUCCCACGACCUUGCAAAGAUUCACCAUAGCUUGUUCAAGGAUUGAGGCUUGCUGUGGUGCUUGAGCAGGUUGCUGAUACUGAGGUGGCUGUGGUUUCCAAGAGAAAUUUGGAUGGUCCCUCCAAUUGGAAUUGUGGGUGUUGCAAUCACCAAACAUUUCCCUCUCGGAUGGAAUGGUAGGACACUCAUCCACCAAGUGCUCAUAUGAUCGACAAAUGGCACAAGGCAUAGCUUGCAAUGGUGUUUAAAAGAUGGUUUGCACUUCUUGCAUCUGGUUCAUUUCUAGCUCAUCCAAUCUCCUUUCCAUAGCUGCAAUCUCUGCCUUCAUGUCCAUGCCGUCAUUCAAAAUAUACAUCUCACCCUUAGCUUUAGGUUGAGACGUCAUUCUUCCCAUAUCUCUAGCAUUUGGUUCAUCCCAUCCUCUUGAAAAUUCAGCCACAUAACUCAUGAAGUUCAUGGCUUCCUCUGCUAUGUGGUUCAAUAUGGCAUGCACAACUAGCAAUUUGUGAUUUAAAAACAGAGAACACAAAAGAAAACAAAAGAAAAACAAUUCAAAGAAAGAAAAUUAAGGUAAACUAAAGACUAAAUAAAAGGUAUACUAAAAUAUGAACAACAAAGAAAUAAAAAGGGUUAGUGAAAGGAAAAGAAAAGUCACCAAACUUGUGAUGAAGAUCACAAGUACUCUAGAAAGGUGCAUUGUAAAGUGGCACCAUCCCCGGCAACAGCGCCAUUUGAUUCGUGCCCACUUGGUGUCUCAGCUGAUUCGUGUCCAGCUGGUGCUCCUUGAUUGAGGGAGUAAUCAACAAAAUUUAUAACCUAUUACACCAUGAACUAGGGUAGCAAAGACAAAGCUACUAUAGCAUAGUGGCUCUAGGAUCGUUCACUGGGAUGGGUUUUCACUUCACAAAUGAUAUCAAUUCAAAGCUGAAUUGGUGCCUUUUCAUUUCAAGGUUAGCUUUAAAAGAAAACAUAAAGAUGUUUAAAUGAAAAAGGUUUGGUUUUAAGCUAACAAAAAAUAGUAACUAAUUUUAACUACAAAGAAAAGUGUUUCUUGGAGUUCAGAUCACUAGGCUCGUUCCUCAUACAAAAUGGAGAGUUCCGGUCACUUGUUUAUUUUCCUCGCAUUAGAGAAUUAACAUAUAGUUAAUUCUCUAACCGGUGUUGUACAGAUGCUUCCCAUUAAUGGGUUCAAUCACUAAAUCCCUCUCACUGAUGCAUCUUACAAUGACUCAUACCUCUCACCUAGCACUUGCCAUUCAAGGUGAUCUUUAACCUUGGAUUACCCGUCAAAAGCUUGCAAGAGAUAACUAAUGGAUGUCUCCUUGGAGUCCAAAAGCUUACCAAGUGUUGGCUAUUCUAGAAAAUCCUACCUUCAAGUCACCUCCCAAAGGCUCGCAAGGGGUAAACUAGUGCAUUUCCAUGGUUGGAAAUCACUUGCCUUACCAAGUGUUGGCCCAGGUGAUUUAAAGGCGUUUUAAGUUAACUAAAAACAUAGAAAUCACUAACGGGUCACACUUUCUCUUCAUUAAAAACUAAAACAACAAAACUUCCAAAUUAUGCAUGUGGAAACUUACCCGGCUUUCCUCACUCCAAGAGACAAAAAGCUUAGCCUCUCAUCCUCUGUGGAAAAAUCCUCAAAGUUUGGUUGGCUAGAAAUAAAAAUAAAUGAAAAAUGAAAGAGAAGGAAAAACAGAGCAAGACUCUGUAUAUUCUAUAUAUGAUAUAUGAUUACAGUGGAUGCAAAGGAAUUUAUAUAGAGAUGUUUUUCCAACCUUCCUAACUAAGAAAUCUUAUGGUUCGUGGCUUACAAGGAGAAGAAUGGAAAUUUAUACAAAAAUAUCUGAAGAAAAAUAUCCAAAAGAGUCGGUGCAAAAAUAUCGGGAAGCUCCAGGAACAUUUCGCAGGUGAAAAUGGUGUCUGCGAGAUUUCGCAGACACUCAAGAGGGCUGCGAAAUAUUUUCGCAUCAACAAGUUAUUCUCGUAGGGCUGUGAAGUUGGCUUCCACCUUGAUGUUCUCAGCUUCCAGCUUGCGGCAUAUAUCGGGCAACUUCAGGAGGAAUUCCAUAGCACUGUACAAAAAGGCUGUGAAAUUCUCGCAACAAAAGGCUGAUUUCGCAACACUUUGGAGUGAUCUGCUUGCAAUGGCUGUAACUCCUUCGUUUCAACUCCGAAUCACGCACCGUUUGAAGCAUUGGAUUCUUGACUUCCUGAUCUUUGAAAUGGUAUAUAGAAUGUAGAAAAUGGACUUCGGUAAGUUCUCCAAAAGUGUGAAAGAAGACUGCAGCUAGCUUUCCUCUGUUUUCUUCACUCUGUUUUUCCUCUCUCCAGUGCUCUUUCCUUGCAUACUUUGAACGACUUUGGCAAAGGGCUAUGGAGCUCCAAAGCUUGGUUCUUCAUGAAUUUGAGCUCUUCAUUGCUUUGCCAUGGAUUCCAAAUAACUCUCCUCAAUCUUGGAUUGUUUUGGUGAUCAAAUUACUAACAAAAACACCAAAACUUACACAAUUUGAUUAGAAAUGAUUGCAAGGGUCCUUAACAAGUUAAUUGGGUUAAAAGGCAAUAACUACUACUCAAAAGUGUUUAAAAGGAUUAAUUACAAGCUAUCAAAUAGCACUUUUUGAGUAGUAAUCACCUAUAAUUAGUGGUCGUUCUACCAUCAUUGUUCAUAAAUCGUGGUUACAAGCACAUCAUUAUCUAUUAGAGAAUACAACUAUCGUCCAACCAUACACUGAGUAAGAAAAACAUACCUUUAUCUUUUUAUAAUUUCAUAACAUAAUGAUGAAAUCCUAAGUUUGCAUUCCUUGUCUUUAACGUCAUAGGGAACACAUGAAUUGGUUGAGGUCUCAAUACCCUCGACAAUCUAAUAGACAAAUUUGGUUGCAAGAAGAACAUAUGAGUUGUUUUACAUAUUGGCUUAAAGAAACGGUAAUCUCUUAGUUUUUAGAAAAAUUUUCAAUAUGUUGAAAACAUCACAAGUUUUCAAUAUGUUUUGAUUAUACAUAGGUUGAAGAGGCUAUCCAUAAUGGGCAAGAUAUUCCCGACACACUUAGGUGGUUAGCACAUGGCCCUACUCUCCAGGUAGUCAAAUAUCCUAGAUAUAUCGUUAAUGAGUGUCGUUACCAUAUUAAGAAACGCGAUAUGACAUGCAUCACCCAAAAUAGUGGUGUUAGCAUUUUAGCAAGGACUAUGCAAAUUGCCAAUUCUAAGGAUAAGAACCUAGUUUGUGGUGAACUUUGCUUUUAUGGGGUCAUUAAUGAGAUAUGAAAUCUUGAUUACAACAUGUUCACAAUUCUAAUUUUCAAGUGUGAUUAGGUUGACAACAAGAAUGGUAUAAAAGUUGAUGAACUUAGGUUCACAUUAGUUGACUUCUCCAAAAUAGGUCACAAAUUGGAUCCAUUUAUUUUAGCAUCACAAGCCAAGCAAAUCUUCUAUGUUGAAGAUCAACUUGAUCCUAAAUGGUCAAUAGUUCUCUCAAUUCCUCCAAAAGAUUUCAAGAACAUAGAAGGACUAGAUGACUUCACCAAUAAUUGCAUGGAACAUCACCCCUUUAUAAGUUCAAUGCCAGAAUUUGAAUCAUUUGAUGCUAUGGAUGAAUCAUAGGCAAUACACAUGAGAGAAAACUGUGAGGGCAUAUGGAUUGAAAAUAAUUAAAUAACAUAUUGUACCCUUGAAUGAGAUAUAAUAAGGCAUUUCACUUAUUAGUUUUCAUGAGUUGCACAUUAACUUAGCUUCUAUAUAUUGCUCAUGAUAUAUCUAUAUAUAUUAAUCAUCCUAAAUUUCUUUCAUGCAUCAUAAACAUAUGUUAUUCAAAGGUACCACUUCAAUCUUCAUUCAACUAUCUUUUUGUUGUCCAUAGAACUAGAUUUAUAUUAUUUUUUAUUAUCAUGUUUUGAUUUUAUGCUCACAUAACUUGAAACUCUCAUUCCUAAAUUUCUUUUUCAUUAAAACUAUAAAUCAUAAUUGAAACUAUGCACUAAUUUAUUUUAUUAUUAUCCUCACAAAUAAAUUCUUCAUUAUUGAUAAGAAAUCAAAAAACAAGACAAACUUUGAAAGAAAAUUUCAAAAAAUAUAUUUGUGAAUGACCAAUUUAAUUAUAGAAAAUAUAUGCAAGGCUAUACUAAUCUUGCUUUUGAGUCAUUUUACAGGUUUGUUGGUGAAGUACUAGUUUGCACAUUUACUUGAUAUCUUCCACACAAAUAUGGAUCUAGAAGAAGGGGAAAUGCCAAAAAUAAAGCAUAGAGGUAGUGCAUUGAAACCAAAGAUUGCAAAAAAUCGAAGUAAAGGGAUAAAGCUCAAGAUUGAAUACAAUAGCCUUGGUAGUCACAUUGAGGAAAAUUCAGUUAAACUAAGUAGUUAUCUUAGUACAAUAACUAGUACCCAUGUGCCAAUAAUUAUUGAGAGUUGGAGGAAAGUCCCUAAAGAGACUAAGGAGAAGUUGUGGGAUUUGAUCACGGUAAGCCUAUCUAUAGCUUUAAUAUAUAAUUAUUGUAUACAUUCAUUAACAUGAGCUAACAUGGGUUGCUAUUUUGUAGACAAGCUUUAAUGUGAAUAAAAAAUCCAAGAGGAAUUGUUUCAUACUAAUGGGCAUCAGGUUUCGAACCUUUAAGUAUAAGUUGACAAAGAAAUAUAUAUUGUCUUUCAAGAAUGACCAAAAAAGCUGAAAAAGUCACCUCCUAUUUGCCCAUUCAUACAAGAGGAUCAUUGGAGACAGUUUGUUAAAGAUAGACUUUUUGAACAUUUUAACGUUAAGCAUUAUUUUUAUUACAUCUUCAAUUUUCACAUUUACAUAGUUUCAUUAUGUACUAAUUUUGUGUCUAUAUUUUGUAGGAAUAUCGCAAAGUUCAAAAAUCAAGAAGAGAUAAACACAUUUACAAUCAUUAUCUUGGAAGAAAAUGAUAUGCACGUUUUGAGCAAGAUAUAGUAAGUUAUCAAUAUCCAUAAAAAAAAUGGAGUAUAUAUUUUGUUUAUAGGAAAAUGAUUCUAGUUUUUAAAUAUCAUUUAUUAACUUGAUCAUGUUGAACUAAUGAGUUUUAUUGUUAAAAAUUUUAUAGCUACAAGCAGAAGGGGCUAUUGGUAGGGUUGAUAGAAGUGUUUAUGAAAGAAAACACGUGAGAAGAAAGGAAAGUUUAAUAAGAUUACAAAGCUAAUGAUUAACUAAGUUAGCAUAUUUAUCUCUUUUAGAGCCUAUAAUGUUAGUAUGUCUAUGUGAUUAUGGUUUAGGAUGAUAUCGUUAGGUGUUAAUAGGGAAGAGGCUUAAUGCUAUCAUUUUUAUGAGUAGUCAUGUUCUAUUAGUGCAAAUAUAGUAGCCUAAUUUGAAAAUUAAUUUUGAAACAAUAUACAUUAAUUUAUCUAUUAUCAUUUUUAUUAAAACAAUUCAUUUUCUAGCUACCUUGAAUUGGUCCUCUUGAAUUGGUUGUCUUUGAUUGAUAUGUUAAUCAUCUUCAUCAAAUUAUUACUAAUAUAUGUUUUGUUGUAGGAUGAAUUACUAGAAAAGGCAAGGAGACUGGACUACCUCCACCUGGUCCAAAUGACAUAUUAUGUCAGGCAUUGGGUAAGCUUGAUCAUCUAGGACGUGUGGUAGGUCAAGACCACUUGGUUAGGCCGAACUCAUACUUUCAUCAACCAUUUGAUGACAUGAAAAAAAAUAAUCAAAGAAGAAAUAUGGGAAAUGGUGUGAAAGGGGAUGCAAAAUGCUGUAACAAGACAAACUAUGUCUCCUCCCACACCCCAUUCUGAUAUAGGUAGUAAUAACAUGAGACAACAACUUGUUUUACAACUAGUUGUAGCAAAAAAACCAAUGUUUAAAAUGAUGGAAGAGCCCUAACCACCAGAACCACCACUGAAACGUAAGGUAUACAUUUACUUACUAAUAAUACAAGAUUAAUAUAAGUGAUAUAUAGCCUAUGUAAAUGAUAUUAUUUGUUGUAUUAAAGGUGAUUAAAUAUAAAUUAGCAGUGGAAUGAAAAUGAAAUGUUGUUGCAACCAGUACAUUAAUAGAAGAAAAUUGAUCAAAUGGGUUGGUCGUAAUAAAUGUUGCACACAAGCUAGAUGCUAGACUCCCAUUUCCAAAUCCAUAUGAGAUUAUCAAUGUUGGGGAUUCUAUUGGCCUUAAGCUUGACUGGCCAACAAGCCUUGUCAUACUUGAAACUAAACAUCCUCGGGUAUGUCAUUUUAUACUUGUAGUAAAUUUGAUUGUAACUUGGUAUUUUAUUGUUUAGGAGUAUAUAUUACUAACAUUCCUUCAUUUUUCAUAAGUGUUGGAUAAAGGAAAGAAGUAGAUAGUGAAUGCACCAAUUAUUCGAAAAUCUAAGCCUCAAAAUUAUUCGGUCAUUAAAAAUUUUCAGAAAUUUAUGGAUGGUUGUCUUAGUAAUGAGAAGACAUACCCAAUACAACUCCCCAUUUCACUAUUUGGUGUCGAAUUCCGAACAUAUAUAUCUAGAGAGGAUUGUGAAUACAUUAUUUCAUCUUCAGAGGUGUCAUCAAAAUGCAUCUCCUUCCACUUAUGGUGUGCACCUUUUAUUUUCAUUUGUUUUUAUUUUUUUAAUAUGAGUUGCCCAUGUUGAACAAGAUUGGAUAUGACUAAUGAUAAUUUUCUUUUGGUGUUUUGAUAAUAUAAUAGGUACAUGCAUGAUCAACUACAUAUUGCCAAAAAGGAAUCACAAUUUAUAUUUGUUAAUCCUUUUACAAUAUCAUGAGCAGGCUUUAGUAAUCCUCAAACAGAGAAAAGAACACAAUUGUUGUCAAAACACUUAAUAGAGUGCCAAGAUGUCGGAUAUGUUUUCAUGCCCUACAACCCCGAGUAAGUGACGAAUAUUAUACUUUAAUUUGAGGUUUUAUGAUUGAUUUAUAUUUAUAAUUAGAUGCUACUUUUGUUUUUAAUGUUUUAGCUUUCAUUGGGUCUUGGUAGUGAUUGAGCCAAGGAAAAUGAUAGUCCACUAUCUUGACCCUAUGCAUCACAAACCAUGUGAGGACUUAAAGGAUAUCGUAAACAUGUAAGUUCUUCCUAUUAUUUUUCAUAGUAUUAUUUUAAAAAAAAUUACAUUCACCUCAAACACAUUUUUUAUUGUUAUUUCUAUAUAUUAAAACAUAUAAUAUUUACCUAUUUUAAAAUUGUACCCAUUGAACUUAUUUACAUAGGGCUCUUUAAAUAUAUGCAAAGAAAAUAUCUAAGAGAGAGCCAUCUUGGCAACUAGUGCAAGUAACAUCCAAAAAUUUUCUUUACACAUUUAGCUUAUGCAUUUGCACCAUUUAUAUAUAUGAGUACUAAUGUUAUUUUAUAACUGAUCGAUUAGUGUCCAAGACAAGAAGGAGGGUUCAAAUGUGACUACUUUGUUAUGAGAUUCAUUAAAGAGAUAAUUUUUUAUCCUACAAUGAUUGCUUCAAAGGUAUUACUUAUUUAAUGACUUGUACAUAUUUUUAGGCUUCCAAAUGUUAUGCAUUUUAAUGUUAUUUUCUUAUUUGAUUUCAGUUUGGUGAUAAAAAAAACAUAUUAUCAAGUAGAAUUCAAUGAAAUUAGAGGAGAAUUGACUACUUUUGUGCUACAACUAAUCAUGAAUCAUGUUGAUGCAUCAUGAUCACCAUGCAUGGUGAGUCCCUUAGCUACUACAUGAAUUUUUCCAUAGAUUAUAGUAUUGCUUUUCUUUGAACAAUGUUUUUAUUUGAAAAAAAGAAAAAAAAAAGUUCUUAGAUUUGUUCAUUUAUGAUAACAUCGAUCCAUAUUUAUUUUCUUCAAUNNNNNNNNNNNNNNNNNNNNNNNNNNNNNNNNNNNNNNNNNNNNNNNNNNNNNNNNNNNNNNNNNNNNNNNNNNNNNNNNNNNNNNNNNNNNNNNNNNNNGGUAUACACUCUUAGGAGGGUGGAAUAGAGAAUAAAAAGAACAAAGAAGGCAACAAGAUUUUGGGUUUUUAAAUGCAGCUCGUAUGUCAUACAUUGUAGGACAUAAACGUUACUUUAAUUGGUAGUGAGAAUUUUAGAUUUUUAGAUGCUACUUUUAUGUCAUUUUAUAGUUAGUCGGUUUUAUGCUUAUGAAAUGAAGGUAUACAUGAAUCUUGGGAUGCUUAACAUUACUAGAUCAUGUUUUGGUAUGUAUUCACUCUUCUUUUUUAGUUUUGGUGGGUUUGAUAUAUUGGAUGUACUAUCUUUUUGUGAACAUUUGAUAUACAAAUAUUAUUAGAUGAUCAAUGUAUUACGAGUUAUUCCAUAAACAUUACUGAAAAAUGAGUUAAAUGUAAUAUGAUUGUUAUAUUUAUGGACAAAAUAUACACAGGUUAAUCCUAUUUGUUAAUUCAUAAGCAUUACAAAAAUCUACAACUAAAAGCAAUCAUAUCUUCCAUGAUAAUUUACAAUGAUGUGACACCAUAACUCAAAGGUGAUGCAUUUAAUGUGACAUCAUAACUCAAAGAUCAUGCAUUUAAUGCGACAUCCUAUCAUCACUAGAAAUAUAUGAUGUCACUUUCGAAUGCGUUACCAUUUAUCUACUUUGGUGUCACUUACAAAUACGUCACCAAUUGGUACCCUCUAUGGUGUCAGUGGAGAAGGUGACACUAUGUUGUAGUGACACCCUAUGUUUAUGGUGACUCGUUAUAAAUGUCACCAUAUAUCUUUUUUCUUGUAGUGCAAAUUACUUAUCUUACUAUGCAUUGGGCUUUGAUAUUAGCCAGAGACAGUAGUGGCUCCUAAUUUUUAUCCUUAACUGAAAUGAAAACGUUAAGCAGGUCCCCAGCCUCUUUUUCGCCAUUCUUCCACUAUUCUACUAUUUGGUCCAUGAUUGGAUCAUGGUACUUGUUAAUGGUGUUCAUAGCCUCCCAUAUAGUCUUUUCAUGGCCAUCUAAAUUCAGCACUCUCUGCCAUGGGAAGUAAUCAGAUAAAGAGAAUACAUAUAGAUGAGCAAGUAUAGUAAAGAAGGAUUCAACAUGUUGCUCCACUUCAACUCUAGGGCCUCCAUCUUUCUUUCGUUCGCCAAAGUAUCUUGUGUUGAGGAUCAUCUUUCAGAUGACAUUCCCGUUGUAUUGACGGACUUUAUUUCUGUCACACCCCAAAUACUAGGCAACCCAGAACUUGACUCGUGGCCCUAGGUCAAAGGUUUGACCCUAAGAGUUACUCUUAUCCAUGUUGGCAAUCAAUCAAAACACCCUAGAUUUUUUUUCUUUUCAAUAAAGCGUUUAAUCCUAAAUAAAUUUAUUAAGCUAAGAUUUACUAUAACAUAUCAUUUUAUUUUUCCAAAACUAACCAUCACAUUAUCUCCUGUUCACAAGUAUUAAAAAAAUAAAAUUCCACCAAUCAUCUUCCUACCCAAAAGCUCAAAUAUUUACAAUAAUCUCUAAGUCAAAAAGAAUAUUUCCAAAAAUGUUUUACAAACUAAUAAAAUAUAAUUUAACUUAAAAAGGUCCAUAUAACUCAAAUUAGUAGAUGUCAAAAAGGUAAUUAAAAAAAAACAACAACCAUUAUUAUGGUUUUUUUGCUUUUUAGAACACUUCAUGAUCUUCUUAUGGUCCCUUAGAAACUAUAUCUGCAUCUAAAAAUUUUAGAAAAUAAAGGGAUGCACAUUUCCACGUUACUCUUUAGACCUAGACGAGUUAGAAAUUCUAGGUCAAUAAAACACAACCAUAUGCCAAAAUAUAAUAUUACAUUUACAUUAUACACACUAAAAGAAACCUCAACCAUACAAAUUUAAAUCAAUCAAAAUUAUCAUUUUCCUUAUUUAAUCAUAUGUUUAGCAUAUCAAUAAUUUUAAAUUUACAAAAUAAAUAAGUCACUUUAGUCUUGAAUAAUAUAUUCAAACAUACACUUGAUAAAUAAUACAAAUCAUUUUUCCAAAUGCAACCAUGAUACAAAUGCUUACACACAAUCGCGCAAUGCAAUAUCGUUCUCGGGCUUUCACCGAAGGAUAUGCAUUUAUACCCAAAUACACUCCCCAUUCGGAGUCUUCCUGGGAUAAACUUUUGAGUAUUUCACCCUAAGGAUCUCACUCCCUUCUUAACUCACCAUCUCUAGGGUCAUUCAAUUUCUUAUUUUUCUUUUCUUUUCAUUUUUGCCAUUUUUGGGGUCUUUUCAUUCUCAUUUCCAUUUCACACAACCAUUUCUUUAAUUUUUCUUUUUCUUCACACAAUCAUGAUGCAUAUGAAAUGCAAUUGAAUCAUAUUUUAACAUACAUAAUUUUCCAAGACAUAAUUUUAUUUACUCCCAUUAUGUUUCAUAAUUUCCAAUAAUCCACACAACGAUUUUUCUUCACUUUAAUCGUCACAAACAUAAAAGAAAAUUCACAAUUAAUUUGUAUAGCAUCAAAACAUAGUUUUAAACAUUGACCACAUAAAUUCUAUUUAUUCCCGACAUGCUUAAUAAUUUCCAAAUCCAAUAUAACCAUUUUUUUUCAAUUAAAUAAUCACACAUAUCCAAGAAAAUUCUCGCUAAUACAAAUAUCAACGAAAAUGUAAUUUAUGUCAUAAUUUAUUUGUCUCCAAUAAUUUCAAAAAUUUUGACACCCAUAUGACAAAUUUCCACAAUUAAGCCACCCCAACAUUUGGGAAAAAUUUUCCAAUAAUUCAAAUAUCAACAAAAACCCAAUUUAUAUCAUCAUUUUAUUUAUUUUUAAAAGCAUUAAUAAUUUUAAUAAUCAAUACAACACUUUUCCACAAUUAAGCCACCACAACAUUCUGGGAAAAUUUUCCAAUAAUUCAAAUAUUAACAAAACACAAUUAUACCUUAGUUUUUCUUAUCUCCAACAACAUCAAUAAUUCUUAGUACUCAAUACAACUAUUUUUAUUUUUUCAUAUUUAAUCUUCUCAAACAUUACCAAAAUUCCAAGAAAAAUCUAUAAAUCACGAAAUAAAAUUAUUCACAAUAAUAAUCACACUUCAAAUACUACAAAUAACAUCUAUUAUAUUUCAACAACACAAUAUAUAAAUUUUUUUGAAAGAAAAUAUUAAAUCAAAGUUUUAGGGUUAAAUCACCCUACCUUAAAUUUGAAAAUUUUAACCAUUAAAACUAAAACGGGACACCGUAGGAGUGUUCCUUGCAUUGAAUAGAAUAUCCUUCCAAAAUUUCAUGCGAAAUGGACGUCAUUUGGUAGGUCCACCAGCAUCCUAAAGCUGGCGACCCAUUUUUCCCACUCUUUGCUGAUGACUCCCCUACAUCUCUCACUCGAUUUCCUUUCUUCAUUUUCUUUUCUUCUUCUUCUUUUAAACUCCCACGCCAAUUUCACUUUAUAUAUAUAUAUAUAUAUAUAUAUAUAUUAUUAAAACAAAUCCUAAAAUACCACGCACAUCCAUUUCUCAAUAAAUUAAAACCAUUAUUCUUAAAUUCAUCUUCCGUAAUUAUGAAUUAUACCAAACUUAUGAUUUUCCAUUUCACGAAAAAUACCACCGUAUUCGUAAUUUAAUUUACUACAAGUCUACUCUUCAAAAAGUAUAAUUUGAUUAUAAUUACAUGAAACAUUGUUUUUUUACUCUAAAAUUCAUUUAAAACAUGAUAUAAUUAACUAUUAAAAAAAUUUAAUUCCAUAAAAUAUUAAAAACAUAAAAUAAUUUUUUGGCAAUCAAGAAGUUGAAAUUUGUAAUAACCUUUAACCUGUUAAUUUUACCUAUAUUUAUUUACCAACAAAAAUUUAAAUAAUAUUCUAAAAUUUAAUUCCAUAAAUUAAUUAGUCAUUCAAUUUAUAAAAAUCAAAUUCUCUACCCUUUGGUAUAACUUUUAUUUAAUUUACUUCAUUUUUCAAAUUAUUCAAUCGCAUCAAAAUUUCAAAAGUUAAAUUCACUAAAUUCACAUUUAAUUAAUUUAUCCUUUUGUAUUUUUUUUUUCUAAAUUCGCAUAUCAUAAUUUAAUCUUAAUUUAAUUUUGAUUCAAUUUUGUUUUAUGUUUUCUAAUUUUAUGAGGUUUAAUUUCAAUUAUAAAAAUUAAAUUCAAUUUCUUUUUAAUUAUCCAUUAUCACAAUUUGAUAUAAUAUAAUUUUUUAUCAAGUUUUUCUUACUACGAUUUUUCUUAUAAUUAUCCAAUGAUAAUUAAAUUAAUUCUCAUAACAUAUUUAAUAUUCAAAUUUUAAAAACUUAAUCUCAAUUAUUUGAUGGUUAAUUUUUUUCUCAAAAUCUAAAUUUAAUUUAUGAAAUUCUCACUUCUUACAUCUGACGUGGCAAAAUUUUCAAACUAUUGACUUUUGACCAACUUUUCCUAAAUUUAUCCUAAUUAAAUACUAACACAUGGAUUUUCACCACUCUUUUUGACCUUUUGACCCACAAAUUUAUGAAAGACUUUAUGCUUGGAGAAUCUACAAAAACCUGGGUAUUACAAUUUCUCAGGUUGAUAACUGUCGUGGUUACGAAGCCACCACUUGAAUCCUCAGUCGCCAUUGUAAUGGGCCUGGAUGCAAAUAGUACAUCAUGUUUCUUCAAAAGUUCUCUGCUAAUCUCUGGGAAAGUCGUAGGGACGAAAUGAAAUAUUUCCCAAUUGAAUACAUGCAAUUUUAGUGUUCAUUUCUUUCAUAAAGCCAAUGUAUCCACCAGAAAGUUGGCUUUUUGUUGAGUAAAUGAGGUAGAUAUUGCACUAGUGGCCAUGGAGCUAAUCCUGGAGGAAGUUGUAUCGGCUUGCUUUUGGUACUUGUUUUGGAAUUUAAUUUAGUGAAGAUGAGAAAGAUUGAUGUGAUGAAAAGCAAUAAGAGGAAGUUGAGAUGAGACAACACAUCGUCUGUGGUAGUAGAAGAAAACAAGGUUGAGUUACUGCUACUACUCUCUGCAACAAAACCAUUUACACGUCUUUUAUAGCAAAACCAUGUUUGUCCUAUCUUGGGUCUGGAUGCACAUUUUUAAUAUUGGGGAUCAUGCAACCAAAUGUCACACACAAAGAGAGAGAAAAAAAUACGUUUUUUAGAACUUGAAAAGGUAAAAUGGGACAAAAAAUAUUAUCCAUUCUUGAACUCUAAAAGUAAAGUUAUAAAAAGCUUAGGUGGUGUUUGUUUUUUUACUUAAUUCUAAAUAGAACCUUAAUGCUUAAUAGUGUUAAAUAUUAGGUUGUUUGUUUUUGUAGUAUUUUAUUUCUAUUAAGUAUUAAAAAGUAAAAAAACCAAUAUGUUAUUUUUUCUAUUAAGAAAAAGUUACAUAUUUUGACUUUUUCUAUUUAGUAAAAAGUUUAUAAUAAGUCAUGAAAAAGUAGAAAAACAAACAACUUAAAUUUUAAAACUAAAUUGCUUUCAGCAAAAAGCCAAAAAAACAAACACCACCUUAGUUUUUUUUUUUUUUUUUUUUUGUUAUGUAUGAUUACAUGAUUUCCCCCUUUUAAGAUUUUAUCUCAUAAAAUUUUUUUUCUAGAAGGUUCAAAUAAGUUUGAUGAAUAUUGUUUAUUUUAGUAAUUUUAAUUUUGUGGGGUACUUAAAACAUUAGAAGUUCACAAAAAGCAACAUUUAUCAGCUACCUAUCUAAAAAGCUUGGCCUAAUCAUUGAAAUCCAAAAUAUAAAGUGACAACACACUUUUUAAAGCAAUUUUCAAAAUAGUUUUCAAAAACACAUUUAUUUAUGAUAUUUUUAAAAUAAAAAUCUCAAAAAUAACUUGUUUAUAUAGCGUUUUAUUAGACAAAUACUUGAUCUUUAUAAGAUCACCCUAAUUAUAGAUUUAUGAACAUGUAACACAACAAUUAUCUAUAUAUAUACUUAGAAUUAUUAUAUUUUAAGUUUUUAACUACAUAGGACAUCGUGAGUUUUUCCACCAUUUAUCUUAUAAAAAGUUUAUUUAAAUAUGAUAAAGGAUAUAUUAUCUCAUUUCUUAUUAUAUCUGAUGCUAUAUAUAUAUAUAUAUAUGUAACAGAUCAAAUACAAUUUAAAGAUUUUAAUUAACCAUCUAUUAGCAACAAAGCAAUCUCUUAAUCUCAUUCAUAAUAUUAGGAUAAUUUAGUAUUUCCUUUUAUAAAACACUAGCAUAUAAAUCAACACAAAUCAUAUUAAGGGUGUAUUUGGUGUUGAUUUUAGGAAGCGUUUUUAGUAUUUCUAAUACUUGAAAGAUAAAAAUUUUCAAGUUUUAGAAAGAUCAAAAGCGCUUUUUAGAAUGACUAUCAAAUACAUGCUAAAUAUUACUUUUGGAUACUUAUAUUUUUAAAUAACUCUUAAAACUUUUAAGGCAAGUCUCUACUAUUUAUAUAAAUCCCCUAUUAUUUUUAAUUUUUAGAAACAAAAAAUAAAGAAUAGAAACUCCAUUUAAACAUCACCUUAUUAUUUCCUAUUAUAAAAUAACACAAAUCAAAUGAAUUAUUUAAAAAUAAAUAAAUAUAAAAUCAAAGUUGAAGAGAAAAAACUCUUGUGCAUUAAAAAAACAUCAAAAUAAAUAAAUAAAUAAAACAUCAUCAAAUAAAUGUAAAAAUAAAUUAAUGUUAUGGAAAAAUGAGAAUAGGCAACAAGAAAAUAAGAACACAGAUUUACAUGAAAAAUGCUAGACGGGAAAAACCAUGGAUAGAGGAGAAGAAAAUCCACUAUAUUAAAAAUUUGGUAUAAAAUGUGAGAGAAUCAAGCGACUAUUGUAUAGGCAUAAUCACUAUGACCCUAAAUCCUAUACAUCAUCGCAUAUGUAUGGUGUAUGCGAUAAUAUUUGUGAUAAUAAAAAUAUUGUCACAUAAAAUAACUAUGGGAUGUAAUAUUUGUAAUAAUAUUCUUUACAAAAAAAUAUUUUUUCUUUGCUUUAUUCACUUUGAUCACAACUUGAAAUAAGACAAUAAAAAUAUUUUCUUAAUUUUUGAAAAUUAAUUGAGGACUUAGAGCUACUUGUUACUGAGUGAAUUUGCUGAAUGGUGAAGAAUGCGUGUAUAGUAGUUUUGCAAUUUUUCAAACUUGUAGACAUAUUUUGUGAAGUCUUUUUCUCUUUGUAAAGCCCCAUUUUCUAUGUGAAGUUAUUUUUUCAAUAUUCUCUUUGGAAGGAAUUUACCAUUAGUUAUAUAGGUAAGAUUAAGGAAUUAAAUUUGGAAUUCUUAAGAUUUGAUUACUUAAUUCAAAGAAUUUGGUUCAAGGGAAAUUUGCCAACAAAAUAAUAUUUAAUUUUAAUUCUAUGAUGACUUUAAUUAUUUGAUAUAAUUUUAUUUUGAAAGACUUGAUGUGGGGGACUCAUCACUUAUUGAGUCCAAAUUUUGUUGCACCCAAAUUUUUAUGAGCUAAGAAACCAUAAUUUUAAAGACCAAUUCAGUGGUAAGUAAAUCUGCUAAAAUCUUCUAUGUACAAAUGACCUCACUUCAAGGUGCAACACAUACAUGUAUUAUUAUGUGUAUGGGAUGAGUCUUGAAGUUAGUCUUCAUUCUUCUUUGAUUUUUUUUUCUUCAAAUAAAUAAAUAAAACAUCAUCAAAUAAAUGUAAAAAUAAAAUAUGUAUCAGUUAAUUGGAGAGGAGAGCUUUAAGGGCAUUUCUUCUAUGAAAUUCUAUGCUCCACGUACCAUAAAUUUGUACUCAACCAACAAAAUUACAGAAUGGGUCCAUGCACAAACAAAAAUAACCCAAAUGUGAAUAUCUAAAAAUGUAUGAAGUUCACAAUAGAUAUUCAAGCCCAAAUUUAAAUUUCAAAUUAGUCCAACAGAUUUCAUUAAUCAAAAUGGGUCCAAAUUAGCAAAUAUAACCCAACAAAAAUAUCUCAUAUGUCAUAGGCCCUAAUUUAAAAUUUUCAAAUUAAUAGCCAAAAUAUAAGUUCAAUUAAUCAAACCCAAAACAUGAUAAAUUAAAAUAAAUCUCAUUAGGCCUAAACUUAAUAUCCCAUAAUUCAAGCCUAAUUUAAUAUAUAAACCUAAAUCCACAAUCAAAAUCAACCCAAUUUAUGCUAAUCCCGAUUUACAAUCAAAAUCAAACAUAAUUUAAUAAGUAAAUAACUAAAUAAAUUAAGCAAACUCAAAACACCCAAACCACUACAACAUAAAUCAAACAAUAAUAAAUAUAAUGACAACAAUAAUAAUAAUAAAUAAAAUAAAAUAAAAUAAAAUAAAAAUAAAAAAUUUAACUCACGUCGGAGCCAGUUUGAAUGUCUUAGGAAAGAAAGAAAAUGAGAGAAAAGUGAGAGAUGAUUGACAACUGACAGUGGCUCACUAGCGGCAACUGGUUAGUGGUCCUACCGAUGGUAGUGAGGAUUGAUUGGUUUUUGGGAAAAAAAAUAAAAUGAAGAAAAGAAAAUGAGAAGUAAUAAAAAAAAUGGAGAAAUGAGAGGAAGGUGGGAGAAGAAUGGAGAGAGAGAACGUAGAAAAUGAGUGAAAAGAAAUGAGGCUAGUUGGAGGAGAAAGUGGUAGUGUGUGAGCUAAAGUGAAGAAUAAUAGAAGAAGAAAAUGGAGAAGAAUGGGGAAAAAAAAAUCCGUCUCCCUAAAUGAAGAAAGGUGGGUAGCCUAAAGAAGAAGAAAAAAUAAAAUAAAAUAAAAUGGGGAGAAAAUGAGAGGGGGUCGGUGGUCUUGCGAAUGAGGUGGUAUGCGUUAGAGAGAGAGAGAGUGGGUGGGGUUGUUGGGGUUGUUGGGGAAGGUAUGAGAGAGAGAGGAGAGAGAAAAGAAAAAAAAGAAAGAAAAGAAAAAAGAUAAUAUAAAAUAAUAAUAAUAAUAAUAAAAUAAAAUAAUAUACAAAAUAAUAAAAACUAAUAAUUAAAUAGUGAGUGGGCAAAAAAUAUCAUAUGUAAUCAAGAUUUAAUUUUAAGAGUAAAAUUGGGUUAAAAAUUAAUGUAAAAUAAAAUUGGGAUAAAUUUUGGGGUAUACAAAUAUGCACCUCUUCAAUAGAGUCCACGAGUAAAGCAAGUGUAUAUGUGAGCAAAACAAAGUGGGCUCUACUGAAAAAUAAGAAAGACCACCAAAUUUGUCUUAAUAUGACAUGAACUCUCCCAAAUAAAAAAAAUAAAAAAUCUAAAACCCUACAAAAAUGGCCAAAAUGGAAACUCCUAAGGUGCCUCUAAAGUUAUACUAUGGAUCUAGACUCCCUUAGAAAAGCCUCCAAAAAUGGCCCAAAAAUCGGUGCCAAAAUCGAGUAGCAAUCAGACCACUAAGGAGCACAUGAACGAAUGCAUACAAAGGGAAAAAAACCAUACGUGUACCAUACGAUGACAAAAGGCAUAAGGUAUCCAACAAUAUGACUGAUUCACGUGUUACGAGCUUAAAGAACUUUGUCAUGCACCAUGGAGGAAGGGAAACUCUAGAAUAAUGUGAUGAGGAAGUUAUUAGCACAAUGUAACAGAGUGAGGAAAAAAGUGAUGAGUGCAAAGCUGUGAGGACAAAGUGCACAAUGCUAAUGAAUAUGAAAUGAAUAGCACUAGGCUAUAAUGCAAUGAAUAGCUCAGGGUUGUACCAUAAUGAACAAGUCAAGGAUGUGUAAAGAUGAGGAACAACUCAAGGUUGUAAUGCAAUGAACAACUUAGGGCUAUGAAUGCAAUGAACAGCUCAGCUCAAUGAAUGAAAUGAAUAGCUCAGGGCUGUGAAUGCAAUGAACAACUCGACGUUGUGGAUGUAAUGAACAACUCAUGGUCAUGGAUGCAAUGAACAGCUCAGGGCUAUAGAUGAACAACUCGGGGUUGUGGAUGUCAUGAACAACUCAAGAAUAGGGGCACUAUACACCCAAAAUGGGAGAUCACGGUCUACGAUUCCAAGUCAAACCACUAAAGGGUGACCAAAAUGAGGGUGAUCAACUCACUAAAAAAGAUGAUCAAAAUGUCUUAAGGGAGAGGAGAUGCCCCAGAUGAAACUUAAAGGAAAUGAGUAGUGCUAAUGAAACUAAAAAAAGAAAAAAUGUCACAACUGAAAUUGAAAAAAUAGCAAACUUAGAUUAAAGUGCAAUGAACAACUUUGGGCUGUUGCGAUGAGUAGUACCGUGUUGUAAUGAAAUGAAUAACUUUAAGAUAUGGGCAUUGUACGCCUAAAGAGGGAGAUAGUGGUUUACGACUCCAAGUCAAACCACUAAAGGACGACUAAAAUAAGAUGAUCAACUUACUAUAAAUGAUAAUGCAACUAUCUCGAGAAAAAGGGUAUGCCCCAAAUGACACUCAACAGUAAAAGAAUGACACAAAUGAAACUAAAACAAGAGGAUGCCACAAAUGAAACUGAAAUGAUAACAGACUCAGUACUAAUGUGUAAUGAACAACUUUGGACUAUGGAUGCAAUGACUAGCACUGGGUUGUAAUGAAAUGAACAACUCUAAGAUGUGGGCACUAUACCCCUAAGAAAUGAGAUCAUAGUUUACGACUCUAAGUCAAACCGCUAAAGGGCGACUAGAAUAGGAUAAUCAACUCACUAAAAAUGAGGAUGCAACUAUCUCGAGAAAGGGGGUAUGCCCUAAAUGACACUCAAUAGUAUAAGAAUGACAUAAAUGAAACUAAAAUAAGAGGAUGCCACAAAUAAAACUAAAAUGAUAACAAACUCAAAACUAAUGUGCAAUGAAUAACUCUAGGUUGUGGAUGCAAUGAACAACAUUGGGCUGUAAUGAAAUGAACAACUCUAAGAUGUGGGCACUAUACGCCUAAAGAGGGAAAUCACGGUCUACGACUCCAAGUCAAACCACUAAAGGGCGACUAGAAUAGGAUGAUCAACUCACUAAGAAUGAGAAUGCAACUAUCUUGAGAAAAGCGGGAUGCCCUAAAUGACACUCAAUAGUUAAAGGAUGACACAAAUGAAACUAAAACGAAAUGAUACUACAAAUGAAACUGAAAUGAUAAUAAAUUGAUAACUAAAGUGCAAUGAACAACUCUAGGCCGUGGAUGCAAUGGACAGCUCAAGAAUAGGGGAACUGUUCGCCCAAAAUGGGAGAUCGUGGUAUGCGACUCUAAGUCAAACCACUAAAGGGUGGCUAAAAUCAAAAUGAUCAACUCACUAAAAAUGAGGAUCUGAACAUCUCAAGAAAGGGGUUAUGCCCCAAAUGAAACUGACAAUAGAGGGAUGCCUUAAACAGACUGAAGAAAGAAGGAUGCCCUAAACAAAUUAACGAAAAAUGGAUGCCCUAAACAAACUGACGGAAGUGAAAUGCCCUAAAUAAACUGACCAAAGAAGAAUGCACUAAACAAACUCUGAGAAAAAAAAAAAAAGAAGUAUGCAAUAUAGAAUCAAAAACACCUAAAGCAAAAACAAGAAACAAAGAAUGUGGUUUACAACUAGAAACACCCAAAAGAACCUUAAAGAAGUAACUGGGAUAAUGAACUUAAUGAAAAUGGGGUAUGCCACAGUAAAAGACUCGGAAGUAUCAGCAAAUGGGUCAAACGACCAUGAAAUCAAUAGGAGAUAUGAUGAACCCAAAAAGGGCAUAUGCCCCAACAAAAGAACACUAAAAGGGGGGUAUGCCCCGAUAUGACGACUCACAAUAAUUAAGAAAUGGAUCGAGUAAUGAGAAAAUCUGCAAAAUAUCCUAUGAACUCAAAGAUGGGGGUAUGCCCCAGUGUAAAAUAGUGACCAACAUAAGACACAGAAUGUCACCAUACAAUACACUCUGGGAUAUGCUCAAUGUCAAUGUAAUGAAAACAAUAGCCUCAAUCAACAAAUGUUCAAGCAAGACCAUGCAUCACAUAAACUAAAAUAAUAGGCUAAACAAAUGCUAACCAAGUCUCUCAAUCUGAAAUGUAAGCAAGUCAAGACAUGACAUGCCAACCAUCGACAUGAAAACAUCAUCACAAAUACAUCAACAAACUAAUAGUCCCUACUAUCAUGGAAGAUGUAGAACCUAACGUCCAAAGGCAUGUGAAAACUCAACCAGAAAGCUCAAGACUAGUUUGCAUCCUCCUCUAAUAAAAAGAAUGAGAUAAGGUCAUGUAGGAUGAUGAAAUAGGCAAGCUCAAUAUUCGUUAGGCUCUACCAAGAUGGAUGUAGGUAUAAUAGUGUCAAAGGUAGGAUGUCUAGAUUUCCAACGAAGGAAACUGGGUAUCCAAGUCAAACCAAGUAUGUUGAGGAAACUGAACCCAUAGGACAAUAACUUUAUGAUCCAUUGAAAAUAGCAAUCAUGAAUAGAAGGUCGAGUCUCGAUGUCAAAAUCAACAAGGUGGCAUUGCCCCAGUAUGAAUACAUCUUCUCAAAAUGGGUAAACCUUUAGUGCAAGAUAAUCUCUAGAAAGUGUGUGUCUAGUAUAAACUGUCAUCUCACAAAAUUUAUCACUGAUGAGUGGGCUAUACCCCAGUGUAAGCAUUUCCAAAUCAAACAUCGAUGAGAGGAGUACAACCAAUCAUACAUAAUAUGAUCAAAACAAAUCUCCACUCCUCAAAGUCAUCAUGGUAACGUGAAAAGAGUAUCUAACCUCAUUUAAAGAAAGAUCAUGUCCCAAUGUGAAAAAUAUCAAGCAAAGUGGUAUGUCUCAACAAAAAUGCACUCUAACAUGAUCAUGCCUAGAUGUAAGCUGGUAUCUUUAAGAUCAAUCACCAAUGAAAGGGUUAUGCCCCAGUAUAGGGCAAUCUCUUAAAUGACUAAAAUCCGCUACAAGCUCUCACAAGUGUCUAUGUCAUGAACCAAUCAUCUCAAAAAAUAAAUAAAUAAAUAAAUCUAUCAACAAUGAUGAGAAGGUUAUGCUCCUAUAAUCACACCAAGAAAAUCACCCGGUCAUAUCUUGUACUCCAAUGUGAAAGGAAAAUAUGAUCACCUCCAAAGAAUGGCUAUGCCCCAAAAUACAUCAUCGAUUGAGAAAUAUGCCCCUACGUAAAGUACAUCAACUGAAAUAUGCCAAUCAUGCCUCAUGCUCCAAUGUGAAAAAUGACGUAUAAUCUUCUUUGAGGGAUGGUCAUGACUCAAAUCCAUCAUCAGUUGAGAGAAGUAUGCCCCGACAUAAUGGUCAUCUAAAAAAUCAAUCCCCGACUAAGAAAUAUGUGCCUUGAUGUGAUGUAUCAAGCAAAAUGGCUGCAUACCCCAUAAAAAACUCUCUAAGGUGGCUAUGCUCCAAUGUUGGAUCAUACCACAACUCCUGGUCUAUCACAAUCAAAAUGCUGUCCAACCAAUCCCAAGUAUCGCCCACAUGAGAGCUAUCAAACACAAUGUGUGAUGUCAUGGCCUCAAGGUGGUCUUAAGAUUCGGAACGUAACGUAGGCUAGGGUAAUAAGGUAAAGAAAUGAAGGAAAACUAGGCUUAAUAAUCCUAAUGAUAAAACCCCAUACCUUAUGUAUAAAAUGCAAUAUGUGCAAAGAGUCUCAUAAACCAUGGAUCUAAGGACACCCAAUAUGAAUAUAUCAGUGAGGAAGAAAGAAUCUAAGAUGAAUAUAUCAAUGAUAACAGAGAAGAAAUGAAGAAUAUUAAACUGUUGAUGGGAUGUAUAAGAAUGAUGUAUGGAAAAUAUUGAACAUGGAAUGUAAAUUGAUAUGAACAAAGAACAAUGUAGGCAAGGCAAAUGUGAUAUCAUGAUAAGAACAAAUAAAUCGAAGAAAAAUGAAUGAACACUAAUCCACUCAAAUCAAGUCAUGGAGAAUAGUCAAAUCACCAACGUAUGUAAUGAUGGAGAAGACAAUGAUUCAAAGUCCCUAGGAAAAUGUCACUUGUUUGUCACACAUAAAAUACAUAACGAGAUAGACACAAAAAUAUGAGAGUCUUUUGAAAGUUCACAUACGAACUUUCAUAAGCAACUAACUCAAUAAAGCAACCUCAAUGACCAAUAUAUACACUCAAUAAAGGAUGACACUGUAUACAUGUGUUUAUUACUUUUUCUUUUCAUUUUGUUUUUCAUUUUUUUCAUUUUUGUUUUCAUUUUUUUUCUUUUACUCGCGCAUACUCUGAAUAUCAAUAAAUGAACUUCUCUGAGAAUACAUAAUGAAAUGGAUAUACUCUCAAACAAUGAUGUCAGCGAACUCUCUCUGACAAGAUGACCCUCUAAAUUAAGGAUUUUCGAACUAACGUCCAUGAGAUAGGAGUGGAAGGGGAUAUGACCAUCCUUCCUGCACCGAAAUGUGAAAAAUCAUCACUCAGGGCACAAAAAAAUGUGAUGAAAAAAAAUAAAAAAAUGAAACAAAAGAUAUAAACAAUGAAGUAUGAUGAAGACUGAUGUUGGGAAGACAAAAAAAAUUGUGAAGAAGGUGAGCCAAUAAGUCCUCAACUCAUGAAACUCUCGAAUAAAAUAUAUAUACACCAAAAAACCCUUAUCCCGGUGUAAAAUGUGAGCAAGGAUAUAAGAAAGAAAAAACUAUGGUGCUCAUGUGAGGUUCAAAGGGCUAGCAACGGUCCAAAUGUCAAUAAAGGUAAUAGGGUGUGAGCUAACCAAAAUGAAGGCCACCUAUGAUGGUCUGAAACAUCAUGCUCUUAAGCUUUCAAUGAUCAAUACUGAAAAUCGAUGUCAACCCUUUGGAAUUGUGCGCCAAACCAUACUCCAAAUGCUCCAUAAUAAUCUCAAAGAUAAUCCUCUCAAAGCAAAGUAAAUAGCGAUCUCAUAAGGCACAACUACUCAUCACAAGCCAACUCUCAUCAUGCAAGAUCAAUCUCUAUUUUCAUGGAAAAAUAAGUGACAAUCUCAUCAGGCAAUCGACGAAUCCUCACAUCGUAAACCAACCAAAGAUCAUAAGUCAUUCAUUGCCAUGCAAGAUCAAUCCCAGGCUCAAACUCCUCAUACUCUACCUGGUUGGAUUAGAGAAGAAAUGGGCAAAGCUAGAAAAACUGAAGAUGGAAAGGUCAUAUAAUGGUGUCAAGGGUGAUGUUGUGCAAAACUCACAAUGAAUGGAUGUAGGUCAAAGAAAAGUCAAUGUGUGAGAGUGAGUAAGGCACUACUCUGAUCAUAAGAAGAUGGGUCACAAUCUCAAACUCCUAAGGUCAAAUCUUCGAUCCUAGGCUAAUAAGCUCAACAUCCUCCAUGAUAGGUCAACCCCCAAGAUCACAAUGUGCAAAUGAAUAGAUGCCUCAAGUCAAAAGUACAACACAUCAUAUGAUAUAUGGUCCUACGAUGACAAUCUAAAACUGGAAAUAUGUUAGAAACUCUAAGGUCAUAAAGGUGUCCACUGUGAGAUGACUACAAAUGUGACUAAGGAAUCUUUAUCAAUAAUCCAAAAAAUGAAUGAGGUGUGAAAAACAACACUAUCAUGAGAUCGAUACCCCAUCAAUAACAAAAUAUCUCUAAUUCACUUUCAAUCUAAGCUCUAUAAAGAAAAACGAUAAGGUUAUAAAGGCAAACCUCUCAAAAAUGGUGUGAAUGUGAAAACAUGUCUUCACCUUUCUAUAAUGAAAAUAUCAUGUUGAAAAUAGAAAUAGGCAAAUCAACCAAAGAAUGAAGCACGGAGCCCAUGACAAGUGAAGAAUGUAAAAAGGUGAACAUGAUCAAUGAACAUAUCCCAAAACAUUAAGCAUAAAGUGACAACAAACCGAAAGAAUGUGUCAAUUUAAGAAAAGAAGACUAUCUGAAGCCCUAGGGAGAAAGUGUGCUAGACUCAACGAGCGACAAGAAGAAACUAAAACCAUAUAGCAAGGGGUGGUCCAACUGAUACUCAAACUCGUACCAAUAUCUAAGCACUCUCGACUGGAGACCAAAAGAUGGAGUAUUGGAUCCAUAUUGUGACUAAAGUGGCCUCGAAGGCUCUCAGAUGCACCCACGUGUAGGAAAGGAAAUCCUAAUGAAAAUAUCUAAGGCUUAACCUACAAGGUCAAGGCGGCUCUCAAAAGAAAAUUUGAGUAGACUUUAAAGGAUCCCUAGCAAAAGCGAUCAUACCCUCCGAUGGUACACAACCUCCUACACGUCUUGAAAUAUACGGGAGUGAUUCCAUGCAAGGUGGUCAUCACCUCCACACAUGCACUAUCUCGUAUCCUAGAGGGUUUCCUAAUGAUGAAGACUCUUACAUCUCUCAACACUUAGUGGUAAUCUAAGGUGCACAGUGAACGGUGUGGGUUCAUCCAAAAAUCCUAUCAAGCUAAGCAAAGAGAAAAAACAUUGGUCACACAAAUAUCCUGAAAUCUAGCUCUAACCUAUACAAGUCUUCAAAGAUUAGACUCCAAUUAGCAUUAAUGUUUCGACCUUCUCUAGAAUGCUCCCAAACAUAGAUAUAGUCCAUCACUAAACCCUACUCCGAAUCACUAGCUCGGUCAAAGAGCAAACAAAGUAAUAAGUCUCAUAUCAAAUACGAGAUCAAGGGGAACAUGGUCACCCGAGACUAGGGAAUUGAAGGUAAGGGGAUAGAUGUGUGUCCCGCAUAGAAAAGCAACAUGCAUCACACAGAAGAAGAAUAGUCAUGCAAUAGACAACCAAGCAAAGAACAGGUAUAUCAUUCAUAUCUACACACAAGCUAAACAAGAAAUAGGUAUUUAACAAGAAUAAACAAUAUGUUGAGAUAAACAAGAUAAUAUACGAUAAAGAGAAUCAAUCACACCAAUAUGAAUGAGAUAUACAAAAAUGAGAAUAUACAUGUCAAGGAGAGCAAGAUAAUCAUACAACAAGAAGAGUCUUAUGUUAAAGCAAGCAAGAGAAUCAAUCGAUGUAGUCAACAUGUCAAUAUCUCAAAUGAACAUAACAACCAAAUAUGCAUCAUAAAGAAAAAAUGGUAAUCAUGCAGCACACAGUCAUACAAAACAAAUACAGACAAACAUAAGCAAAUAAAUGUAAACACACAUGAUAACAAAAAUCAAUGUAUAGUAAGGCACAUGCAAUAUAUACAUAAAAUAAUCAUCAAGUCAACACUCAUAUACCUUAAAACAUGAAAAUAUACAAUAAAGACACAACGAGAGGGUAUUCACUGAUCGAUUAAUCAAACGCUACAUUUCCCUUAACUCGAGUUCAAGUUUGAUCCUUUAAAUAUCCCUAGUGAAGUCGCUAUUUUGUGGACCCACAUUUUUCAAAUACGUCCUUACACAACAGCGAGACUCAUUUUUUUUAUUUGGUGAAAAUUUGAUUUUUAGAAAAAAGACUUUGAGUCGUCACUUAUUUUUGUUUUUUUUUAAGGGAAAACAAAACAAGAAAGAAAACCUUGUGUGACUCCUUAUUUGGGAAAGACAUGUAUGCAAAAACCAAAUCUGGAUUCGGGGGUUAAGUUCCCUAUUGAGAAUGUACGAUGGUGAGCUGUAGCACCUCUCUAAGCUCAUAUACGUAUGGUCUCUACUAAACGAAUUAAGAGAAUUGUAGUAAUUAAUUAAUUAGUCAAGGAUACCAAGAAAAAGAAUCGCACAAAUGAGUACGUACAAAUCAUGAUAAAAAAAAUCAAAUUAUAAGAAUAGACAAAAUAAAUAACAAGAGAAUUGUGCAAAGUGAUUUAUUAAACUAAAUAAAAAAGAAGAUAUUAAAAAAAUUAGUUUUCAAGAAAUUUCAACGGAUUUUAUUAAAAUGAUUUUGAAUUAAUGAUUUUUAUUUAUUUAUUUACAAAAAAAGUGUCAAUUUAUUUUCUUCAAGUGAUUUGAUUCAAUUUCAUUUGUAUUCAAUUUUUUUUUUUUAAAAGUUAUUUACACUCAUGGUUGUUAAAAGAAUUAUUCACAAAAUUUCAAGUUGACAAUAAAAAUGAUUUUUACUUGCUUUUACUCAAAAACAAUGAAUUUUUACAAUUUUAUUAACAAAAGCAUUUCAAUUUAAGAAAAGUGACUUAAACAAAUUAUUAAAAAAAAUAUAACUUUAUCUGCAAAAGAAUUUUUAAUUAAAAAGAAAAAAUUUAAGUCAUCUAUUUCUAAAAAUGACUUUUAAUCCCAUUUUAAUUAAGGAAAAUUGAGUUAUCUAAAAAAACAUUUUUUGGACAAUUUGAAUAAAAAUUAAUUUUUGGGACAACUUUAUUUACAAAACAAUUUUUGGACAAUUAUUAUUAAAAACAAAAUUUCAAAUUCGAUUAAAAACAAUUUUUUGGAUUUUUCCAAACACAUUUUUAUGAAUUUUUAUUAAUAAAAAACUUUUUUUUAUUAAGAAGAAUAUUUUUUGAGCUAUUAUUUUAUUAAAACAUGUUUAUUGAAUUAUUCUUCUUCUUCAAACAAAAUUUUUAAUUUGUUCGAUAUCCAAUUCUGUACACAACAAGUAAAUAUAUACAAACAAAUAUUUAUAGAAACCAAUAAAAAUAAAACCAAAUAGAAGUGAGAAAUAAAACAUGUACUUAAACAAGCUUACAACAAGCUCAAUGUCUUCUUACGACUUUUCGAGUUUCACUUUCUUUCAUUAAAUUUUAUGCUCCACGUACCAUAAAUCCGUACUCAACCAAAAAAAUUGCAGAAUUGGCCCAUGCAAAAACAAAAAUAACACAAAUGUAUAAAGUUCACAAUAGAUAUUCAAACCCAAAUUCAAAUUUCAAAUUAGUCCAACAAAUUUCGUCAAUCAAAAUAGGUCUAAAUUAGCAAAUAUAGCCCAACAAAAAUAUCUCACAUGUCAUAGGCCUUAAUAUAAAAUUUCCAAAUUGAUAACCAAAAUAUAAGUUCAAUUAAUCAAACCCAAAACAUGAUACAUUAAAAUAAAUCUCAUUAGGCCUAAACUUAAUAUCUCAUAAUUCAAGCCUAAUUUAAAUAUAAACCUAAAUCCACAAUCAAAAUCAACUCACUUUAUGCUAAUCCCAAUUUACAAUCAAAAUCAAACAUAAUUUAAUAAGUAAAUAACUAAAUAAAUUAAGCAAACUCAAAACUCUCAAACCACUAUUGCAUAAUAUCAAACAAUAAUAAAUAUAAUGACAACAAUAUUAAUAAUAAAAUAAAAUAAAAAAAUUUAACUCACGUUGGAGCCAGUUUGAGUGUCGUGGGAAAGAAAGAAAAUGAGAGAAAAGUGGGAGAUGAUCGUUAGCUGGUAGUGGCUCGCCGACAGCGACUGGUCGAUAGUCCUACUGGCGGUAGUGAGGAUUGAUGAGUUUUUGGGAAAGGAAAAAAAAAAAAAAGAGGAGUAAUAAAAAAAAAAUGGAAAAAUGAGAGGAAGGUGGGAUAAGAGGGGAGAGAGAGAAUGAAGAAAAUAGGGGAAAAGAAAUGAGGCCGGCUGGAGGAGGAAGUGGUAGUGUGUGUGAGCUAAAGUGAAGAAGAAUGAAAGAAGAAGAAGGAGAAAAAUGGGAAAGAAGGGGAAAAAAAUUCGAGCCCUCUAAAUGAAGAAAGGUGAGUAGCUUAAAGAAGAAAAAAAAAUAAAAUAAAAAAAGAAAAAAUGAGGAGAAAAUGAGAGGGCCAGUAGUCUUGGGAAUGGGGUGGUAUAAGUGAGAGAGAGUGGGCGAGGUUGUUGGGGAAGGUAUGGGAGAGAGAGGAGAGAUAAAAGAAAGAGAAAAAAAAACAUAAUAAUAAUAAUAAUAAUCAUAAAUAAUAUAUAAAUUAAUAAAAAUUAAUAUUUAAAUGAUGAGUGUGUCAAAAAUAUUAUAUGUAAUUGGGAUUUAAUUUUAAGAGUAAAAUUGGACUAAAACUUAAUGUAAAAAUAAAAUUUGAACAAAUUUUAGAAUCUACAAAUACAUUCUUUAAUCUUUCCACAACAUCAAUCUGAUCUAAAUGAAAUGCAAUAAAUUCUAAAAAUGAUACAAUCUUUAAUCAAUCCACAACAUCAACCCGAUCAAAACUCAAUGCAAUAUUGCUUAAUGGAGAGAAUCGUAAAAUCCUUUUAUGAGAGGAAAACAAAACCCUUAACAGACCUUUAUGAGAGGAAAAUAGGAAAACAUAGAACUAAAAACCCUUAACGUAUUCAUGAGAAUAAAAAAAUCCUUAACACCUUAAUAAGAGGAAAACAAAGAAUUUGAACAAUCCUUAAUCCAUCAAAAGCUCUUAAUAUGAACGAGGGGAAAACAUAACCUUUAUUUUUCAUAUCGUUGAAUACAGAAUCUAAAGAGAUAGAAUUUUUAGUUAUUAAGGAUUUUUUAUAGAUGUCUAUUGAAAGUUCAAGAACUUUUAUGGAUAAGUGUUAAUUAAGAGACUGAAAGGGUACUUAGGAUUUUCAACUAAAAAAGUUAUAACAAUAUGAAUCGUAAGAACUUAAAAACAUCACCCAUCCAUAAGAGGAAUAUGGAAUGAGAGGUUAUAUUUUUACUUAUACAACAAUAAACUUUUUUGGAAGAGGUUUUUCUAAGUACAAAAAGUUAUGAAUAAAAAACCAUUGUUACGAUGAGUUAACUAAAAUAGAAUUAAUUUAGAAAAUAUCAAUAAAGUUGCAUGAAUUAUUAUCAUGAGUUAACUUAAUAAGAAUAAAUAGUAAUAAAGUUAAUGAGGUGAAUUUGGAUUGGCAGAUAUAUUUGAUGAUAAGAUUUUUUUAAUAAUAAAAAAUUAUUAUGGCAGGAAAAAUAGGACAAAAUUGACCUUAUGAUAAGAUUUUUUUAAUAAUAAAAACAUUAUUAUGGUAUGAAAAAAAGGGACAAAAUUGGCCUUNNNNNNNNNNNNNNNNNNNNNNNNNNNNNNNNNNNNNNNNNNNNNNNNNNNNNNNNNNNNNNNNNNNNNNNNNNNNNNNNNNNNNNNNNNNNNNNNNNNNUUUUCUAAGUACAAAAAGAGUUAUGAAAUAAAAACCCCAUUUGUUACGAUGAGUAACUAAAAAUAGAAUUAAUUUAGAAAAAUAUCAUAAAGUUGCAUGAAUUAUUAUCAUGAGUAACUUAAUAAGAAUAAAUAGUAAUAAAGUUAAUGAGGUGAAUUUGGAUUGGCAGAUAUAUUUGAUGAUAAGAUUUUUUUAAUAAUAAAAAAUUAUUAUGGCAGGAAAAAUAGGACAAAAUUGACCUUAUGAUAAGAUUUUUUUAAUAAUAAAAACAUUAUUAUGGUAUGAAAAAAAGGGACAAAAUUGGCCUUUCCUUAAUUGUACCGGUUAAUGGAAUAAUGGGACAUGCGGUGGUUACAAGCCACCCCAAAAGGUAGGAAGAAUCUCCAACCCCCAUUCUCGGCUCCCUUAUCUUUUCCCUUACAACCAAAAAUCAACAACUAUCUUAGAAUGUCCUUCAGUCCAUCAAAAUUCAACAACAACAAUUAUACAUUACAAUAAUGAAAACAAAAUUGAUUGAUCACCAGCUAACAUUAGGAGAUUAUAAGAUAAGGAUGUAAUUGCAAUUAUUGAAAUCACUUAAAGAGUAAAAGUUAGGAACAUGCUCACAAUAAAUAAAAUCACCUUAGAAUUAAAAAUUAGGGACAUGAUUAUGAUGAUUAAAAUCACUCGAGAACUAAAAUGUUUUAGAGAUACAAUAAUUGAAAUCAACUGAAAAAUAAAUUCGGGAUGUGAUCGCAAUUAAUGUAUAUAUAAACAACCAAAUGUUGAAAGGAAAAACUAAUGAAAUUAAUAUGAUUUUCUUUUAGAUUUCUCUUGACACCAAACAAAUGUAAGGAAGUUUAUAAAGGAAAAUUAGGUUUUGAUUCACUAAAUUAAAAUAAUAUAGAAAAAAGAUCUUCAAAUUUUAUAUACCAGUUUUAUUUUUAUUUAUUUAAAAAUAUUUUAAAAUACAUAUAUUUUUUCAUAACUCAAAUAGUCAUUCCUCAAAUGCUAGUUUUACUUGUUAUGUUAAUAACACUAGUUAAUAAUUUUUUAUUGUGAGAACGAUUUAAGAUUAAUAAAAUAAGAAAUUUUUAAAACUAAAAAGACAUUUAAAACUUUAAAAUUAAAAAUAUAAAAAUAAAACAAUAAUUUUUCAUUUAGUAAAACACGCCAGUAGAAAAUAUAGAUAUAGAGAAAGAGUUGGAAAUAAAAUAAGAGUUAAUAUUUUAUUUUUAAAAUUUUAUGUUUUUUAUUUUAAUUGUAUUUAAUUUUAUGUAUUUUAGUUGUAAUUAUAUUUUUAAUUUUUAAUUUUUUUUUAUUUUAUUGUUGAUGUAAACUAAUAAAUUUUUUGUUCAAUUAUAUAUAUAUAUAUAUAUAUAUAUAUAUAUAUAUAUAUAUAUAUAUAUUUUAAAAUUAGUGAGUAAAAACCCACUUUUUCUAAUUUAUAAUAUAUUUAUGGGAUUUUAUAAUAUAAGCAAUUUUUUUUUUUUUGAGAAAGAGGAAAAAUCAACUUUUCAAUUUCCCUUAAUAAUUAUUAUUAUUAUUAUCCAAUUUGGCUGAUUAUGAGAUUAGUUCGUAUCAUUACUAUAUCCAUUUGUUCUUAACCCUUCAUUAGAAUAGUAUUAGGAGUUGAACGUCAGUUGGAAUACAGGCUUAUGGAAACAAAUCUAUCCGAUUAGUAGGUUCUUAUUAUUUUCAAUAUAGCCCCAUAAAAUAAAUAGGAGAUGGGCAGCCCGUCCCUUUUGUCUGGAGGCCAUCCUCCCAACUUAUUAAAGGUGAUAUGAGAUAAGACAGUGACAAAAUUGUCGGUUACUUCCCGACACCUGGCUCUCCACAAGCAAACCCAGUGAUCCAGAAAUUAAUUGGUACCUGGACACGUGACUAACAAACCUUCGCUCAUCUACCAAACCCAUGGCCUCAUGCCUUAUAUAUUUCCACAAACCUAGCUCAAUUUUCAUAGCCACCUUCACUAUCCUAUACUCACUAAGCCAUGGCCAUAGAUACAAGCCUCUUGCUUGAGUUUGCUGCAGCAACUCUACUCUUCUUCAUCACCCGCUUCUUCAUUCGUUCUCUCCUUCCCAAACCUUCCCGGAAGCUCCCCCCUGGCCCCAGAGGGUGGCCGCUCCUCGGCGCUCUUCCUCUUCUAGGUAACAUGCCUCAUGUUGCAUUAGCAAAGAUGGCCAAAAGAUACGGGCCUGUCAUGUUCUUGAAAAUGGGCACUAACAGCAUGGUGGUGGCCUCAACUCCCGAGGCGGCUCGGGCUUUCCUUAAAACGCUAGACAUUAAUUUCUCUAACCGCCCGCCUAAUGCCGGUGCCACACUCUUGGCCUAUCAUGCCCAAGACAUGGUUUUUGCGGAUUAUGGGGCAAGGUGGAAGCUACUGAGAAAGCUAAGCAACUUACACAUGCUUGGUGGGAAAGCUCUUGAGGACUGGUCUCAGGUCCGAGCUGUUGAGCUAGGCCACAUGCUUCGAGCCAUGCUUGAGUUAAGCCAGCGAGCGGAGCCGGUGGUGGUGCCGGAGAUGUUAACUUUUUCCAUGGCCAACAUGAUAGGUCAAGUGAUUCUAAGCCGCCGGGUGUUUGAAACAAAAGGGUCGGAGUCAAAUGAGUUCAAGGACAUGGUGGUGGAGCUCAUGACCACUGCUGGGUACUUCAAUAUUGGCGACUUUAUUCCGUCCAUCGCAUGGCUGGACAUCCAAGGGAUCCAGCGCGGGAUGAAGCAUUUACAUAGGAAGUUCGACCGGUUAUUAACAAAGAUGAUGGAGGAGCACACGGCGUCAGCCCAUGAGCGAAAGGGAAACCCAGAUUUUCUGGACGUAAUCAUGGCAAACCAAGAAAAUUCUACAGGGGAGAAGCUCACUAUUACCAACAUUAAAGCACUCCUCCUGGUAUGCAUAGUUAAAGCUCGUCUUCAAUUUUGUUUUCCGAUAUUUUCUUUCCGGAAACAGCACUUUUAUUGCUUUUAGAUAUGUACGUUUUUAUCAGGUAGCCAUUUUAGGGGCACAUCACUAUUCUUUAUUUUUGGACUAUUUUUUUCUUUUUCCACUUGCAUGGUUGUUUUCAUAUGCUCAGCUGCAUGGCACAAGAAAAUUGUGAAAAAUGAUUGGUUCUCUGAUCAGACCUUCAGCACCAAAACACGCUUUUCUCUAUGUUAUAAAAUCGGUUUACAUGAUUUUUCAACCAGCUUCCUUGAACUUGAACUUUUGCUAGGGCUAAUGCAAAAAAUGAUUGAUCUCAAUUUUCAAUAGCGUUUGAUUACAUAAAUUUCAAGUAUGUGAACAUAUUUUUGUUUCCUUGGCUAGAAUUUAUUUACUGCAGGAACAGACACUUCAUCGAGCGUAAUCGAGUGGUCUCUGGCUGAGAUGUUGAAAAACCCGAGCAUCCUCAAGCGUGCUCACGAAGAAAUGGAUCAAGUGAUUGGAAGGAGCCGGCGGCUCGUGGAGUCUGACUUGCCAAAACUUCCAUACCUACAAGCCAUAUGCAAGGAAAGCUUCCGGAAGCACCCAUCCACACCACUGAACCUUCCUCGUGUCUCAACCCAGGCAUGUGAAGUGAACGGCUACUACAUCCCAAAGAACACUAGACUUAGUGUGAACAUAUGGGCAAUCGGGCGAGACCCUGAUGUCUGGGAAAGCCCGGAAGAAUUCAGGCCAGAAAGGUUUUUAAGUGGAAGAAAUGAAAAAAUUGAUCCUCGUGGAAAUGAUUUUGAGUUGAUCCCGUUUGGGGCUGGACGAAGGAUUUGCGCUGGCACUAGAAUGGGAAUAGUGCUGGUUGAGUACAUUUUAGGGACGUUGGUACAUUCAUUUGACUGGAAAAUGCCGGAUGGAGUUGAGAUCAACAUGGACGAAGCUUUCGGGCUUGCGCUGCAGAAGGCAGUUUCUCUUUCGGCCAUGGUGACACCAAGGCUUCACCAGAGUGCGUAUGCAGUCUGAGCUCAAACCGCUCAGACCAAAACCCAGGCCUCGCUGCUAUAUGGCAUGGAUGCAGUUAAGUAGAAAAUAUUUUGGGAUUUUUGCCUGUGGCUUAGUAUAAGAUGUAUUAGCUCAAAGAUGGUCGUUUCAUUCUACCACCAAGCCAUAUGCAUCUAUGCAUAAUCUAUUGAUUUAGGCUCGAUUUGGUUAUAGUUUUUGUUUUUUUGUCUUCCAAAUCAGUAAAUAGUAGGGGUAUUUUUGUCCUAUGUAGUGAUUCUUUUUGUUUGAUUGAUUAUAUUUGGAUCCUUCAAAAAUAUACGGUCAGAGCCAUCUCCAUCUUUUCACUUCUUGUGCUGCAGAAUGGGAUUGGCUUAGAUCGUUAGUCUAAUGUUAACCCCCUUCAAAUCUAAUUAUUCAUACUCAAUUUUGACACGAAAGAGCCAUUGUCAUGAAAGGGGGACCAGGGACCUCAGCACCCUUGGUUCAUCAUUUUGGUACGAUGCCAACUCUACCACAUAACCACCAUUUAGAUAUCUAUCCUUUUAUUUUUGGCAUGUGAACUUAUAGUGGGUGGCUGACCUUGAAUCCAAUAGUUAUCAUGAUAUAUAUGGCUGAAAUUAACCAUCAUUUAGAUAUCUAUCCUUUUAUUUUUGGCAUGCGAACUUAUAGUAAGUCCGAUUUAUGUCCAAGGGUCAAAUUUAAAUCUCUCUUCAAUCUAAUGGCUAAGAACUUCCCAACUUUAUUUAAUACUUAAUGUAUCCAAUAAUUGUAAUCGAGUAAUCCAAUGACAAGUACCUUCAAUGAUUAUUUUGGCAAAAGAAAUAAUAUAAGUUUGUUAUUUUAUGAUAUAAUAAAUUUAUUAAUACUUUCCUUUUUCAAAAUAUGUAAUUAGUUGUAAUUUCAUUAUAUAAUAUAUAAAUUAAGUUAUUUGCAAUUUUAAAAUAUGCUCAUUUUGUAUUUUUUUAAGUGUUAAUUAAAAAUUAUACAAUUUUGUUUUAUAAAAAGUAUUUAGUACUUUUAAUUUUAUAAAUUACAAGCAUUAAUUUAUACUAUUUUCUUAAAAUAUUUAGUUUAGUAUGCAUAUUAUUAGUUGUUUUCUUACAUCACUACUACAAAAAUAAUAUAUGAUGUCACUAUUUAUAGUGUCGCAUUUAAAAUAAUGACACCAUUGAACUUAAAAUUUAUAAAGGUGACACAUCAUUUAAAAAAUCUUCAAUUAGGAUAGUUAGAUUAUGCUAAUUUCAGAUUUACGGUGUCAUUUUUUGGAAGUGACACCAUAUGAAAUAAAAAGUUUUAAAUUUUAUAACUCAAUGGGCCUUUUUUAAAAAUAGUGAGUAGGAACAAUUUAUGAAAAGUCUAUUGUUUCCAUAUAUACAUUAACUAAUAUAAAAGAUCUUGUUGCUUGACCCUAACCAUCGUUUUCUUCUCCUUCUUCUCACACCCAUGGUCAGCACACCCAUAAUUGAUAUUCUUUGCUUCGUAAAAUCUCGGGUAAGUCAAAAUCUCUUAUCUAUCAUCUUUAUUUUUUUUAUUAAUGCAAAAAACUUUGUUAGUAUAAUUGUUUUAUAUCUCUUGAUUUAGUAUAUCUAUGAUGUGGGUUUUGUAAAUGGUGUUUUUUAUCGAGUUCUAAGGAAGUAAAAACUAAGUUUAACAUUCUAACAUAUUUUUUGUUUCAUUGCUAAUAAGCCCCAAAACAAAUGAAAACAAGAAAAAUGAAUUAUUUUUAAAAAAUUUGUCUAAUUGAGAAUGAGAGAUACACUAGUUUGUAGUAAUUUUUCGCAUGAAAUAGUAUUUUAUUGAAGACUUGACUAUAUUUGAUACUUUUUUCCACCGUGCUAGGAGCUUUUUGGUGAAGUCUAACAAUAGAGAUUGAUAUCUGCUACAAGAUGAUACUCAAUUAAACCAAAAGCACUUAAGUUAUUUAGGGUUUUCUUCGGUUAACCUAAGAAAACAUUCCCACUUUCUUUGUAUUGAGUCAUCUAAAUAGAAUAGAAUAUUGGGUAUCAGAGUCGUAAAUGGUAUUAUAAAUAUGACUUUUUUUUUAGAGUCACCUACAUGGAAUGAAUUAUUGGUAGGUGAACAAAAUAUUGGGGUGAUUGUAAUAGUUGAAUUAGUAAAUGGAAGAUAAGUGUAUGUUGCUUUGUUUAUUCUAUAAAAACAAUAAUUUUAGUAGUUGAAAUUUACAUGCUUUGUUGUUUUAUAAAAACAAUAAUUUUAGUAUUUGAAAUUUUAAAAUGUGAAUGAAAUGCCUGAAAAUAUAUUUUGAAAAAUAGGAUAGUAAUAAAUGGAAAAUAACUCAUUUCCUAAAAAUAUUUUGAUAAAUUAAAAUAAUAUGUGGUUAAAAUAUAUUUUUGUGAAAGUAUUUAAAAAUGAAUCAAAAUAUAAAUAAUUGUUAUUUUUUUUUAAAAUAAUUUAGGAAUAUAAAAUAAUAUUGGGGAUAAUUUUUGAGUUUAAAUUGUGUUAUAAAUGGUUAAUUUUUUUAGGACUGUCCUUUUUGAAAAUAAUCCAAUGAUAAUUUUUUUAAAUAAGAAUGUUGAAACUAAUUUUAAAAAUAAAAUUUUGUUGGCAAUGAUUUUUCUAAAAGUAUUUUAGGCAUAAAUGGAAAUUUCUUGUAUGAAAAUAAGAGAAUUUAUAUAUAUAUAAUAGACAUAAAAAUAGAUUUCUUUGAUAUUUAAUAAACAAGUGAAUUUUUCUCUAAAAAAAGAAUAAAAUAAGAAUUUCUCUAUAUAAUAAAAUAAUUUAUAUAUGAGAUAGUUUUCAAUAAGAAAGUUUUGAAAAUAAAUUUGGGAUAAAAUAUUUUUUAGUAAGUUUUGUUUAGAUAAUUCAAGAAUAAAGUGGUUUAUUAACUUUUCUUAAAAAAUAACAUUCUUCUUUCUUUUUUGAAUUGAUCAAUAGUUUGGAAAUAAAAUUGUUAGAUUCUAUUUUUUGUAAAUGUUUAAGAUAUUCUAAAAAAUUCUUUAAAAAUGAAAUGACCUUUCUACCACAUUCCUUUAAUAAAUAAUUGUAUUUUUAUACAUAUUGUAAAGUAAAAAAAAAAGUCUUUAUUUAGUUAACCUAAGAAGACAUUCCUACUUUUCUUUGUGUUGAGAGUCACCUAAAUGGAAUAAAAUAUUCAAUAUCAUAGGAGAGUAAAAAGUAUUGUAGAAAUGAUUUUGUUGAGAGAGUUAUCUAAAUGGAAUGAGAUAUUGGUAGGUGAAUAAAAUAUUAUGGUGAUUGUAAUAGUUGACUUAGUGAGUGGAGGAGAAGUGUAUGCUUCUUUGUUUAUUCUAUAAAAACAAUAAUUUUAGUAGUUGAAAACGUGUAUGAAAUGACUGAAAAUAUUUUUUGAAAAAUAAGAAAAUAAUAAAUGGAUAAUAGCUCAUUUCCUAAAAAUCUUUUGAUAAAUUAAAAUAACUUGUAGUUAAAAUAUAUUCUUAUGAAAGUAUUUAAAAAUAAACCAAUAUAUUAAUAAUUGUUAUUUUGUUUAAAAAUAAUUUAAUAGUAAAAAAAUAAUACUGAGUUCAAAUAUGACUACUUUGUUAUGAGAUUCAUUAAAGAAAUAAUUGUUGAUUUUACAGUUAUUGCAUCAAAGGUUUUACUCGUUUAAUGAAUUGUACAUAAUUUCAUACUUUCAAUUAUUAUGAUAUUAAUGUUAUUCUCAUUUGAUUUCAGUUUGAUUACAAAUAAAACAUAUUCUCAAGUAGAAUUUGAUGAAAUUAGAGAAAAAUAGAUUACUUUUGUGUUAUAACUAAUCAUGAAUCAUAUUGAUGUAUCGUGAUCAUUCAUGGUAAGUCCCUUAGUUGUUAUAUGAUUGAAUUUUCCAUUGAUAUUGUAUAACAUUACUUAUUCUUUACGAACUAUUUUUAUACCAAAAUGAGAAAAAGGAAAAAGAAAAAGAAAACAUUAGUACUUAGAUUUGUUUAUUGUUUAUAACAUCACAUUUUUAUUUUCAAUAAGAACUCUAAAACUCAUUAAUCUAUGAAAUGCAGGUAUACACUCUUGGGAGGACAAUAUGAAGAAUAAAAAGAAAGGAGAAAGAGACAACAAGAUUUAGGUUGUUAGAUAUGACUCUUAUGUCAUACAUUAUAGGACAUAAAUGUUACUUUAUUUGGAAUUGAGAAUUUUGGGUUUUUGGAUGCAACUCUUGUGUCAUUUUAUGGUUAGCCGGUUUUAUACAUAUGAAAUGCAAGUAUACAUGAAUGUUGGGAAACUUAACAUUUCUAAAUCAUGUUUUAAUGUGUAUUCACUUUUCUUUUUUAGUUUUGGUGGGUUUGAUGUGUUUGAUGUACUAUCAUUUUGUGAACAUUUGAUAUACAAAUAUUAUUGGAUGAUGUAAUAUGUUACAAAUUAAUUCAUAAGCAUUAUGAAAAUAUAAGUUAAAUGUAAUAUGAUUAUUAUAUUUAUGGACAAUUUACACAGGUUAGUCUUAUUUAUUAAUAAGCAUUACAAAAAUCUACAAACUAAUCAACAAAAAACAACCAUAUCUUCCAUAAUCAUUUACAAUGAUGUGACACCAUAAAUUAAAGGUGAUACAUUUAACGUGACACCAUAACUCAAAGAUGAUGCAUUUAAUAUGACACCUUAUAUAUCUCAUACAACUCUAUAUCAAAUUAAGCAUCACUAAAAAUAUAUGGUGUCUCUUCUGAAUGUGUCACCAUUUAUCUGCUUUGGUGUCGCUUCCAAAUACGUCACCAAUUGAUACCCUCUAUGGUGUCAGUGGAUAAGGUGACGCUAUGUUGUAGUGACACCCUAUGUUUAUAGUGACUUAUUAUAAAUGUCACCAUAUAUCUUUUUCCUUGUAGUGCAUCUCAAGUUUCAAUCAAAAAAAUAUUUAUGAUUUGUUUUUAUUAAUUUGUGUCUUGUUUUCAAUUUAAUUAAUGAAAAUUUAUUUGAUCAAAAAGUUCAUUACAAACCAAUUUUAAAAAUCUAAUCCUUUAUUAUAUUUUGAUAUCGUUUUGAUAAAAAUGUCUUUAUUAUUAUUAUUAUUUUUUUUUUUAUAAAAAUAAAUUUUUUUAUAAAUAUAUUGUAAAUAUUUAAAAUAAUUAAAAAUAUUUAGAUCAAAAAUCGAUUAUUUUUCAAACAAAUAUAUGAAAGUGAUAAAUUUGCAAAUAUGGGGAAUAUUUAAUCCUUUUAAUCGAUUAUUUCAUUAAUGAAGUGGGUAUAAUGAUGAACGCAUACUUGGUUUUACUAGGGCAUGCAGAGGUUUUGCAAGAGAGAGAGAUCAUUUCUCGACUCUGAGAAAUCAAUCUCCUUUUGGCCCGGUGGCGGACUCCAAGUAAAGCCUUGAAGGAGCCUUGCUAACAUCCCUGCACACCCACGCCUUCCAGUACUGAAGGAAAUGAAGCGAAGGUUUGGCUCGUUCAACUCCACUGCUUGAACUGUACUAGCAUUCAGAUGCCGCUCUGGAUUGAAAUUUAGCGGUUCUUCCCAGAUUCUAGGGUUCCGGCCCAGCCCCAGACGGCUCAGAAGGACAUGACUGCCUUUGGGGAUAGAGUACCCAGCAACACUAGUCGGAUUCCUGAACUCGUCUAUCCUUUCCAACCACUCCAUCAAUUUCUUCACUGCUUUGCUCAAAAUCCCUGGUUGCUUGAUCAUUGCCUACUCAAUUGCAUUUGAUGGACUAUCGACGCCUGCAAGCAUCAACUCCUGCAAAUUAUGGAAGGAUCAUAAUCUGAUGAUUGAUCAAGUUAUUUGCUGGCUAGGAAAUGAUCAUCAUGCAAUGUAGAUCAAAAGGUAAGCACAACACUACUACAAAAAUAAUUUAUGGUGUCAUUUUUAAAAUAAUGACACCAUAGGGUUUAUAAUUAAUAAAGGUGAUACAUCAUAUGAAAAUUCUUCAAUUAAGGUAGUUAGAUUAUGUUAGUUUUAUAUUUAUAGUGUUAUUUUUUGGGAAGUAACAUCAUAUAAAAUAAAUUUUUUUUUAAGUAUUAUAACUUAAUGAGCCCACUUUUAUAAUUAAUAAUGAGGGAUAAUGUAUAAAAAGCCCAUUGUUUCCACAUGCCACCCAUAAUCCAAAAAAUCUCAGUAUACAAACCUUAUAUAUAAAACCAUAAUCUUCUUCUACCUUUUCUCUUACCUAUAGUCAAUACACUUACAACCGACAUUUUCUACUUUGUGGACUCCUGGGUAAUCCAAAUUCUCUUAGAUCUAUCAUAUUUUUUUUUCUUUUAUUAAUAUAAUUAUAUUGAUUGUUUCACCAUCUUUGUAUUAUGGUUUUUGUAAACUGCGUUUUCUUGAGUUGUAGGGAAGAAAAACUUAGGUUUAAACUUCUAGCAUAGACGAAGAAACUUGUAGAUUAAUUGAUUUUUUAAUAUGAACCAAACACAUGACUGACUUCUUAAAAACAAGAAAAAAUGAAUGAUUUUUAAUAUGUAUUUAUGUGAGAAUGACAGGUACAAAAUUUUGUUGAGAUAUACUGUCACAUAAUCUUCAUCCCUUCCCUAAAACAAGAGAGAGAGAGAGAAAAAAAAAAAGGAAUGAUUUUUUUUGUGUGUAUCUAAGUGGGAAUGAGAUAUAUAGAAUUUUGUUGAGAUGCCACAUGAUCUUUAUCCUCCAUUAAACCCAACAUAUUAAAUCCACUAACUCUCCCCAAAAACGAGUAAAAAAAAAGGGAAAAAAGUAUGAGUUAAAAAACAAAAACGGAAAAUAUGAUUUAUUUUUUUUUAAUGUGUUUCUAAGGAAAAUGAGAGACACAAAUUUUUGUUAAGAUGCAUUGCCACGUGUUCUUCAUCCUCUCCAUUAAGCCUAAUAUAUUAAACCUAAUAGCUCUCUCUUUUAACUUUCCAGUGAAGUGCCUACAGUAUCCAACUCAAAAUAAGACAACUUAAGCCCCAUUAGCCAACAACCCAUAUUUUGUGUACAUCUUGAUGAGAUUAUUUUGUGAGAAAAUGUCAUGAAACAAUCCCAAUUUGAUAAUCUAGGCAUGUAUUUGAGUUAAAAAUAAAUUUCUAUUCUAUAGAUCAAAUAAUAAAAUCAUGUUUGAAAAUUAUUUUUAAAAACUUAUUUAGAGCAAAAAUAGUUUUCUAACAUAAAAAUAAUUUUUUAACUGAGAAAAUAUAUUUGAAAUUAUUUGAUAGAAAAUUGGGCAUGUAUUUGACUUAAAAACAAAUUUCUAUUCUAUAGCUCAAAUAAUAAAAUCAUGUUUGAAAAUUAUUCUUAAAAGCUUAUUUAGAGCAAAAAUGGUUUUCUAACAUUAAAAUAAUUUUUUAAUUUAGAAAAUAUAUUUGGAAACAUUUGAUAGAAAACUAGGCAUGUAUUUGACUUAAAAAUAAAUUAUUAUUCUAUAGAUCAAAGGAUAAAAUCAUGUUUGAAAAAUAUUCUUAAAAACUUAUUUAGAGUAAAAACAGUUUUCUAACAUAAAAAUAAAUUUUUAACUUAGAAAAUAUAUUUGAAAACAUUUGAUAGAAAACUUUUUUUUUAAUGUCAAUAAGUUGUCUUUUUGUUAAUUUAAUUGUAAUCAAUUUGCUUAUACGCAUUUAAAAGUAUAUAUUAUCAUAUUUAGUAAUAUUUUGAUUGUUAGGCAAAUUAUCAUUUUUGAGAGGAAUUUUUGUAGCUCUCAUAAUUAUAAUUGUAUUUUAAUAACCAUUUCCAAUAAAAAAGAAAAAGAAAAAAGAAGUUAGACAAUUAUCAAAAUCUGAUUUUUAGGAUUUUAAAAAAAUCUACAAGCCAAAACUAUCUAUAAUUUUGAUCAUGUGAGAACACUUCUUUUUUAAUACUUUGAAUUAUUUUGUUUUUUUUUUUCUUAGUAUCUGAAAGUAUAAAAGAAUUUCUCUUAUUAUAUUAUUAUAUUAUAUAUGUGCAUGUGUGUUCUCAUGGUUUCUUUAUGUCAUGUCUUAUUAAAGAAUAAAGUGAUGAAAUUUCCUUUGAGUAGAAGGUUUUAGUCCACGCUAGUGAGUGGACACGGUAUGAAUAGUUUGGGUGGGUUGUAUCUAUGGUAAAAAAUAAUAAAAGAUACCUUUUGCAAGUCUCCAAGUUGGUUGAGAUACAUGGCAUCAUGUUGACUAAACCUUGACUUUUGCAAGUCUCCUAGUUUCCAACUUUUUUUUUUCUUUUUUUUUUAAUAUUAAGGUGUGGGGCCAUGAACUCCUUUCUUUCCUUUUUAAAUAACAAAAAGGAAGAUAAUUUUAUUGUGAGAAGGCUAUUUCUAUCAAUUGUGUUCACGUCGAGAAUUUUUUAAUUUAUGGAGGCCAAAUAUAUAUUUAUGUCUAAUUUAGGAGGGUAAUUUGGGUUUGUUUAAUCUAUUCCAUUUAAUCAUACUAUACAAUCAUUUUUUUAUUUGGAUUAUUUUUGUAUUAAAUUUCUUCAACCCAAAUUUUGUUGAAAAAUUACAAUGUAUUAUUAAAAAUAUGACUUGAUAGUUGAUUAUGGACAUGUGUCAUUUUUAGUAAAAAAAAAAAUCUAUAACAUUUUAUAUUGAUAAUAUAUUAUUCUUGUAACAGGUUCGAAUAGUAAGCAAGUCAUUAUCAAAGAAGUUAUUGAAAGUAUAAGUGUACGUUUAUUUAUUGCAUGCUCUUAUAUUGUAUCAAUUGUAAGGAAGAUAAAAUUACCUUGUAAAGGUAAUUAAAUCUUUCUAUAUUUUAAAAACUUUUUUCCUAUAUACUAUGCUUUUGAAGCUUGUUUAAUUAAACAUAUUAGUUAUUUGACAAACUUUUCACAAAUGUUUUGUAUACUUAUGUGUUCUAUUUUGUUCCAUAGUUUUAUCGCAUAAUACUAAUGUAUAUUUUUUCACAAACUUUUUACAACUAUUUUGUGUACUAAUGCAUAUUAAGUUUUGUUCUUGCCUAUAUAAGCUACAUUUAGUUAUUUAAAUAUAUCCAAUAUUAUGUUGAAGAAAGAUGUACUUAACUUUUUUUAUUCUAAAUAUUAACAAGUUUUAUAGUUCUCUUGUCUUGAGAUUGAAUGUCAAAAGAUAGAAGGUCAGUUGAGUAUGAUGAAAGAGUUGAAAACUUUAUCAAUUUUGCAUUAGCACAUUCAAUCAACCAUUCCCCUAUAAAAUGCCCAUGCUUACGUUGUGCAAAUCUAUUAUGUCAAACUCUUCAAGUCAUUACAGAGCAUUUGUUCUUUAAUGGAAUAGAUCUCAGUUAUCGAGUAUGGUAUUGGCAUGGAGAAAAUGGACCCAGUGGAGGAUUUUCAAAUGUCUCACAACAACAUUAUGACAAAUGCAAGUAUAAUGAUGUUGUUGACACAAUAGAUAUGGUUAAUGCUGCACAAGUUAAUUGUGUGAAUGAUCCCUAAGUGUUUGGAAGGUUACUUGAAGACGCAAAAAAACCUUUAUAUCUUGGAUGCAUGAAAUACACAAAGUUGUCAGCAUUGGUAAAACUUUACGACUUAAAAGCACGUUAUGGUUGGUCUGACAAAGGAUUCUCAAAAUUGCGUCAGUUGCUUGGAGAUAUGUUGCCAUUGAAUAAUGAGAUGUCAUUGUCCAUGUAUGAAGCUAAAAAGACUUUCAGUGCACUUGGGAUGAAUAUCAAAAAAUUCAUGCAUGUUCUAAUGAUUGUAUUUGGUAUAGAAACCAGUAUAAGGAUGCUAUUGCAUGCCUAACUUGUGGAAAGUCAAGGUGGAAGAUAAACAAUGAGGGGAAAAAGAUUAAGAAGGGGCUUCCUUCAAAGGUUUUGUGGUAUUUCCCACCAAUCCCUAGAUUCAAAAGGAUGUUCCAAUCCUCAAAAAUCGUUAAACAUCUUAUGUGGCAUGCCAAGGAUAAAGAAUAUGACGGUAAACUAUGCCACCCAUCAGACUCCUCAGCGUGGAAACUAGUUGACCAUAUGUGGCUUGAUUUUGCUUCUGAACCGAGAACCUUAGACUAGCACUCUCAACAGAUGGUACAAAUCUUCAUAAGUCUAUAAGCAAUAGACAUAGUUGUUGGCCUGUUAUACUGAUCAUAUACAACCUUCCUCCUUGGUUGUGCAUGAAAAAGAAGUUUAUGAUGCUAUCAUUAUUGAUCUCAGGACCACGACAACCUGGUAAAAAUAUAGAUGUUUACUUGAGUCCAUUGGUAGAUGACCUUAAAACUUUGUGGGAAAAAAAAGUUGAGACUUAUGAUGCACACUUGCUUGAGGUUUUUACUUUAAAGGUCAUCAUUUUAUGGACAAUCAAUUAUUUCCCUACAUAUGGAAACUUGGCCAAUUGCACCGUGAAAGGAUAUUAUGCAUGUCCAAUAUGUGGAGAAGGAACAUAUUCCCAAAGAUUAAAGUAUGGUAGGAAGAACUUGUAUAUGGGUCACCGACGAUUUCUUCCACGUAACCAUCCCUAUUGGAGACAAAAGAAGGCAUUCAAUGGUGAACAAGAUUUUAGAAUUCCUCCUAAAAUUUUGAGUGGAGAAGAAAUACUUGAAAAAGUUGAUCUCAUUCCUAUUUCUUGGGGAAAAAUGAAGAUAAAAUCUCUUGAACUGAUGUGAACACAAAUUAUUGGAAAAAAAAGUCCAUAUUUUUUGAGUUAGAAUAUUGGAAAUAUCUUCAUAUCCUUCACAACUUAGAUGUCAUGCACAUCGAAAAGAAUGUCUGUGAGAGUAUUAUUGGUACUUUGUUUAACAUCCCAGGAAAACAAAAAGAUGGACUUAAUGCUCAACUUGACCUAGUUGAAAUGGGUUUAAGGUCUGAACUUUUCCCAAGAGUUGACUUGAAGCGGACCUAUCUUCCCCCUGCAUGUUAUUCACUAUCCAAACAUAUAUGACAAAAAAUUAGUUUGUCAAACAUUGUCUAAUUUGAAGGUCCCUGAGGGGUAUUGCUCAAAUUUUAGAAAUCUUGUCUCCUUAAAGGAAUUGAAGUUAUUUGGUUUAAGAUCCCAUGACUACCAUGCACUUAUGCAACAACUAUUGCUAGUGGCAUUACGUUUUGUUUUGCUAAAGCAUGUGAGAUAUACUAUAUCAAGAUUGUGUAUCUUCUUCAAUCAAUUAUGUACAAAAAUGGUUGAUGUGCCAAAAUUGGAUGAAGUACACAAUGAGUUAGUGGUCACGCUGUGCUUACUUGAAAAGUAUUUUUCACCUUCAUUUUUUGAUAUUAUGCUUCAUCUAGUAGUGCAUUUGAUAAGGGAGGUGUGACUAUGUGGUUCAGUUUACUUUAGGUGGAUCUACCCAUUUGGGAGGUAUAUGAAAGUUCUUAAAGAAUUGUUCGCAAUCAUAAUUGGCUUGAAGGAUGCAUUACUAAGUGCUAUUUAACAGAAAAAGCUAUUGAAUUUUGUACUGAAUAUUUAUUAGGGACUCAUGCAAUUGGAAUUCCAAAAGCAACAAUUAUGACAACAAAUUUGGUAGACCUAUAAUUGGUGGUCGUUCUACCAUCAUUGAUCAUAAAUUGUGGUUACAAGCACAUCAUUAUCUAUUAGAGAAUACAACUAUCGUCCAACCAUACACUGAGUAAGAAAAACAUACCUUUAUCUUUUUAUAAUUUCAUAACAUAAUGAUGAAAUCCUAAGUUUGCAUUCCUUGUCUUUAACGUCAUAAGGAACACAUGAAUUGGUUGAGGUCUCAAUACCCUCGACAAUCUAAUAGACAAAUUUGGUUGCAAGAAGAACAUAUGAGUUGUUUUACAUAUUGGCUUAAAGAAAAGGUAAUCUCUUAGUUUUUAGAAAAUUUUUCAAUAUGUUGAAAACAUCACAAGUUUCCAAUAUGUUUUGAUUAUACAUAGGUUGAAGAGGCUAUCCAUAAUGGGCAAGAUAUUCCCGACACACUUAGGUGGUUAGCACAUGGCCCUACUCUCCAGGUAGUCAAAUAUCCUGGAUAUAUCAUUAAUGAGUGUUGUUACCAUAUUAAGAAACGCGAUAUGACAUGCAUCACCCAAAAUAGUGGUGUUUUUAGCAAGACUAUGCAAAUUGCUAGUUCUAAGGAUAAGAACCUAGUUUGUGGUGAACUUUGCUUUUAUGGGGUCAUUAAUGAGAUAUGAAAUCUUGAUUACAACAUGUUCACAAUUCUAAUUUGCAAGUGUGAUUAGGUUGACAACAAGAAUGGUAUAAAAGUUGAUGAACUCAGGUUCACAUUAGUUGACUUCUCCAAAAUAGGUCACAAAUUGGAUCCAUUUAUUUUAGCAUCACAAGCCAAGCAAAUCUUCUAUGUUGAAGAUCAACUUGAUCCUAAAUGGUCAAUAGUUCUCUCAAUUCCUCCAAAAGAUUUCAAGAACAUAGAAGGACUAGAUGACUUCACCGAUAAUUGCAUGGAACAUCACCCCUUUAUAAGUUCAAUGCCAGAAUUUGAAUCAUUUGAUGCUAUGGAUGAAUCAUAGGCAAUACACAUGAGAGAAAACUGUGAGGGCAUAUGGAUUGAAAAGAAUUAAAUAACAUAUUGUACCCUUGAAUGAGAUAUAAUAAGGCAUUUCACUUAUUAGUUUUCAUGAGUUGCACAUUAACUUAGCUUCUAUAUAUUGCUCAUGAUAUAUCUAUAUAUAUUAAUCAUCCUAAAUUUCUUUCAUGCAUCAUAAACAUAUGUUAUUCAAAGGUACCACUUCAAUCUUCAUUCAACUAUCUUUUUGUUGUCCAUAGAACUAGAUUUAUAUUAUUUUUUAUUAUCAUGUUUUGAUUUUAUGCUCACAUAACUUGAAACUCUCAUUCCUAAAUUUCUUUUUCAUUAAAACUAUAAAUCAUAAUUGAAACUAUGCACUAAUUUAUUUUAUUAUUAUCCUCACAAAUAAAUUCUUCAUUAUUGAUAAGAAAUCAAAAAACAAGACAAACUUUGAAAGAAAAUUUCAAAAAAUAUAUUUGUGAAUGACCAAUUUAAUUAUAGAAAAUAUAUGCAAGGCUAUACUAAUCUUGCUUUUGAGUCAUUUUACAGGUUUGUUGGUGAAGUACUAGUUUGCACAUUUACUUGAUAUCUUCCACACAAAUAUGGAUCUAGAAGAAGGGGAAAUGCCAAAAAUAAAGCAUAGAUGUAGUGCAUUGAAACCAAAGAUUGCAAAAAAUCAAAGUAAAGGGAUAAAACUCAAGAUUGAAUACAAUAGCCUUGGUAGUCCCAUUAAGGAAAAUUCAGUUAAACUAAGUAGUUAUCUUAGUACAAUAACUAGAACCCAUGUGCUAAUAAUUAUUGAGAGUUGGAGGAAAGUCCCUAAAGAGACUAAGGAGAAGUUGUGGGAUUUGAUCACAGUAAGCCUAUCUAUAGCUUUAAUAUAUAAUUAUUGUAUACAUUCAUUAACAUGAGCUAAUAUGGGUUGUUAUUUUGUAGACAAGCUUUAAUGUGAAUAAAAAAUCCAAGAGGAAUUGUUUCAUACUAAUGGGCAUCAGGUUUCGAACCUUUAAGUACAAGUUGACAAAGAAAUAUAUAUUGUCUUUCAAGAAUGACCAAAAAAGCUGAAAAAGUCACCUCCUAUUUACCCAUUCAUACAAGAGGAUCAUUGGAGACAGUUUGUUAAAGAUAGACUUUUUGAACAUUUUAAUGUUAAGCAUUAUUUUUAUUACAUCUUCAAUUUUCACAUUUACGUAGUUUCAUUAUGUACUAAUUUUGUGUCUAUAUUUUGUAGGAAUAUCGCAAAGUUUAGAAAUCAAGAAGAGAUAAACACAUUUACAAUCAUUAUCUUGGAAGAAAAUGAUAUGCACGUUUUGAGCAAGAUAUAGUAAGUUAUCAAUAUCCAUAAAAAAAAUGGAGUAUAUAUUUUGUUUAUAGGAAAAUGAUUCUAGUUUUUAAAUAUCAUUUAUUAACUUGAUCAUGUUGAACUAAUGAGUUUUAUUGUUAAAAUUUUUAUAGCUACAAGCAGAAGGGGCUAUUGGUAGGGUUGAUAGAAGUGUUUAUGAAAGAAAACACGUGAGAAGAAAGGAAAGUUUAAUAAGAUUACAAAGCUAAUGAUUAACUAAGUUAGCAUAUUUAUGCCUUUUAGAGCCUAUAGUGUUAGUAUGUCUAUGUGAUUAUGGUUUGGGAUGAUAUCGUUAGGUGUUAAUAGGGAAGAGGCUUAAUGCUAUCAUUUUUAUGAGUAGUCAUGUUAUAUUAGUGCAAAUAUAGUAGCCUAAUUUGAAAAUUAAUUUUGAAACAAUAUACAUUAAUUUAUCUAUUAUCAUUUUUAUUAAAACAAUUCAUUUUCUAGCUACCUUGAAUUGGUCCUCUUGAAUUGGUUGUCUUUGAUUGAUAUGUUAAUCAUCUUCAUCAAAUUAUUACUAAUAUAUGUUUUGUUGUAGGAUGAAUUACUAGAAAAGGCAAGGAGACUGGACUACCUCCACUUGGUCCAAAUGACAUAUUAUGUCAGGCAUUGGGUAAGCUUGAUCAUCUAGGACGUGUGGUAGGUCAAGACCGCUUGGUUAGGUCGAACUCAUACUUUCAUCAACCAUUUGAUGACAUGAAAAAAAAAAUCAAAGAAGAAAUAUGGGAAAUGGUGUGAAAGGGGAUGCAAGAUGCUGUAACAAGACAAACUAUGUCUCCUCCCACACCCCAUUCUGAUAUAGGUAGUAAUAACAUGAGACAACAACUUGUUUUACAACUAGUUGUAGCAAAAAAACCAAUGUUUAAAAUGAUGGAAGAGCCCCAACCACCAGAACCACCACUGAAACGUAAGGUAUACAUUUACUUACUAAUAAUACAAGAUUAAUAUAAGUGAUAUAUAGCCUAUGUAAAUGAUAUUAUUUGUUGUAUUAAAGGUGAUUAAAUAUAAAUUAGCAGUGGAAUGAAAAUGAAAUGUUGUUGCAACUGGUACAUUAAUAGAAGAAAAUUGAUCAAAUGGGUUGGUCGUAAUAAAUGUUGCACACAAGCUAGAUGCUAGACUUCCAUUUCCAAAUCCAUAUGAGAUUAUCAAUGUUGGGGAUGCUAUUGGCUUUAAGCUUGACUGGCCAACAAGCCUUGUCAUACUUGAAACUAAACAUCCUCGGGUAUGUCAUUUUAUACUUGUAGUAAAUUUGAUUGUAACUUGGUAUUUUAUUGUUUAGGAGUAUAUAUUACUAACAUUCCUUCAUUUUUCAUAGGUGUUGGAUAAAGGAAAGAAGUAGAUAGUGAAUGCACCAAUUAUUCGAAAAUCUAAGCCUCAAAAUUAUUCGGUCAUUAAAAAUUUUCAGAAAUUUAUGGAUGGUUGUCUUAGUAAUGAGAAGACAUACCCAAUACAGCUCCCCAUUUCACUAUUUGGUGUCGAAUUCCGAACAUAUAUAUCUAGAGAGGAUUGUGAAUACAUUAUUUCAUCUUCAGAGGUGUUAUCAAAAUGCAUCUCCUUCCAUUUAUGGUGUGCACCUUUUAUUUUCAUUUGUUUUUAUUUUUUUAAUAUGAGUUGCCCCUGUUGAACAAGAUUGGAUAUGACUAAUGAUAAUUUUCUUUUGGUGUUUUGAUAAUAUAAUAGGUACAUGCAUGAUCAACUACAUAUUGCCAAAAAGGAAUCACAAUUUAUAUUUGUUAAUCCUUUUACAAUAUCAUGAGCAGGCUUUAGUAAUCCUCAAAUAGAGAAAAGAACACAAUUGUUGUCAAAACACUUAAUAGAGUGCCAAGAUGUCAGAUAUGUUUUCAUGCCCUACAACCCCGAGUAAGUGACGAAUAUUAUACUUUAAUUUGAGGUUUUAUGAUUGAUUUAUAUUUCUAAUUAGAUGCUACUUUUGUUUUUAAUGUUUUAGCUUUCAUUGGGUCUUGGUAGUGAUUGAGCCAAGGAAAAUGAUAGUCCACUAUCUUGACCCUGUGCAUCACAAACCAUGUGAGGACUUAAAGGAUAUCGUAAACAUGUAAGUUCUUCCUAUUAUUUUUCAUAGUAUUAUUUAAAAAAAAAAAUUACAUUCACCUCAAACACAUUUUUUAUUGUUAUUUCUAUAUAUUAAAACAUAUAACAUUUACCUAUUUUAAAAUUGUACCCAUUGAACUUAUUUACAUAGGGCUCUUUAAAUAUUUGCAAAGAAAACAUCUAAGAGAGAGCCAUCUUGGCAACUAGUGCAAGUGACAUCCAAAAAUUUUCUUUAAACAUUUAGCUUAUGCAUUUGCACCAUUUAUAUAUAUGAGUACUAAUGUUAUUUAUAACUGAUCCAUUAGUGUCCAAGACAAGAAGGAGGGUUCGAAUGUGGCUACUUUGUUAUAAAAUUCAUUAAAGAGAUAAUUUUUUAUCCUACAAUGAUUGCUUCAAAGGUAUUACUUAUUUAAUGAAUUGUACAUAUUUUUAGGCUUCCAAAUGUUAUGCAUUUUAAUGUUAUUUUCUUAUUUGAUUUUAGUUUGGUGAUAAAAAAACAUAUUCUCAAGUAGAAUUCAAUGAAAUUAAAGGAGAAUUGACUACUUUUGUGCUACAACUAAUCAUGAAUCAUGUUGAUGCAUCAUGAUCACCAUGCAUGGUGAGUCCCUUAGCUACUACAUGAAUUUUUCCAUAGAUAUUGUAUAGUAUUGCUUUUCUUUGAACAAUGUUUUUAUUUGAAAAAAAGAAAAAAAAAGUUCUUAGAUUUGUUCAUUUAUGAUAACAUCGAUCCAUAUUUAUUUUCUUCAAUGAAAUCUAUAAAACUCAUUAAACUAUGAAAUGCAGGUAUACACUCUUAGGAGGGUGGAAUAGAGAAUAAAAAGAACAAAGAAGGCAACAAGAUUUUGGGUUUUUAAAUACAGCUUGUAUGUCAUACGUUGAAGGACAUAAACGUUACUUUAAUUGGUAGUGAGAAUUUUAGAUUUUUAGAUGCUACUUUUAUGUCAUUUUCUUGUAGUGCAAAUUACUUAUCUUACUAUGCAUUGGGCUUUGAUAUUAGCCAAAGAUAGUAGUGGCUCCUAAUUUUUAUCCUUAACUGAAAUGAAAACAUCAAGCAGGUCCCCAGCCUCUUUUUCGCCAUUCUUCCACUAUUCUACUAUUUGGUCCAUGAUUGGAUCAUGGUACUUGUUAAUGGUGUUCAUAGCCUCCCUUAUAGUUUUUUCAUGGCCAUCUAAAUUCAGCACUCUCUGCCAUGGGAAGUAAUCAGAUAAAGAGAAUACAUAUAGAUGAGCAAGUAUAGUAAAGAAGGAUUCAACAUGUUGCUCCACUUCAACUCCAGGGCCUCCAUCUUUCUUUCGUUGGCCAAAGUAUCUUGUGUUGAGGAUCAUCUUUCAGAUGACAUUCCCGUUGUAUUGACGGACUUUAUUUCUGUCACACCCCAAAUACUAGGCAACCCAGAACUUGACUCGUGACCCUAGGUCAAAUGUUUGACCCUAAGAGUUACUCUUAUCCAUGUUGGCAAUCAAUCAAAACACCCUGGAUUUUUUUUCUUUUCAAUAAAGCGUUUAAUCCUAAAUAAAUUUAUUAAGCUAAGAUUUACUAUAACAUAUCAUUUUAUUUUUCCAAAACUAACCAUCACAUUAUCUCCUGUUCACAAGUAUUAAAAAAAAAAAAAAUUCCACCAAUCAUCUUCUUACCCAAAAUCUCAAAUAUUUACUAUAAUCUCUAAGUCAAAAAGAAUAUUUCCAAAAAUGUUUUACAAACUAAUAAAAUAUAAUUUAACUUAAAAAAGUCCAUAUAACUCAAAUUAGUAGAUGUCAAAAAGGUAAUUAAAAAAAAACAACCAUUAUUAUGGUUUUUUUGCUUUUUAGAACACUUCAUGAUCUUCUUAUGGUCCCUUAGAAACUAUAUCUGCAUCUAAAAAUUUUAGAAAAUAAAGGGAUGCACAUUUCCACGUUACUCUUUAGACCUAAAUGGGUUAGAAAUUCUAAGUCAAUAAAACACAACCAUAUGCCAAAAUAUAAUAUUACAUUUACAUUAUACACACUAAAAGAAACCUCAACCAUACAAAUUUAAAUCAAUCAAAAUUAUCAUUUUCCUUAUUUAAUCAUAUGUUUAGCAUAUCAAUAAUUUUAAAUUUACAAAAUAAAUAAGUCACUUUAGUCUUGAAUAAUAUAUUCAAACAUAUACUUGAUAAAUAAUACAAAUCAUUUUUCCAAAUGCAACCAUGAUACAAAUGCUUACACACAAUCACGCAAUGCAAUAUCGUUCUCGAGCUUUCACCGAAGGAUAUGCAUUUAUACCCAAAUACACUCCCCAUUCGGAGUCUUCCUGGGAUAAAAUUUUGAGUCUUUCACCCUAAGGAUCUCACUCCCUUCUUAACUCACCAUCUCUAGGGUCAUUCAAUUUCUUAUUUUUCUUUUCUUUUCAUUUUUGCCAUUUUUGGGGUCUUUUCAUUCUCAUUUCCAUUUCACACAACCAUUUCUUCAAUUUUUAUUUUUCUUCACACAAUCAUGAUGCAUAUGAAAUGCAACUGAAUCAUAUUUUAACAUCCAUAAUUUUCCAAGACAUAAUUUUAUUUACUCCCAUUAUGUUUCAUAAUUUCCAAUAAUCCACACAACGAUUUUUCUUCACUUUAAUCGUCACAAACAUAAAAGAAAAUUCACAAUUAAUUUGUAUAGCAUCAAAACAUAGUUUUAAACAUUGACCACAUAAAUUCUAUUUAUUCCCGACAUGCUUAAUAAUUUCCAAAUCCAAUAUAACCAUUUUUUUUUCAAUUAAAUAAUCACACAUAUCCAAGAAAAUUCUCGCUAAUACAAAUAUCAACAAAAAUGUAAUUUAUGUCAUAAUUUAUUUGUCUCCAAUAAUUUCAAAAAUUUUGACACCCAUAUGACAAAUUUCCACAAUUAAGCCACCCCAAUAUUUGGGAAAAAUUUUCCAAUAAUUCAAAUAUCAACAAAAACCCAAUUUAUAUCAUCAUUUUAUUUAUUUUUAAAAGCAUUAAUAAUUUUAAUAAUCAAUACAACACUUUUCCACAAUUAAGCCACCACAAAAUUUUGGGAAAAUUUUCCAAUAAUUCAAAUAUUAACAAAACACAAUUAUACCUUAAUUUUUCUUAUCUCUGACAACAUCAAUAAUUCUUAGUACUCAAUACAACUAUUUUUAUUUUUUCAUAUUUAAUCUUCUCAAACAUUACCAAAAUUCCAAGAAAAAUUUAUAAAUCACGAAAUAAAAUUAUUCACAAUAAUAAUCACACUUCAAAUACUACAAAUAACAUCUAUUAUAUUUCAACAACACAAUAUAUAAUUUUUUUUGAAAGAAAAUAUUAAAUCAAAGUUUUAGGGUUAAAUCACCCUACCUUAAAUUUGAAAAAUUUAACCAUUAAAACUAAAACGGGACACCGUAGGAGUGUUCCUCGCAUUGAAUAGAAUAUCCUUCCAAAAUUUUAUGUGAAAUGGACGUCAUUUGGUAGGUCCACCAGCAUCCUAAAGCUGGCGACCCAUUUUUCCCACUCUUUGCCGACGACUUCCCUACAUCUCUUACUCGAUUUCCUUUCUUCAUUUUCUUUUCUUCUUCUUCUUUUCUUCUUCUUCUUUUAAACUCCCACGCCAAUUUCACUUUAUAUAUAUAUAUAUAUAUAUAUAUAUAUAUAUAUAUGUAUGUAUGUAUGUAUUAUUAAAACAAAUCCUAAAAUACCACGCACAUCCAUUUCUCAAUAAAUUAAAACCAUUAUUCUUAAAUUCACCUUCCGUAAUUAUGAAUUAUACCAAACUUAUGAUUUUCCAUUUCACGAAAAAUACCACCGUAUUCGUAAUUUAAUUUACUACAAGUCUACUCUUCAAAAAGUAUAAUUUGAUUAUAAUUACAUGAAACAUUGUUUUUUUACUCUAAAAUUCAUUUAAAACAUGAUAUAAUUAACUAUUAACAAAAUUCAAUUCCAUAAAAUAUUAAAAACAUAAAAUAAUUUUUUGGCAAUCAAGAAGUUGAAAUUUGUAAUAACCCUAAACCCGUUAAUUUUACCUAUAUUUAUUUACCAAAAAAAAUUUAAAUAAUAUUCUAAAAUUUAAUUCCAUAAAUUAAUUAGUCAUUCAAUUUAUAAAAAUCAAAUUCUCUACCCUUUGGUAUAACUUUUAUUUAAUUUACUUCAUUUUUCAAAUUAUUCAAUCGCAUCAAAAUUUCAAAAGUUAAAUUCACUAAAUUCACAUUUAAUUAAUUUAUCAUUUUGUAUUUUUUUUUUUUCUAAAUUCGCAUAUCAUAAUUUAAUCUUAAUUUAAUUUUGAUUCAAUUUUGUUUUAGGUUUUCUAAUUUUAUGAGGUUUAAUUUCAAUUAUAAAAAUUAAAUUCAAUUUCUUUUUAAUUAUCCAUUAUCACAAUUUGAUAUAAUAUAAUUUUUUAUCAAGUUUUUCUUACUACGAUUUUUCUUAUAAUUAUCCAAUAAUAAUUAAAUUAAUUCUCGUAACAUAUUUAAUAUUCAAAUUUUAAAAACUUAAUCUCAAUUAUUUGAUGGUUAUUUUUUUUUUCUCAAAAUCUAAAUUUAAUUUAUGAAAUUCUCACUUCUUACAUCUGACGUGGCAAAAUUUUCAAACUAUUGACUUUUGACCAACUUUUCCUAAAUUUAUCCUAAUUAAAUACUAACACAUGGAUUUUCACCACUCUUUUUGAUCUUUUGACCCACAAAUUUAUGAAAGACUUUAUACUUGGAGAAUCUACAAAAACCUGGGUAUUACAAUUUCUCAGGUUGAUAACUGUCGUGGUUACGAAGCCACCACUUGAAUACUCAAUCGCCAUUGUAAUGGGCCUAGAUGCAAAUAGUACAUCAUGUUUCUUCAAAAGUUCUCUGCUAAUCUCUGGGAAAGUCGUAGGGACAAGAUGAAAUAUUUCCCAAUUGAAUACAUGCAAUUUCAGUGUUCAUUUCUUUCAUAAAGCCAAUGUAUCCACCAGAAAGUUGGCUUUUUGUUGAGUAAAUGAGGUAGAUAUUGCACUAGUGGCCAUGGAGCUAAUCCUGGAGGAAGUUGUAUCGGCUUGCUUUUGGUACUUGUUUUGGAUUUUAAUUUAGUGAAGAUGAGAAAGAUUGAUGUGAUGAAAAGCAGUAAGAGGAAGUUGAAAUGAGACAACACAUCGUCUGUGGUAGUAGAAGAAAACAAGGUUGAGUUACUGCUACUACUCUCUGCAACAAAGCCAUUUACACGUCUUUUAUGGCAAAACCAUGUUUGUCCUAUCUUGGGUCUGGAUGCACAUUUUUAAUAUUGGGGAAAUCAUGCAACCAAAUGUCACACACAAAGAGAGAGAAAAAAAUACGUUUUUUAGAACUUGAAAAGGUAAAGUGGGACAAAAAAUAUUAUCCAUUCUUGAACUCUAAAAGUAAAGUUAUAAAAAGCUUAGUUUUUUUUUUUUUGUUAUGUAUGAUUGCAUGAUUUCCCCCUUUUAAGAUUUUAUCUCAUAAAAUUUUUUUCUAGAAGGUUCAAAUAAGUUUGAUGAAUAUUGUUUAUUUUAGUAAUUUUAAUUUUAUGGGGUACUUAAAACAUUAGAAGUUCACAAAAAGCAACAUUUAUCAGCUACCUAUCUAAAAAGCUUGGCCUAAUCAUUGAAAUCCAAAAUAUAAAGUGACAACACACUUUUUAAAGCAAUUUUCAAAAUAGUUUUUAAAAACACAUUUAUUUAUGAUAUUUUUAAAAUAAAAAUCUCAAAAAUAACUUGUUUAUAUUACUUUUUAUUAGACAAAUACUUGAUCUUUAUAAGAUCACCCUAAUUAUAGAUUUAUGAACAUGUAACACAGCAAUUAUCUAUAUAUAUACUUAGAAUUAUUAUAUUUUAAGUUUUUAACUACAUAGGACAUCAUGAGUUUUUCCACCAUUUAUCUUAUAAUAAGUUUAUUUAAAUAUGAUAAAGGAUAUAUUAUCUCAUUUCUUAUUAUAUCUGAUGCUAUAUAUAUAUAUAUAUAUAUAUAUAUAUGUAACAAAUCAAAUACAAUUUAAAGAUUUUAAUUAACCAUCUAUUAGCAACAAAGCAAUCUCUUAAUCUCAUUCAUAAUAUUAGGAUAAUUUAGUAUUUCCUUUUAUAAAACACUAGCAUAUAAAUCAGCACAAAUCAUAUUAAGGGUGUAUUUGGUGUUGAUUUUAGAAAGCGUUUUUAGUAUUUCUAAUACUUGAAAGAUAAAAAUUUUCAAGUUUUAGAAAGAUCAAAAGCGCUUUUUAGAAUGACUAUCAAAUACAUGCUAAAUAUUACUUUUGGAUACUUAUAUUUUUAAAUAACUCUUAAAACUUUUAAGGCAAGUCUCUACUAUUCAUAUAAACCCCCUAUUAUUUUUAAUUCUUAGAAACAAAAAAUAAAGAAUAAAAACUCCAUUUAAACAUCACCUUAUUAUUUCCUAUUAUAAAAUAACACAAAUCAAAUGAAUUAUUUAAAAAUAAAUAAAUAUAAAAUCAAAGUUGAAGAGAAAAAACUCUUGUGCAUUAAAAAAACAUCAAAAUAAAUAAAUAAAUAAAUAAAUAAAACAUCAUCAAAUAAAUGUAAAAAUAAAUUAAUGUUAUGGAAAAAUGAGAAUAGGCAACAAGAAAAUAAGAACACAGAUUUACAUGAAAAAUGCUAGAUGGGAAAAACCAUGGAUAGAGGAGAAGAAAAUCCACUAUAUUAAAAAUUUGGUAUAAAAUGUGACAGAAUCAAGUGAGUAUUGUAUAGGCAUAAUCACUAUGACCCUAAAUCCUAUACAUCAUCGCAUAUGUAUGGUGUAUGCGAUAAUAUUUGUGAUAAUAAAAAUAUUGUCGCAUAAAAUAACUAUGGGAUGUAAUAUUUGUAAUAAUAUUCUUUACAAAAAAAAUAUUUUUUCUUUGCUUUAUUCACUUUGAUCACAACUUGAAAUAAGACAAUAAAAAUAUUUUCUUAAUUUUUGAAAAUUAAUUGAGGACUUAGAGCUACUUGUUACUGAGUGAAUUUGCUGAAUGGUGAAGAAUGUGUGUAUAGUAGUUUUGCAAUUUUUCAAACUUGUAGACAUAUUUUGUGAAGUCUUUUUCUCUUUGUAAAGCCCCAUUUUCUUUGUGUAGUUAUUUUUUCAAUAUUCUCUUUGGAAGGAAUUUACCAUUAGUUAUAUAGGUAAGAUUAAGGAAUUAAAUUUGGAAUUCUUAAGAUUUGAUUGCUUAAUUCAAAGAAUUUGGUUCAAGGGAAAUUUGCCAACAAAAUAAUAUUUAUUUUUAAUUCUAUGAUGACUUUAAUUAUUUGAUAUAAUUUUAUUUUGAAAGACUUGAUGUGGGGGACUCAUCACUUAUUGAGUCCAAAUUUUGUUGCACCCAAAUUUUUAUGAGCUAAGAAACCAUAAUUUUAAAGACCAAUUCAGUGGUAAGUGAAUCUGCUAAAAUCUUCUAUGUACAAAUGACCUCACUUCAAGGUGCAACACAUACAUGUAUUAUUAUGUGUAUGGGAUGAGUCUUGAAGUUAGUCUUCAUUCUUCUUUGAUUUUUUUUUCUUCAAAUAAAUAAAUAAAACAUCAUCAAAUAAAUGUAAAAAUAAAAUAUGUAUCGGUUAAUUGGAGAGGAGAGCUUUAAGGGCAUUUCUUCUAUGAAAUUCUAUGCUCCACGUACCAUAAAUUUGUACUCAACCAACAAAAUUACAGAAUGGGUCCAUGCACAAACAAAAAUAACUCAAAUGUAAAUAUCUAAAAAUGUAUAAAGUUCACAAUAGAUAUUCAAGCCCAAAUUUAAAUUUCAAAUUAGUCCAAUAGAUUUCAUCAAUCAAAAUGGGUCCAAAUUAGCAAAUAUAACCCAACAAAAAUAUCUCAUAUGUCAUAGGCCCUAAUUUAAAAUUUUCAAAUUAAUAGCCAAAAUAUAAGUUCAAUUAAUCAAACCCAAAACAUGAUAAAUUAAAAUAAAUCUCAUUAGGCCUAUACUUAAUAUCCCAUAAUUCAAGCCUAAUUUAAUAUAUAAACCUAAAUCCACAAUCAAAAUCAACCCAAUUUAUGCUAAUCCCGAUUUACAAUCAAAAUCAAACAUAAUUUAAUAAGUAAAUAACUAAAUAAAUUAAGCAAACUCAAAACACCCAAACCACUACAACAUAAAUCAAACAAUAAUAAAUAUAAUGACAAUAAUAAUAAUAAUAAUAAUAAUAAUAAUAAUAAUAAAAUAAAAUAAAAUAAAAUAAAAAAAUUUAACUCAUGUCGGAGCCAGUUUGAAUGUCUUGGGAAAGAAAGAAAAUGAGAGAAAAGUGAGAGAUGAUUGACAACUGACAGUGGCUCACUGGCGACGACUGGCUAGUGGUCCUACCGAUGGUAGUGAGGAUUGAUUGGUUUUUGGGAAAAAAAAUAAAAUGAAGAAAAGAAAAUGAGGUGUAAUAAAAAAAUGGAGAAUUGAGAGGAAGGUGGGAGAAGAAUGGAGAGAGAGAACAUAGAAAAUGAGUGAAAAGAAAUGAGGCUAGUUGGAGGAGGAAGUGGUAGUGUGUGAGCUAAAGUGAAGAAGAAUAGAAGAAGAAAAUGGAGAAGAAUGGGGAAAAAAAAUCCGCCUCCUUAAAUGAAGAGAGGUGGGUAGCCUAAAGAAGAAGAAAAAAUAAAAUAAAAUAAAAUGGGGAGAAAAUGAGAGGGGGUCGGUGGUCUUGUGAAUGAGGUGGUAUGCGUUAGAGAGAGAGAGUGGGUGGGGUUGUUGGGGAAGGUAUGAGAGAGAGAGGAGAGAGAAAAGAAAAAAAAGAAAGAAAAGAAAAAAGAUAAUAUAAAAUAAUAAUAAUAAUAAAAUAAAAUAAUAUACAAAAUAAUAAAAACUAAUAAUUAAAUAGUGAGUGGGCAAAAAAUAUCAUAUGUAAUCGGGAUUUAAUUUUAAGAGUAAAAUUGGGUUAAAAAUUAAUGUAAAAUAAAAUUAGGACAAAUUUUGGGGUAUACAAAUAUGCGCCUCUUCGGUAGAGUCCACGAGUAAAGCAAGUGUAUAUGUGAGCAAAACAAAGUGGGCUCUACUGAAAAACAAGACAAACCACCAAAUUUGUCUUAAUAUGACAUGAACUCUCCCAAAAAAAAAAAAAAAAAAAAAAUCUAAAACCCUACAAAAAUGGCCAAAACGGAAACUCCUAAGGUGCCUUUAAAGUUAUACUAUGGAUCUAGACUCCCUUAGAAAAGCCUCCAAAAAUGGCCCAAAAAUCGGUGUCAAAAUCGAGUAGCAAUCAGACCACUAAGGAGCACAUGAACGAAUGCAUACAAAGGGAAAAAAACCAUACGUGUACCAUACGAUGACAAAAGGCAUAAGGUAUCCAACAAUAUGACUGAUUCACGUGUUACGAGCUCAAAGAACUUUGUCAUGCACCAUGGAGGAAGGGAAACUCUAGAAUAAUGUGAUGAGGAAGUUAUUAGCACAAUGUAAUAGAGUGAGGAAAAAAGUGAUGAGUGCAAAGCUGUGAGGACAAGGUGCACAAUGCUAAUGAAUAUGAAAUGAAUAGCACUAGGCUAUAAUGCAAUGAAUAGCUCAGGGUUGUACCAUAAUGAACAAGUCAAGGAUGUGUAAAGAUGAGGAACAACUCAAGGUUGUAAUGCAAUGAACAACUUAGGGUUGUGAAUGCAAUGAACAGCUCAGCGCAAUGAAUGAAAUGAAUAGCUCAGGGCUGUGAAUGCAAUGAACAACUCGAGGUUGUGGAUGUAAUGAACAACUCAUGGUCAUGGAUGCAAUGAACAGCUCAGGGCUGUAGAUGAACAACUCAGGGUUGUGGAUGUCAUGAACAACUCAAGAAUAGGGGCACUGUACACCCAAAAUGGGAGAUCACGGUCUACGAUUCCAAGUCAAACCACUAAAGGGUGACCAAAAUGAGGGUGAUCAACUCACUAAAAAAGAUGAUCAAAAUGUCUUAAGGGAGAGGAGAUGCCCCAGAUGAAACUUAAAGGAAGUGAGUAGUGCUAAUGAAACUAAAAAAAGAAAAAAUGUCACAACUGAAAUUGAAAAAAUAGCAAACUUAGAUUAAAGUGCAAUGAACAACUUUGGGUUGUGGAUGCGAUGAACAGUACCUUGUUGUAAUGAAAUGAAUAACUCUAAGAUAUGGGCAUUGUACGCCUAAAGAGGGAGAUCGUGGUUUACGACUCCAAGUCAAACCACUAAAGGACGACUAAAAUAAGAUGAUCAACUUACGAUAAAUGAGAAUGCAACUAUCUCGAGAAAAAGGGUAUGCCCCAAAUGACACUCAAUAGUAAAAGAAUGACACAAAUGAAACUAAAACAAGAGGAUGCCACAAAUGAAACUGAAAUGAUAACAGACUCAGUACUAAUGUGUAAUGAACAACUUUGGACUAUGGAUGCAAUGAAUAGCACUGGGUUGUAAUGAAAUGAACAACUCUAAGAUGUGGGCACUAUACGCCUAAGAAAUGAGAUCAUAGUUUACGACUCUAAGUCAAACCGCUAAAGGGCGACUAGAAUAGGAUAAUCAACUCACUAAAAAUGAGGAUGCAACUAUCUCGAGAAAGGGGGUAUGCCCUAAAUGACACUCAACAGUAUAAGAAUGACAUAAAUGAAACUAAAAUAAGAGGAUGCCACAAAUAAAACUAAAAUGAUAACAAACUCAAAACUAAUGUGCAAUGAAUAACUCUAGGUUGUGGAUGCAAUGAACAACACUGGGCUGUAAUGAAAUGAACAACUCUAAGAUGUGGGCACUAUACGCCUAAAGAGGGAAAUCACGGUCUACGACUCCAAGUCAAACCACUAAAGGGCGACUAGAAUAGGAUGAUCAACUCACUAAAAAUGAGAAUGCAACUAUCUCGAGAAAAGAGGGAUGCCCUAAAUGACACUCAAUAGUUAAAGGAUGACACAAAUGAAACUAAAACGAAAUGAUACUACAAAUGAAACUGAAAUGAUAACAAACUGAUAACUAAAGUGCAAUGAACAACUCUAGGCCGUGGAUGCAAUGGACAGCUCAAGAAUAGGGGAACUAUUCGCCCAAAAUGGGAGAUCGUGGUCUGCGACUCUAAGUCAAACCACUAAAGGGUGGCUAAAAUCAAAAUGAUCAAUUCACUAAAAAUGAGGAUCUGAACAUCUCAAGAAAGGGGUUAUGCCCCAAAUGAAACUGACAAUAGAGGGAUGCCCUAAACAGACUGAAAAAAGGAGGAUGCCUUAAACAAACUAACGAAAAAUGGAUGCCCUAAACAAAUUGACGGAAGUGAAAUGCCCUAAAUAAACUGACCAAAGAAGAAUGCACUAAACAAACUCCAAGAAAAAAAAAGAAGAAGUAUGCGAUAUAGAAUCAAAAACACCUAAAACAAAAACAAGAAACAAAGAAUGUGGUUUACAACUAGAAACACCCAAAAGAACCUUAAAGAAGUGACUGGGAUAAUGAACUUAAUGAAAAUGGGGUAUGCCACAGUAAAAGACUCGGAAGUAUCAGCAAAUGGAUCAAACGACCAUGAAAUCAAUAGGAGAUAUGAUGAACCCAAAAAGGGCGUAUGCCCCAACAAAAGAACACUAAAAGGGGGGUAUGCCUUGAUAUGACGACUCACAAUAAUUAAGAAAUGGAUCGAGUAAUGAGAAAAUCUGCAAAAUAUCUUAUGAACUCAAAGAUGGGGGUAUGCCCCAGUGUAAAAUAGUGACCAACAUAAGACACAGAAUGUCACCAUACAAUACACUCUGGGAUAUGCUCAAUGACAAUGUAAUGAAAACAAUAGCCUCAAUCAACAAAUGUUCAAGCAAGACCAUGCAUCACAUAAACUAAAAUAAUAGGCUAAACAAAUGCUAACCAAGUCUCUCAAUCUGAAAUGUAAGCAAGUCAAGACAUGACAUGUCAACCAUCGACAUGAAAACAUCAUCACAAAUACAUCAACAAACUAAUAGUCCCUACUAUCAUGGAAGAUGUAGAACCUAACGUCCAAAGGCAUGUGAAAACUCAACCAAAAAGCUCAAGACUAGUUUGCAUCCUCCUCUAAUAAAAAGAAUGAGAUAAGGUCAUGUAGGAUGAUGAAAUAGGCAAGCUCAAUAUUCGUUAGGCUCUACCAAGAUGGAUGUAGGUAUAAUAGUGUCAAAGGUAGGAUGUCUAGAUGUCCAACGAAGGAAACUGGGUAUCCAAGUCAAACCAAGUAUGUUGAGGAAACUGAAGCCAUAGGACAAUAACUUUAUGAUCCAUUGAAAAUAGCAAUCAUGAAUAGAAGGUCGAGUCUCGAUGUCAAAAUCAACAAGGUGGCAUUGCCCCAGUAUGAAUACAUCUUCUCAAAAUGGGUAAACCCUCAGUGCAAGAUAAUCUCUAGAUAGUAUGUGUCUAGUAUAAACUGUCAUCUCACAAAAUCUAUCACUGAUGAGUGGGCUAUACCCCAGUGUAAGCAUUUCCAAAUCAAACAUCGAUGAGAGGAGUACAACCAAUCAUACAUAAUAUGAUCAAAACAAAUCUCCACUCCUCAAAGUCAUCAUGGUAACGUGAAGAGAGUAUCUAACCUCAUUUAAAGAAAGAUCAUGUCCCAAUGUGAAAAAUAUCAAGCAAAGUGGUAUGUCUCAACAAAAAUGCACUCUAACAUGAUCAUGCCUAGAUGUAAGCUGGUAUCUUUAAGAUCAAUCACCAAUGAAAGGGUUAUGCCCCAGUAUAGGGCAAUCUCUGAAAUGACUAAAAUCCGCUACAAGCUCUCACAAGUGUCUAUGUCAUGAACCAAUCAUCUCAAAAAAUAAAUAAAUAAAUAAAUAAAUCUAUCAACAAUGAUGAGAAGGUUAUGCUAUAAUCACAUCAAGAAAAUCACUCGGUCAUAUCUUGUACUCCAAUGUGAAAGGAAAAUAUGAUCACCUCUAAAGAAUGGCUAUGCCCCAAAAUACAUCAUCGAUUGAGAAAUAUGCCCCUACGUAAAGUACAUCAACUGAAAUAUGCCAAUCAUGCCUCAUGUUCCAAUGUGAAAAAUGACAUAUAAUAUUCUUUGAGGGAUGGUCAUGACUCAAAAUCCAUCAUCAGUUGAGAGAAGUAUGCCCCGACAUAAUGGUCAUCUAAAAAAUCAAUCUCCGACUAAGAAAUGUGUGCCUUGAUGUGAUGUAUCAAGCAAACUGGCUGCAUACCCCAUAAAAAACUCUCUAAGGUGGCUAUGCUCCAAUGUUGGAUCAUACCACAACUCCUGGUCUAUCACAAUCAAAAUGCUCUCCAACCAAUCCCAAGUAUCGCCCACAUGAGAGCUAUCAAACACAAUGUGUGAUGUCAUGGCCUCAAGGUGGUCUUAAGAUUCAGGACGUAACGUAGGCUAGGGUAAUAAGGUGAAGAAAUGAAGGAAAACUAGGCUUAAUAAUCCUAAUGAUAAAACCCCAUACCCUUAUGUAUAAAAUGCAAUAUGUGCAAAGAGUCUUAUAAACCAUGGAUCUAAGGACACCCAAUAUGAAUAUAUCAGUGAGGAAGAAAGAAUCUAAGAUGAAUAUAUCAAUGAUAAAAGAGAAGAAAUGAAGAAUAUCAAACUGCUGAUGGGAUGUAUAAGAAUGAUGUGUGGAAAAUAUUGAACAUGGAAUGUAAAUUGAUAUGAACAAAGAACAAUGUAGGCAAGGCAAAUGCGAUAUCAUGAUAAGAACAAAUAAAUCGAAGAAAAAUGAAUGAACACUAAUCCACUCAAAUCAAGUCAUGGAGAAUAGUCAAAUCACCAACGUAUGUAAUGAUGGAGAAGACAAUGAUUCGAAGUCCCUAGGAAAAUGUCACUUGUUUGUCACACAUAAAAUACAUAACGAGAUAGACACAAAAAUAUGAGAGUUUUUUGAAAGUUCACAUACGAACUUUCAUAAGCAACUAACUCAAUAAAGCAACCUCAAUGACCAAUAUAUACACUCAAUAAAGGAUGACACUGUAUACAUGUGUUUAUUACUUUUUCUUUUUCAUUUUUUUCAUUUUUGUUUUUAUUUUUUUUCUUUUGCUCGCGCAUACUCUGAAUAUCAAUAAAUGAACUUCUCUGAGAAUACAUAAUGAAAUGGAUAUACUCUCAAACAAUGAUGUAAGCGAACUCUCUCUGACAAGAUGACCCUCUAAAUUAAGGAUUUUCAAACUAACGUCCAUGAGAUAGGAGUGGAAGGGGAUAUGACCAUCCUCCCUGCACCGAAAUGUGAAAAAUCAUCACUCAGGGCACAAAAAAAUGUGAUGAAAAAAAAUAAAAAAUGAAACAAAAGAUAUAAACAAUGAAGUAUGAUGAAGACUGAUGUUGGGAAGACAAAAAAAUAGUGAAGAAUGUGAGCCAAUAAGUCCACAACUCAUGAAACUCUCGAAUAAAAUAUAUAUAUACACCAAAAGACCCUUAUCCCGGUGUAAAAUGUGAGCAAGGAUAUAAGAAAGAAAAGACUAUGGUGCUCAUGUGAGGUUCAAAGGGCUAGCAACGGUCCAAAUGUCAAUAAAGGUAAUAGGGUGUGAGCUAACCAAAAUGAAGGCCACCUAUGAUGGUCUGAAACAUCAUGCUCUUAAGCUUUCAAUGAUCAAUACUGAAAAUCGAUGUCCAUUUGAUAUAAACACGUCAACCCUUUGGAAUUGUGCGCCAAACCAUACUCCAAAUGCUCCAUAAUAAUCUCAAAGAUAAUCCUCUCAAAGCAAAGUAAAUAGCGAUCUCAUAAGGCACAACUACUCAUCACAAGCCAACUCUCAUCAUGCAAGAUCAAUCUCUAUUUUCAUGGAAAAAUAAGUGACAAUCUCAUCAGGUAAUCGACGAAUCCUCACAUCAUAAACCAACCAAAGAUCAUAAGUCAUUCAUUGCCAUGCAAGAUCAAUCCCAGACUCAAACUCCUCAUACUCUACCUGGUUGGAUUAGAGAAGAAAUGGGCAAAACUAGAAAAACUGAAGAUGGAAAGGUCAUAUAAUGGUGUCAAGGGUGAUGUUGUGCAAAACUCACAAUGGAUGGAUGUAGGUCAAAGCAAAGUCAAUGUGUGAGAGUGAGUAAGGCACUACUCUGAUCAUAAGAAGAUGGGUCACAAUCUCAAACUCCUAAGGUCAAAUCUCCGAUCCUAGGCUAAUAAGCUCAACAUCCUCCAUGAUAGGUCAACCCCCAAGAUCACAAUGUGCAAAUGAAUAGAUGCCUCAAGUCAAAAGUACAACACAUCAUAUGAUAUAUGGUCCUACGAUGACAAUCUAAAACUGGAAAUAUGUUAGAAACUCUAAGGUCAUAAACGUGUCCACUGUGAGAUGACUAUAAAUGUGACUAAGGAAUCUUUAUCAAUAAUCCAAAAAAUGAAUGAAGUGUGAAAAACAACACUAUCAUGAGAUCGAUACCCCAUCAAUAACAAAAUAUCUCUAAUUCACUUUCAAUCUAAACUCUAUAAAGAAAAACGAUAAGGUUAUAAAGGCAAACCUCUCAAAAAUGGUGUGAAUGUGAAAACAUGUCUUCACCUUUCUAUAAUGAAAAUAUCAUGUUGAAAAUAGAAAUAGGCAAAUCGACCAAAGAAUGAAGUACGGAGCCCAUGACAAGUGAAGAAUGUAAAAAGGUGAACAUGAUCAAUGAACAUAUCCCAAAACAUCAAGCAUAAAGUGACAACAAACCAAAAGAAUGUGUCAACUUAAGAAAAGAAGACUAUCUGAAGCCCCAGGGAAAAAGUGUGCUAGACUCAACGAGCGACAAGAAGAAACUAAAACCAUAUAGCAAGAGGUGGUCCAACUGAUACUCAAACUCGUACCAAUAUCUAAGCACUCUCGACUGGAGACCAAAAGAUGGAGUAUUGGAUCCAUAUUGUGACUAAAGUGGCCUCGAAGGCUCUCAGAUGCACCCACGUGUAGGAAAGGAAAUCCUAGUAAAAAUAUCUAAGGCUUAACCUACAAGGUCAAGGCGGCUCUAAAAAGAAAAAUUGAGUGGACUUUAAAGGAUUCCUAGCAAAAGCGAUCAUACCCUCCGAUGGUACGCAACCUCCUACACGUCUUGAAAUAUAUGGGAGUGAUUCCAUGCAAGGUGGUCAUCACCUCCACACAUGCACUAUCUCAUAUCCUAGAGGGUUUCCUAAUGAUGAAGACUCUUACAUCUCUCAACACUUAGUGGUAAUCUAAGGUGCACAGUGAAUGGUGUGGGUUCAUCCAAAAAUCCUAUCAAGCUAAGCAAAGAGAAAACACAUUGGUCACACAAAUAUCUUGAAAUAUAGCUCUAACCUAUACAAGUCUUCAAAGAUUGGACUCCAAUUAGCAUUAAUGUUUCGACCUUCUCCAGAAUGCUCCCAAACAUAGAUAUAGUCCAUCACUAAAUCCUACUCCGAAUCACUAGCUCGGUCGAAGAGCAAACAAAGUAAUAAGUCUCAUAUCAAAUAUGAGAUCAAGGGGAACAUGGUCACCCAAGACUAGGGAAUUGAAGUAAGGGGAUAGAUGUGUGUCCCACAUAGAAAAGCAACAUGCAUCACACAGAAGAAGAAUAGUCAUGCAAUAGACAACCAAGCAAAGAACAGGUAUAUCAUUCAUAUCUACACACAAGCUAAACAAGAAAUAGGUAUUUAACAAGAAUAAACAAUAUGUUGAGAUAAACAAGAUAAUAUACAAUAAAGAGAAUCAAUCACACCAAUAUGAAUGAGAUAUACAAAAAUGAGAAUAUACAUGUCAAGGAGAACAAGAUAAUCAUACAACAAGAAGAGUCUUAUGUUAAAGCAAGCAAGAGAAUCAAUCGAUGUAGUCAACAUGUCAAUAUCGCAAAUGAACAUAACAACCAAAUAUGCAUCAUAAAGAAAAAAUGGUAAUCAUGCAGCACACAGUCAUACAAAACAAAUACAAACAAACAUAAGCAAAUAAAUGUAAACACACAUGAUAACAAAAAUCAAUGUAUAGUAAGGCACAUGCAAUAUAUACAUAAAAUAAUCAUCAAGUCAACACUCAUAUACCUUAAAACAUGAAAAUAUACAAUAAAGACACAACGAGAGGGUAUUCACUGAUCGAUUAAUCAAACACUACAUUUCCCUUAACUCAAGUUCAAGUUUGAUCCUUUAAAUAUCCCUAGUGGAGUCGCUAUUUUGUGGACCCACAUUUUUCAAAUGCGUCCUUACACAACAGCGAGACUCAUUUUUUUUAUUUGGUGAAAAUUUGAUUUUGAGAAAAAAGACUUUGAGUUGUCACUUAUUUUUGUUUUUUUUUAAGGGAAAACAAAACAAGAAAGAAAACCUUGUGUGACUCCUUAUUUGGGAAAGACAUGUAUGCAAAAACCAAAUCUGGAUUCGGGGGUCAAGUUACCUAUUGGGAAUGUACGAUGGUGAGCUGUAGCACCUCUCUAAGCUCAUAUACGUACGGUCUCUACUAAACGAAUUAAGAGAAUUGUAGUAAUUAAUUAAUUAGUCAAGGAUACCAAGAAAAAGAAUCGCACAAAUGAGUACAUACAAAUCAUGAUAAAAAAAAUCAAAUUAUAAGAAUAGACAAAAUAAAUAACAAGAGAAUUGUGCAAAGUGAUUUAUUAAACUAAAUAAAAAAGAAGAUAUUAAAAAAAUUAGUUUUCAAGAAAUUUCAAAGGAUUUUAUUAAAAUGAUUUUGAAUUAAUGAUUUUAAUUUAUUUAUUUACAAAAAAAAGUCAAUUUAUUUUCUUCAAUUGAUUUGAUUCAAUUUCAUUUGUAUUCAAUUUUUUUUUUAAAAAAAAAAAGUUAUUUACACUCAUGGUUGUUAAAAGAAUUAUUAACAAAAUUUCAAGUUGACAAUAAAAAUGAUUUUUACUUGCUUUUACUCGAAAACAAUGAAUUUUUACAAUUUUAUUAACAAAAGCAUUUCAAUUUAAGAAAAGUGACUUAAACAAAUUAUUAAAAAAAUAUAACUUUAUCUGCAAAAGAAUUUUUAAUUAAAAAGAAAAAAUUUAAAUCAUCUAUUUCUAAAAAUGACUUUUAAUCCCAUUUUAAUUAAGAAAAUUUGAGUUAUUUAAAAAAACAUUUUUUGGACAAUUUGAAUAAAAAUUAAUUUUUGGGACAACUUUAUUUACAAAAAAAAUUUUGGACAAUUAUUAUUAAAAACAAAAUUUCAAAUUCUAUUAAAAACAAUUUUUUGGAUUUUUCCAAACACAUUUUUAUGAAUUUUUAUUAAUAAAAAACUUUUUUUUAUUAAGAAGAAUAUUUUUUGAGCUAUUAUUUUAUUAAAACAUGUUUAUUGAAUUAUUCUUCUUAUUCAAACAAAAUUUUUAAUUUGUUCAAUAUCUAAUUCUGUACACAACAAGUAAAUAUAUACAAACAAAUAUUUAUAAAAACCAAUAAAAAUAAAACCAAAUAGAAGUGAGAAAUAAAACAUGUUCUUAAACAAGCUUACAACAAGCUCAAUGUCUUCUUACGACUUUUCGAGUCUCACUUUCUUUCAUUAAAUUUUAUGCUCCACGUACCAUAAAUCCGUACUCAACCAAAAAAAUUGCAGAAUUGGCCCAUGCAAAAACAAAAAUAACACAAAUGUAAAUAUCUAAAAAUGAAUAAAGUUCACAAUAGAUAUUCAAGUCCAAAUUCAAAUUUCAAAUUAGUCCAACAAAUUUCGUCAAUCAAAAUAAGUCUAAAUUAGCAAAUAUAGCCCAACAAAAAUAUCUCACAUGUCAUAGGCCUUAAUAUAAAAUUUCCAAAUUAAUAACCAAAAUAUAAGUUCAAUUAAUCAAACCCAAAACAUGAUACAUUAAAAUAAAUCUCAUUAGGCCUAAACUUAAUAUCUCAUAAUUCAAGCCUAAUUUAAUAUAUAAACCUAAAUCCACAAUCAAAAUCAACUCACUUUAUGCUAAUCCCAAUUUAUAAUCAAAAUCAAACAUAAUUUAAUAAGUAAAUAACUAAAUAAAUUAAGCAAACUCAAAACUCUCAAACCACUAUUGCAUAAUAUCAAACAAUAAUAAAUAUAAUGACAACAAUAAUAAUAAUAAAAUAAAAUAAAAAAAUUUAACUCACGUUGGAGCCAGUUUGAGUGUCGUGGGAAAGAAAAAAAAUGAGAGAAAAGUGGGAGAUGAUCGUUAGCUGGUAGUGGCUUGCCGGCGGCGACUGGUCGAUAGUCCUACUGGCGGUAGUGAGGAUUGAUGAGUUUUUGGGAAAGGAAAAAAAAAGAGGAGUAAUAAAAAAAAAAAAAGAGAAAUGAGAGGAAGGUGGGAUAAGAGGGGAGAGAGAGAAUGAAGAAAAUAGGGGAAAAUAAAUGAGGCCGGCCGGAGGAGGAAGUGGUAGUGUGUGUGAGCUAAAGUGAAGAAGAAUGAAAGAAGAAGAAGGAGAAAAAUGGGAAAAAAAUUCGAGCCCUCUAAAUGAAGAAAGGUGAGUAGCUUAAAGAAGAAAAAUAAAAAUAAAAAAAGAAAAAAUGAGGAGAAAAUGAGAGGGCCAGUAGUCUUGGGAAUGGGGUGGUAUAGGUGAGAGAGAGUGGGCGAGGUUGUUGGGGAAGGUAUGGGAGAGAGAGGAGAGAUAAAAGAAAGAGAAAAAAAAACAUAAUAAUAAUAAUAAUCAUAAAUAAUAUAUAAAAUAAUAAAAAUUAAUAUUUAAAUGAUGAGUGUGUCAAAAAUAUUAUAUGUAAUUGGGAUUUAAUUUUAAGAGUAAAAUUGAACUAAAAAUUAAUGUAAAAAUAAAAUUUGAACAAAUUUUAGAAUCUACAAAUACAUUCUUUAAUCUUUCCACAACAUCAAUCUGAUCUAAAUGAAAUGCAAUAAAUUCUAAAAAUGAUACAAUCUUUAAUCAAUCCACAACAUCAACCCGAUCAAAACUCAAUGCAAUAUUGCUUAAUGGAGAGAAUCGUAAAAUCCUUUUAUGAGAGGAAAAAAAAACCCUUAACAGACCUUUAUGAGAGGAAAAUAGGAAAACAUAGAACUAAAAACCCUUAACGUAUUCAUGAGAAUAAAAAAAUCCUUAACACCUUAAUAAGAGGAAAACAAAGAAUUUGAACAAUCCUUAAUCCAUCAAAAGCUCUUAAUAUGAACGAGGGGAAAACAUAACCUUUAUUUUUCAUAUCAUUGAAUACAGAAUCUAAAGAGAUAGAAUUUUUAGUUAUUAAGGAUUUUUUUAUAAAUGUCUAUUGAAAGUUUAAGAACUUUUAUGGAUAAGUGUUAAUUAAGAGACUGAAAGGGUACUUAGGAUUUUCAACUAAAAAAGUUAUAACAAUAUGAAUCGUAAGAACUUAAAAACAUCACCCAUCCAUAAGAGGAAUAUGGAAUGAGAGGUUAUUUUUUUACUUAUACAACAAUAAACUUUUUUGGAAGAGGUUUUUCUAAGUACAAAAAGUUAUGAAUAAAAAACCAUUGUUACGAUGAGUUAACUAAAAUAGAAUUAAUUUAGAAAAUAUCAAUAAAGUUGCAUGAAUUAUUAUCAUGAGUUAACUUAAUAAGAAUAAAUAGUAAUAAAGUUAAUGAAGUGAAUUUGGAUUGGCAGAUAUAUUUGAUGAUAAGAUUUUUUUAAUAAUAAAAAAUUAUUAUGGCAGGAAAAAUAGGACAAAAUUGACCUUAUGAUAAGAUUUUUUUAAUAAUAAAAACAUUAUUAUGGUAUGAAAAAAAGGGACAAAAUUGGCCUUUCCUUAAUUGUACCGGUUAAUGGAAUAAUGGGACAUGCGGUGGUUACAAGCCACCCCAAAAGGUAGGAAGAAUCUCCAACCCCCAUUCUCGGCUCCCUUAUCUUUUCCCUUACAACCAAAAAUCAACAACUAUCUUAGAAUGUCCUUCAGUCCACCAAAAUUCAACAACAACAUUACAAUAAUGAAAACAAAAUUGAUUGAUCACCAGCUAACAUUAGGAGAUUAUAAGAUAAGGAUGUAAUUGCAAUUAUUGAAAUCACUUAAAGAGUAAAAGUUAGGAACAUGCUCACAAUAAAUAAAAUCACCUUAGAAUUAAAAAUUAGGGACAUGAUUAUGAUGAUUAAAAUCACUCGAGAACUAAAAUGUUUUAGAGAUACAAUAAUUGAAAUCAACUGAAAAAUAAAUUCGGGAUGUGAUCGCAAUUAAUGUAUAUAUAAACAACCAAAUGUUGAAAGGAAAAACUAAUGAAAUUAAUAUGAUUUUCUUUUAGAUUUCUCUUGACACCAAACAAAUGUAAGGAAGUUUAUAAAGGAAAAUUAGGUUUUGAUUCACUAAAUUAAAAUAAUAUAGAAAAAAGAUCUUCAAAUUUUAUAUAUCAGUUUUAUUUUUAUUUAUUUAAAAAUAUUUUAAAAUACAUAUAUUUUUUCAUAACUCAAAUAGUCAUUCCUCAAAUGCUAGUUUUACUUGUUAUGUUAAUAACACUAGUUAAUAAUUUUUUAUUGUGAGAACGAUUUAAGAUUAAUAAAAUAAGAAAAUUUUAAAACUAAAAAGACAUUUAAAACUUUAAAAUUAAAAAUAUAAAAAUAAAACAAUAAUUUUUCAUUUAGUAAAACACGCCAGUAGAAAAUAUAGAUAUAGAGAAAGAGUUGGAAAUAAAAUAAGAGUUAAUAUUUUAUUUUUAAAAUUUUAUGUUUUUUAUUUUAAUUGUAUUUAAUUUUAUGUAUUUUAGUUGUAAUUAUAUUUUUAAUUUUUAAAUUUUUUUUUAUUUUAUUGUUGAUGUAAACUAAUAAAUUUUUUGUUCAAUUAUAUAUAUAUAUAUAUAUAUAUAUAUAUAUAUAUAUUUAAAUUAGUGAGUAAAAACCCACUUUUUCUAAUUUAUAAUAUAUUUAUGGGAUUUUAUAAUAUAAGAAAUUUUUUUUUAGAAAGAGGAAAAAUCAACAUUUCAAUUUCCCUUCAUUAUUAUUAUUAUUAUCCAAUUUGGUUGAUUAUGAGAUUAGUUGGUAUCAUUACUAUAUCCAUUUGUCCUUAACCCUUCAUUAGAAUAGUAUUAGGAGUUGAACGUCAGUUGGAAUACAGGCUAUGGAAACAAAUCUAUCCGAUUAGUAGGUUCUUGUUAUUUUCAAUAUAGACCCCAUAAAAUAAAUAGGAGAUAUGAGAUAAGACUGUGACAAAAUUGGCGGUUACUUCCCGACACCUGGCUCUCCACAAACAAACCCAGUGAUCCAGAAAUUAAUUGGUACCUGGACACGUGACUACCAAACGUUCGCUCACCCACCAUACCCAUGGCCUCAUGCCCCAUAUAUUUCCACAAACCUAGCUCAAUUUUCAUAGCCACCUUCACUGUCCUACACUCACUAAGCCAUGGCCAUAGAUACAAGCCUCUUGCUUGAGUUUGCUGCAGCAACUCUACUCUUCUUCAUCACCCGCUUCUUCAUUCGUUCUAUCCUUCCCAAACCUUCCCGGAAGCUCCCCCCUGGCCCCAAAGGGUGGCCGCUCCUCGGCGCUCUUCCUCUCGUAGGUAACAUGCCUCAUGUUGCAUUAGCAAAGAUGGCCAAAAGAUACGGGCCUGUCAUGUUCUUGAAAAUGGGCACUAACAGCAUGGUGGUGGCCUCAACUCCCGAGGCGGCUCGGGCUUUCCUUAAAACGCUAGACAUUAAUUUCUCUAGCCGCCCGCCUAAUGCCGGUGCCACACUCUUGGCCUAUCAUGCCCAAGACAUGGUUUUUGCGGAUUAUGGGGCAAGGUGGAAGCUACUGAGAAAGCUAAGCAACUUACACAUGCUUGGUGGAAGGCUCUUGAGGACUGGUCUCAGGUCCGAGCUGUUGAGCUAGGCCACAUGCUUCGAGCCAUGCUUGAGUUGAGCCAGCGAGCGGAGCCGGUGGUGGUGCCGGAGAUGUUAACUUUUUCCAUGGCCAACAUGAUAGGGCAAGUGAUACUAAGCCGCCGGGUGUUUGAAACAAAAGGGUCGGAGUCAAAUGAGUUCAAGGACAUGGUGGUGGAGCUCAUGACCACUGCUGGGUACUUCAAUAUUGGCGAUUUUAUUCCGUCCAUCGCAUGGCUGGACAUCCAAGGGAUCGAGCGCGGGAUGAAGCAUUUACAUAAGAAGUUCGACAAGUUAUUGACAAGGAUGAUAGAGGAGCACACGGCAUCAGCCCAUGAGCGCAAGGGAAACCCAGAUUUUCUGGACGUAGUCAUGGGCCAUCAAGGAAAUUCUACAGGGGAGAAGCUCACCCUUACCAACAUUAAGGCGCUCCUCCUGGUAUGCAUAGUUAAAGCUUGUCUUUAAUUUUGUUUUCCGAUAUUUUCUUUCCGGAAACAGCACUUUUAUUGCUUUUAUAUCAGGUAGCCAUUUUAGGGGCACAUCACUGUUCUUUAUUUGCAUUUUUUUUUGUCUUUUUUCACUUGCAUGGUUGUUUUCAUAUGCUCAGCUGCAUGGCACAGGAAAAUUGGGAAAAAUGAUUGGUUCUCUGAUCAGACCUUCUGCACCAAAACACACUUCUCUCUAUUUUAUAAAAUCAAGAACAUUUAUGGUUUACAUGAAUUUUCGAACUUGAACUUUUGCUAGGGCUAAUGCAUGGAUCUCAAUUUUCAAUUGCGUUUGAUUACAUAAAUUUCAAGUAUGUCACCACAUUUUUGUUUCCUUGGCUAGAAUUUAUUUACUGCAGGAACAGACACUUCAUCAAGCGUAAUCGAGUGGUCUCUGGCUGAGAUGUUGAAAAACCCGAGCAUCCUCAAGCGUGCUCACGAAGAAAUGGAUCAAGUGAUUGGAAGGAGCCGGCGGCUCGUGGAGUCUGACUUACCAAAACUUCCAUACCUACAAGCCAUAUGCAAGGAAAGCUUCCGGAAGCACCCAUCCACCCCAUUGAACCUUCCUCGUGUCUCAACCCAGGCAUGUGAAGUGAACGGCUACUACAUCCCAAAGAACACUAGACUUAGCGUGAACAUAUGGGCAAUCGGGCGAGACCCUGAUGUCUGGGAAAGCCCGGAAGAAUUCAGGCCAGAAAGGUUUUUAAGUGGAAGAAAUGCAAAAAUUGAUCCUCGUGGAAAUGAUUUUGAGUUGAUCCCGUUUGGGGCUGGACGAAGGAUUUGUGCUGGCACUAGAAUGGGAAUAGUGCUAGUUGAGUACAUUUUGGGGACGUUGGUACACUCAUUUGACUGGAAAAUGCCGGAUGGAGUUGAGAUCAACAUGGACGAAGCUUUCGGGCUUGCUCUGCAGAAGGCAGUUUCUCUUUCGGCUAUGGUGACACCAAGGCUUCACCAGAGUGCGUAUGCAGUCUGAGCUCAAGCUGUUCAGACCAAAACCCAGGCCUAGCUACUAUAUGGCAUGGAUUUGUUUCAGUUUCCUUUGGGUUAGUAUAACGGUAUAAGAUGUAUUAGCUCAAAGAUUGGGAGUUUCAUUCUACCACCAUGCCAUAUGCCUAUCCGUGAUCUAUAAAUUUAGCUUCAGUUUGGUUAUAGUUUCUAUUUUUCUUUUGUCUUCGUAAUCAGUAAAUAAUAGUAACCUUUAUAUAAAAUAUAGUAACUCUUGCAGCUAUUAUACCAUGUACAAUAAAAGUACAGUGGUUUUGGAAAAUACAAUGAAACAGUGAGUUUGAUUUUUUAUUUUUUAUUUUUUAAUAAAAUAAAAUGUUGGAAAAGAGAAGUAAAUAAAGGAAGAUAUAUUAAGAGUCUAUUUGACAUUACUUAUAAUGAAAGUGUUUUUAUUAUAAGUGUUUUCUUUAUUAUAAGUGUUUAAAAAUCACUUUGAUGAGAAUUUAAAAAAAUGAUUCUAAUAGUGUUUUUAAUAAUAUAUUAUAUAAGUAAAAACCACUUUUAAUAAUAAUAAAUUACUAUAAAAAAAAAGACAUUUAUUAUAAAAAGAAAAUAUUAUAAUAAACCAAAAACUUUUAUUAAAAAAAAUAUAUACAAAUAUUUAAUUGUUAAAAAAACUCAAAAAUUAUUUUUAUGAAAAUGAAGUGAAAGAGGAAGAGGAGAGUAAGAAGAAAAAAGAGAGUUAAAAGGAAAUGGAGGAUAGCGAGAAAUUUUAUUUUAGGAAUAUAUAAAAAAAAUUUGAAAUAUUUUUUUAAAGAAACACCUCUCAAGUGCUUUUCUAAAAAAACACUUCAAGUGCUUUUCUAAAAAAACACUUCAAGUGUUUUUUAAAAUUUUCAUAAGUGUUGUUCAAAAUAUUGUCAAACACAUAUUUUUUUUAUCUUAAAAAAGCAUUUAAGUGUUUUUAGGGCUAAAAGCACUUCUAAAAAGCAUUGCCAAACGAGCUCUAAAUAAUUCAUAUUUCCUUGAAUUUAUAUUUUUAUUUUCUCUCUAUGAAUUUUCCUUUAUUUCAAAUACAAAAUAUAUUUUAAAAGGUUAAUUUUAUUUACUUGUCUUAAGGUUUUUGUUAGAUACACUUAAUUAUCAUUUAUUUGAAAUUUCAUUAAUUAUCUUUCUUAUCCUUUCCGUUUCUUAAUUUGUCAUGUACUUGAGAAAGUCAAUUUCAUUAUCAUCUUUACUUCUUGAACCUUGACUUAAAACUCCAACUUCACACAGGAUAUGAUAUAAAUUAAGAAAAGACUUAUUAAAAGUAGUAACGUUCUACUUUAGUUUAAAAAUGUUAACAAAAAUUAGAGGAGAAUUAACUAAAAUAUACUGAAUUUUAAAUCAAGCUAACAUAUUAUAAACCAUUGGAAAACCCACGUGAUUAAAUAGCUUUCUUGUAGUCUGACAAAGGAAAGAAAUUACCUGAAAAGAAUGGCAAAAAUGGAACUGCAUCUUAUGACCUAUAAUCACAUGAUUUCCACACUUAGAGCAUCCAUUGCCAAGAAAGACGUCGAUCAUAUCACCUUAAUUUUGUAAUAAUUCAAUGCCUCUUUUUGUAAAGCCAUAUCAUAAAUAUAAUGAAAUUAAAAGACAAAUUAAUCAAUCAAAUAAUAAAAUUUUGAAAUUUACAUGGUAGUAGGUGAGGGAAUUGUUCAGUUAAGAAUGAAGAGAGACCACACUCGAGGAAAUAUUAUUGAGGGCAUAGAUGUUGACUUUCCAUAUUCACACCUAAUUAAAAAGGUGAUUAAGAAAAUAAACAAAAACAACCCAAAAAGAGUGAAAGAUAUAUUGUUAGGAAAGAUUGUUCAAAAUGAUCCCGAGUUAUAAAAAUGAACUCUUUCAUUAAGAUGACCUUUUUGAAUACUUUUAUCCUUCUUUUUUUUUUUUCUUGCCUUCAAAAUUAUAAAUCUUUCCUUUAUUUAUGUUAUUUUAUUUACUUUAUUAUUUUUCUAAUUUUUCAUUUAUUUCUUCUACUUACUUUUUCUCUUCUAUGAAGUCUUUCAUCUUUAGUUUAGUCAUGUCUUAUGAAGCUAAUUGUAUUUCCCUCCUUAGCUUACUCUCUAAGUUGUUAGUAAUCCUUGAUCUCAUCUCAUAAUGCACUAUCCCACGAUUCUUUCUUGCAGUCCAUUUUUAUUUUCAUUCAAGGUGUUCAUUAAAAGUACACAAGGGCUAAAUUUAAAUUAUAAGAGUUAAUUUCAAUUACAUUCCCUCAAGUUUUGGCUUAGAUACGCCUUACUUCAACUUAUUUGAAAUUUCAUCAAUUAUCUCUUUUAUUUUAAGUGAAAGGGGAGGUGAGUAUAAUUAAUAAAUGAAAAGGUAGGGGAUAUAUUUGAAGAAAUUUCAAAUUAAUGGGCGAAGGUGUAUUUAGCUUAAAUAUCAGGGAAAGCGAAUUAAAUUAAUCUUAUAAAAAACUUAAUUGAGAUUAAAUUCUCGUUAAGUAUCGUUACUUAAUCUAUCAUGAGAUUAAGUUCAAAAUCAUAAUAUAUAGUGAUGAGAUCUCAAACUUCAUAUCUUAACACAGUCAAUUGAACUUAUCUUGAUGAGUUUGAAGUCUCAAAAUUGUUUUGAGAUCCCUAACUAAAAAUAAUUGCUAAGGCCCUUAAUUUUUUUAUUAAAAUGUCUGUGAGCUUGAUUGAGAUCAAUUUGGAUUACUUUUAGAGAUUCUAGAGGAAUUUAGAAGAAUAUAUAAAGGAAAAAACUUAGGGAAGAUGAAAAGUGCUAGUUAGAGCAGCCUUCUAUUGCACCAGAAGAAGUGGGCGCACCCUUCUACUAUGUCAAAAGGACUUGACGCAUCUGUAUAAGUACGCUAGGAAGGAAAAUAAAGCAACAAGCCGGCCUUUGACUUGAGAAUUGGAGAACCCUCUCCCAGACUUAAGUGGCACACCUUUUAAGUGCGCCAAGGAAAAGAAAGAGUUGUGGCUCAACCCCAUCAAGGAUUGAUAGGCAUACUCCGUCCACUAAAGAUUAAAUGUGUUAGCACAUCUCUUAUCUCUCUCCAUGAACAAAUGGUGCAUUUAAUUAUACAUACACUGUAAGCAUUGGGCUGCCUAUCCGAUGGUGCAAUUCAAAAGCUGUGGCAUGUUUGGUCAACGUAUGAGAAGCAUCCUCUUGCAUCCAACAAUCUUGCAUGGGUGGGGCACACCCAACCUAAGUGUUCUCGAAGUUUGGAUGGUGUUGGAGCUGUUCUUUCCAAACUUCCAGCUUCUUCUUGUCUCACGUUCACCUGCAAUGCAAGGUUUACCCGGUGAAGCCCCGGGCAGACCCCUCCGAUGGUUAAGUCUGUUGGAGUGUGAGAAGCCAACUUCUUUUUAAUUUUUCUUCUUAGCUGUGUUCUUAUACAUCUCUUCACUUACCGCCGGGACCGGAGAUAAUGGGGGCAUUUUCACCACAUCACUGCCCACUUCGCCACCUUCUCAUGGCAGCAAGCUUUUUGGGCUAACCGCUCCCACCAUUUUUGGCGGCUAGCCCCUUCAACACCUUUCACAUUACUUACCAUAUUUCUUUCUGGGCCAGAGACUCUGUCUAGUCCUCCAAAUUCACCUCUUAAUUUUAAAUGCUUGGGCCCAGGCCCAUUGGUCCAAAUUCGGCUCUUAAUUUUUAUCCCUUGGAGGAGUGUUUUUAGUUUUUCUUCUUGAAAUACUUUGCAGGUACAAAACUGUAUGAGCUUUUUGUUCAUGGAGUUCUAUGGGAUUCUUCGAAAAUGAAUGAAAUUCAAUUUUAAAAGAAGUCUUUUGUUUCUUUGCUUGAGUAAUUUUUUACCUUAAGUUUAAUUUCCCUCGCAUGUUCUAUCCAUGAAGCACUAAUUCACUUUACUGUUGUGGGUUGAAAGGGGUUGUAUCCCUUGCAACUCAAUUUAGUCCUCAAUGGUUUCAAAGGGUAGCGGAUAGGGAGGUGAAGUUCAUGAUUGCAGCAAAUGCAUGCAUGUUGUAGCAUUCUGAGAGCCCUAAGCUAAGCAACUCCAUGAGCAUGUUUGUACCUUAUAUAUUUAGCUUUCACUUCCCUUUGAGGUUGAAAAUACUAGGUGUUACACGGAAAAACGAAAAUAGGCAAUAAGAAAAUAUGAAUAAUUUAUGUGAAAAAUCCUAAACAAAAAAACUAAGGAUAAAGAAAAUCCACUAAAUUAAAAAUUGGUACAAAAACAGAAAGAAUCCAACGACUAUUGUAUAAUCCUAAAUCCUAUACACUAUCGCAUAUAUAUAUGAGAAAAAAUAAAUAAAGCAGGUCCAUAUCGUAGGGGCAAUCCUCUGCACCCACAACAAAAUCAAUAAUGGGUUAAAGUAUAAUUUUUCUUCACCAUAUAUAUCAUACCACAAAUUUUUCAAGUCAAACCAAAAAACAAUUCAUAUCAUCAAGCUCUAACAUUAAAAAAAGAUGAAAACAAAUCUUUGUAUUAUGGUUAUGGGAGUAACUUUAAACCUUAAAAUUCUCAUUCAAGCUUUUCCAAAUGAAAUAUAUUAAUAUUAAGUUUUAUUUAAAUAAUCUAUUUUUCCGCAGAUAUAACGAUGAGUUGAAAUUUAGACUUAUUUAAUUUGUUUAUGUCAAACAUUCAAAUCUAAAAUACAUAUAACAAAAGAUCAUGGGAAUUUAUAAUAUAAACAAUUUUUAUGCAAAGGGCCAAUUGUAAAUAAUAGAAUACUAUUUUCAAAAGAGAUCCAAAUCAAGUCGUUGUUUUUAAUAAAUAAAUAAAUAAAAUUUUUGUUUCAUUUGGAAGAUGGUGUUAAAGAGCGACUGAAUCAAAUAACUUGCUCAACCGGCAAAGCUGAGCUGGUCAACUUGACUCGCUUAUAUAUAUACGUAAUUGGGGAAAAAAUGUCAGAUGAGGGGGCGGAUUAGGUCACUUGGGGGGUGCCGGGUGUAGAUGGAAGAAAGAAGUACGUAUAUAAUAAUAAUAAUUGGAGGGUUGACGUUGUCUUGAGAGCAACCGAUGAUGAUAACCCAUGCAGUAUUUUUGUCAUGGGAGAAUUAGGGUGGGGGUGGCCGUAAAAAAUAAUGACUAUGAAGCUCACUAUUUUAAAGGAAAGUUUUACUUUUAAAUAUAUUCUUUAUAUUAUUUAUAAAUAAAUUAAGAUUGUCAAUGAUGUGGGUCCAUAUAUGAUGAUAAGUACAAGUUGAUAAAUUAUGUGGGGCUCAUAUAUGAUAAUAAGUACAGGUUGAUAAACAAUCAACGGUACAUUUCUCAGCUUGAAAAAAUUGUUGUCACUUUUGAACAAUUGACGGUUUAAAAAUUUACUAUUUUUUUUUCAAAAAAAAUUAAGAUUUUUUAAAGAACCUUGCAAAAAAAAUAAUUUUUAAUAUCUCAUAAAUAAAAAUCAUAUCCUAAAGUUAUUAUGUCGUUUUAUAUAUAAAACAUACAAUUAAAAACUUUGUUAUCAUAAUAUAAUGAAUAAUUAUUUUUUAAGAGCACUCAUCAAUUGAAUAACAUAUAAAUAUUCAAUUGACUAAUACACACCUAUUAAAUGAAAUAACUCACAAUUAUUCAUGGGGUAAUAUAGCACGUGAAAAAAUUAAAUAAAAAUAAAUUAAAUUAUGUUGUAAUAUAUUGUAAUGAUAGUGUAUUUAUAUUGUAAGUAUAAUGCAUUUAUAUCGUACCUAUAUUUAAUUAAAAAAGUAAUAAUUCUAAAAAUGUUUAUUCAUACCCUAUUGGUAUUAACACAUCGUAUUAAUAUAUUAACAACAUUUAUUUAGUGUCUUGAAAUUAUUUAAUAAUUUUUUUAUAUAUAUAAACUACGUGAAUUCAAAUUAGUAUUUCAUUUGAUUUCAAAAAUUAUUUAUGAUAUAGGUAUGUUGUGAAAUAUGGUAUAAUCAUAUAAAAUUACAAUUUUAAUAAAAAAUUUCAUAAAUUUUUUAAUUAGGUUUUAUUGUAAUGUAAGUGUAUUUAUAUUGUAAUUAUAACAUAUUUUUGUUGUACUUGUAUUUUAUAAUAAAAGUAAUAAUCUUGAGGAUCAUCUUUUAUACCUUAUUAAUAUUCAACAUAUCAAAUAUAUUAACAUUAUUCACUCGAUGCAUUGAGAAAAACAAAUUUAUAUGAAAUUUAUAAAAAAAAAACACUAUGCAAAGGAAAAAAAAUCAUAUAAAUUUUUUAAAAUUAUUUUAUUAUAAAAAUAAAAAAUGAUUAAACAUUCUCUACCAUUUUCUUAUUCUUUUUAGAGAAUUUGAAUGAAAAAUUAAACAUUUUAUCUUCCUUAAAUUUAAUACAAAAAUAUAAUUUAUCAAUUUAAAAUUAUAAUAUAUAUAUAUAUAUAUAUAUAUAUAUAUAUAUAUAUAUAUAUAUAUAUAUAUAUAUAUAUAUAUAUAUAUAUAUAUGAAAAAAUCAUCAUUUUUAUUAUAUAAUUAUAAAACUUAUUUUAAAAAUUAGAAUAAACAUAAAAAAAAAGGUAAAAAAACAAUAAAUGAUAUUUUGAAAAUAAUUUUUAAAAGUAUUUUUGUUUUAAAUAGUAAAUUUAAAUAACAAAUUAUAUAUAAUUGUAAGAGUUAAACCCAAAAUUUUGAUUUAAAAUUUAAAUAUUAUUAAUUACAAUAAAUAUAGGACCCAUAUACCAUAAAUGUAUUGACAAAUCAAGUGAAGUGCUUUAAAUGCUUUGAAUUUUAAAAGUUUUAGCUAAAGGACAAUUUUGGUAUAUUAAGCCUAUUAAAAUCCUUCUCAAGAAUUAUUAAAAUAUAUCACCCUUUCUAAUAAUUGUUCUGCCUAACCUAUUUUUAGGUAAUUCUCCCUUUUUUUCAUUCUCAUCCAUCUUCACGGGACUUCGUCUACCAAAUAUGACAAAUAUUAUAUUGUUAUAUUGAAUAUAUGUACUAAAAAAUAGAAAUGGGAUGAUGCACAUGGCCUGACGUGUACGUUAUUAAUUUGUUUUUGUCUACGUUUGUUUGUUUGUUUUCGUUUUUCUGUUUAUAUACGUAAAGUCAUUUUUUUCCUCUUCAUGGAAUUCUUUUUGAUGAAAAAAUUAGAGGAAAAAACACAGAUUUAACGAUAAAUUAUCCAUGUUCAUGACAAUAAGAAAAAAGAGUUUCACUAUAUAUAAAAUUAGGAUUACAUUAAAAGGUAUUUAUAUUAAUUAAAAAUAUGAUAUUAAUCAUAAUAUUUAUAAUAGACAUAUCAUAUCAAAUAAAUUAUCCAAUUUUUUAUUAUAUUAAUAGAUAAAUUGAAGUUUUUAUGGUAAAUUUAGAUUAUUUGAUAUCACAAAUAUUAUAACGUUUAAAAAUUAAUUUUAAUAACUAAGUUGUGUUUGGUUUAAAAACCAAUUUUUAGUUUUCAUUUUCCAUUUUCAUUUAUGUUUUUUCUUUUCUUAAAAAUAUCUUUGAUUAAGAAAAGUAAAAGUAGUAUUUUAAAAAAGUAAACUUAUAAAAUCUUGUUUGAUUUUAAGCUUUCGUGAAUGUAAAAACUUGUGAAAAAGUAAGCAUUGUUGUUAGUACUCUUAAAUAUUAAUUAAAUAUGACUAAGUGGAUGAUGUCUAUAUCACUUCUCCUGCCAUCGUCACCCAGUGCUCCAGAAAGAAACUGGAAUCUGGACGCGUGAUUAACAACUUCGCUGAUCGCCUACCAUUCCCAUGGCCUCAUGCCUUAUAUAUUUCCACAAACCUAGCUCAAUUUUCAUAUCCACCUUCACUGUCCUAUACUCACAAGCCAUGGCCAUAGAUACAAGCCUCUUGCCUGAGCUUGCUGCAGCAACUCUUCUCUUCUUCAUCACCCGCUUCUUCAUUCGUUCUCUCUUUCCCAAACCUUCCCGGAAGCUCCCUCCUGGCCCCAGAGGGUGGCCGCUCCUCGGCGCUCUUCCUCUUCUAGGUAACAUGCCUCAUGUUGCACUAGCAAAGAUGGCCAAAAGAUACGGACCUGUCAUGUUCUUGAAAAUGGGCACUAACAGCAUGGUGGUGGCCUCAACUCCGGAGGCAGCUCGGGCUUUCCUUAAAACCCUAGACAUUAAUUUCUCGAACCGCCCGCCUAAUGCCGGUGCAACACACUUGGC
rnacentral:lncRNA from 1 species